rnacentral:lncRNA from 1 species
UACAGCUACUUGUCUUGUGUAUUGACUGACUAAUUGUAGUUAGCAUGGCACGUCAGGCAGACCGUCUUGCUAAGAUUGGGCUGGAGGGCUUUGCAGCCAUAGAUGAGGCCAAGAGGCGGCCACCAGUUAUGAAGGUUCCCUAUGCUCAUCCCACAUAUUACUAUGCAAACCAAAUUCCUGCAACAGCAGUUAUCGACAGCAACGAGGCAGCUCGACGCUACAAGGGGAGGGUUUAUAUCGAUUAUCCAAAGGGGAAACCAGUUCCAUUUUAAAGACCCAGUGAUUAAUCACUUUGCUUUCUUGUAUGCAUAAUCUCCUCCACUUGUGUUACCUUUAGUCCUGUACGAUAUUCUCCCUCUGCUAAACGUAGACGAGGAGCUUCUCUUACUUCUUCAAAUAAAAUUUCUGUGAUUUAUAUAUCAUAAUUUUCUAUUUGGCUGGUCAAGUAUGUAUUGUCAUAAUUAUCUUUCUGACUUCCUAAUUAUCACCUGAUUCACCUCUUACUUAGCAUGGAAUUGAAAGAUACACAAGUAAUUUUCUGUUGAAAUGCUUUGAAGCUCUUCAAGCUGUGAUUUCACCGACUUAUUUCGGAACUGUACAGAGCUCAAUGAUGAGCCGUGGGAAGCGUCUCUGAUUAUUGCACUGUAAGCACGAGUGUACGUAUGAAUAUAAACAGCAGAUCUGCUCCGUUAUUGCCAUAUGCUUAAAUAGAUCGCAGGAUCCGCAAACCACAGGUGAUGACAAGCUUCUUAAUAACUAUUAGAAAAUAAUAUAAAUCAUAUCUUGGACCCUCAUCUAACAACUUAAAUUUUUGGGUUGAGAUGGUUUUUUGAUAUGGUAUCAAAGCCUUGAUAACCAAGUAGUCAUAAGUUCAAAUCUCAUCAUUCUUAUUUAUUUAAUAAAAAUUAAGCACAGGGUAAAGUGGGUCUGUGCAAGUUUCAAACCUAAAAGGCUUUCACUCGAGGAGAUGUGUUAAAGAAUAAUAUAAAUCAUAUCUUAAGACCUCACCUAAUAAAUUAAAUUUUUGAAUUAAGAUGGUUCUUUACAAUAACUUCUAUUCUGACUUCAAUAGUGGAUUUAAGGAUAGAAAACCUGUAGGUUUGUGGUCAAGGAGGUUGGCUCUCUUCCUUAUAUUUUUUAUUUCAAACUUUAAUAACAAUACUCAUAUAAAUUUAUUUUUUCUGAAUGAAACUUGUUAAUACAAGAGUGUUAUUUUGAUGAAAAAGAAAAAUCUUAUUUUUAUCCCAUCACACCCCACCUAAGAAAUUAUGUAAUUAGUUAUUUCUAUAAGCUGUUCCAGAGAAUAUAGUCUUAAAUCAUUAUAUUUUACGACUCAUGAUUGUUUUUUUAAUAUAGCUGGGCUAAGAAAGAAAAAUAAACGGAGUUCUAUCUGCAUUUACAAUAGAAUUUUACAAUAGUGAACAAUAUAUCUAGGAAUAUCAGCGAUGAUGACCAUAGAUGGAUCAUGUGUGAAUUCUUAGCAAAUCAUUACUUGUAUAACCAAAAUUUCCUUCACAGCUCUUUUACUAAGCUGAUUGUCGAUGAAAAGUAAAGGAAAAGCAUGAUUCCCAAUCCGAGCUAUGUGAGCAAGUGUAUCUAGUAAAAAUAUCUCAUCUCCCAAGAAAACGAGAUUAGUAAGCCUCCCUUUAAAGCUUUGCUUUGCACACCUUUUCUUGAUCUUUCCCAAUCCUUCAUUAUAAAUGGGACCCAUCAAAAACAUGAGAUGUGCUUUAACCUCCUCCAUAUUUCAUCUUAGCCUAGAAGGAUAAACAAGAAUAUUAUUGCUUCUGAAACAUAACGAUUGCAAGCAUCGCCUUUCGGUGAACUUUUGAUGACAUGAAACUGCCACAAAUUGGGUCCUAUUCCGAGUGAGUUUUCUUUUUCUGCUCUGUUAUCGCAUAUAUACAACUGAAAUCUUUAAGUCCUCUUCAGGGUACCCCUGAAAGAAAAUGGUCUAUCAUGGAAAGUCCUGAGGAAUCUGAGGCAUAUAAUAUGAGAUAUAUAUCGUCCCAAGAUCAUAAAAAUGAUAAAUCUUAAUCUUAUCAGGUGUAGCCAUGAAAUGGGAUCAGAACCUAUUUUCCUAAUUUUAUUAACUAAAGGGAAAGCCACAACCAAGUCUCUGUACUAUAUGAUUGUCCAUUAAUACAGAAUCUAGCACAUCCUUGAGUAGCUAAAGAAAGCUAGAAUAAAGUACCUCUAGCAACAUCUUCACUGUUUAUUUUCUAAUAGUUUUGUUUUGUUAAAUCGCACUUGAAAAUACAGAACCUGUUCUUGAUAUUUCAUGGACAAUAUUUACUCUAGUUGUGCAAGUAACGUAUACACAAAUACCUGUAAUAUUGCAUCAAAAUUCAAACUAACAACAGUAUGUGUAUACUUGUGGAUAUGGAAUCAGCCAGAAGUGGAGAACCCCAUAAAUCUUGAAAACCUCUGUUGAUUGUGAUGGGUCCAAAAAGCAGAAAGCAAGUUACAAGCUGCCUGCUUUCUGCUAAUAUAUAUAAUGCUGCAUAUAUGACCUAUUUUGUACCAAGGCAAACCAUACAGUUUUAAUUGUUCUUUGAGUUAUAGUGUUAAUUUCACAUAUGGCACGUCAGGUAGAUCGUCUCACAAGGAUUGGAAUGGAAGGCUUUGCUCUGAUUGAGAAUAGUUAUGGCUGGCCUGGAAGGUCUGGAAGACUCCCCUCAACUCAGGUACAGCAAAAUCAUCAUCACUAUCAUCAUCAUCAUCAUCAUCGUCAAUACCAAGAUCAGCAAACAUUGGUUUAUCAGGGAACUCAAAUUACCACGGUGAGGAUGCCUGUGAUCAUUAGCAAUGAGGUAGUUCAAUACUAUGGUAACAUGGUGAAGAAGCCUGUUAUUCCUAGCAAUGAGGCAGCUCAAUAUCAAGGGGGUGUGGUGAAAGAGCCUGUUAUCACUAGCGAUGAGGCAGCUCAAUAGGAUGGUAGAAAGAAACGAUUUCGUUUAGAUUAUUAGGUUUCAUGAAUUUACUGAACAUGCUUAAUGUCAUGUAUGAGUAAUCUGAGUCACUUGGUUCUUAAAUCUCCUGGUUUCUUACUCAUAGAUAAAGCAACUUGGUCUGCUAAAGAACCUUGUAAAUUUUAUCUUUAGAGCUCCUGUUGUCACGCAGUUUUCUUAUCUAUAACGUAAUCAGCUUUACUGUAACUCUUUAUGUCUCUCUCUCUCUCUCUAUUUUUGUGUGUGGGUUGUGAUGAUCUUUCUUACUUCUGAUAAGCCAAAUGAUUCUCAAAGCACACCUUGGAAAACAACAGCUAAGGCAAGGCGAAAUGAAAGCUAAAGCUAGGAAUUAAAGAACAAAACAACAUAGAAUAUGAAGGAAAAAAUGAAUAAAAAAACGAAACAACAGAAUUAAAAAAAUAAAAAAUUAAAACAAAAGGAAAUUAGCCAAAAACAAUUGGAAGAAAAUUACUAUGGUAGGAGUUUAUGUUAAAAGAAAGAUAGGUGUUGUAUAAUAUCAAAAAUAGUAAUGCAAAGUCAAAACUCAAUAAGAAGAAGAAGAUUGAGAGAAACGUAUACUUUUAUUAAGUGUUUCUCUCUAAACUCUUUUAGUUAUUCUCUCUGCUUUUAUUCUUUUUAAAAAUGCUAAAUUACAAGUCUUUUAUAGGUAUAAAGUCCUAGAUAAUCAAGGAAUUAAACUAAUACAAGGAAAUUCUAAUAUGAACAAAAAUUGUAUUCUGCCUACUAGCUAAAUCAGUCGACUAGUUCCCAACCAGUGGAUCGGUUCCUCUAUUCUUCAUAAAAACAAGAAAUCGAGUUCAAUUUUCAAAACCCCUUUCUAAACUUGAUUUCUUCAUAACUCGCACAAAUCUCUUAUUUUGGUAAAAACAUCAUAUUCAACUGGUUUUGUGAAAAUAUCUGCAACUUGCUCUUGUGUCUUUACAUACUUGGCUUCAACUUCUUUGUUUGUAAUGCAAUCUCUUAGGUAAUGAAAUCUUGUGUCAAUGUACUUAUUUCUGUCAUGAAAAACUUGAGUUUUAGCUAAGGCAAUAGCUAAUGAGUUGUCCACAUAAAUCUAUGUAGACUUCUCUUAUGGGAUCCGUAAUACUUUCAGUAAUCUUAUUAGCUAUAUGGAAUGACAAACACAUGAUGUAGUAGUUAUAUAUUUAGUUUCACAUGUUGAUAAAGUGACUAUAGAUUGCUUUUUUAAACACCAUGUGAAUGUUGUGUCUUCCAUGUAGAAAACAAAACCAAUAGUGCUCUUUUUAUCAUCCAUAUCUCUAGCUCAAUCACUAUCAUUGCAACCCACAAUAUCAAAGCUAUUAGAAUAUCCAUAAAACAAGCCAAAAUCAACAGUACCUUUGAUAUACCGAAGAACUCACUUCAAAGCUUUGAAGUGUGUCAUAGUUGGUGUAUCCAUAGACCUACUCCCAAGUUCUACUCCAAAAAGAACAUAUGAACAAGUGCAUGUCAAAUAUCUCAAACUCCCAACUAGGCUUUUGAAUGUUGUAGAGUUUAUCUUCUCCUCUUCAUCAUUCUCUAUUAUCUUCACUCCACACUCAACUAGAAUAUUCUUUUUCGCACAAUCUUUCAUCUUGAACUUCUUGAGAAUCUCUUGGCUUACAAAGAUUCCAUCUUCUCCUUGUUUGAUCUCAAUCCCUAAGUAAUAUGUCAUAAGACCAAUGUCUAUCAUUUCAAACGCCUUGAUCAUUGUUUGCUUGAAGUCUUCAAACAUCUUUGGAUUAUUUCCUAUAAAGAUUAAGUCAUCCACAUACAAACAUAUAAUAAGAGUAUCACCACUCUCUUUGAUCUUUACAUAGAUAGCAUAUUCAUAGGAACAUUUAACAAAUGCAUUCUUUAAGAAAAAGCCAUCAAAGUGACUAUAGCAAGCCCUUGGGGUUUGCUUCAAUCCAUAUAAGACUUUGUUCAACUUUAGUACCUUGUCUUUAUGUCCCUUCACUUCAUAACUCAUAAGUUGCUUAAUGUAGACCUUCUUCUCAAGAAAACCAUUAAGAAAGGCUGAUUUGACAUCCAUUUGAUAGAUUCUCCAUCUAUAUUGGGUAGCUUUGGCAACGAUUAAUUGAACGGUCUCCAAUCUAGCAACGAGAGCUAAAACCUCAUCAUAGUCAAUCUCAUACUUUUAGCUUUCGCCUUUUUUCCACUAACCUUUCUUUGUACCUCUCCAUUUCUCCUUCGGCAUUCUUCUUUUCUUUAUAGAUCCACUUGACACCUAUUAGCUUCUUUCCAUUUGGUCUACGAACCAAUUUCUAUGUGUCAUUCUUCUUAAUUGAUGCAAGCUUCUCAUCCAUAGCGAUUCUUCAUUUUUCAUCCUUUAUUACUUCUUCAAACAUUAUAGGAUCACUUGUAGCAAGGUGAUAAUAUAGUGUUACAUCAUCAUCAAUAGGAGUAGUUACCUCAUAUAGCUCAUCAAGGCUCCACAUUCUUUUUGGUGGACUUGAUGGGUUGCCACUACUUGAACUUUCAUUAGAAAAAAAAAAAGAAAAGAGAUAAAGGUAAAGAUGACACCAUUGGUGAUUAUGGAGGUGUAGUUUGUUCUUGAUGAUCUUCAUAUCUCUCCUUCCCUUUAUCAGAACAGACAAGGCUUCAUCUUCUUCUUUCUUCUUCUUUUAUCUUCUCUCACAGGGCCAUUUCUUUUUCUUUCUCUUCUCUUCUCUCUAUCUCUCCUUCUUAGCUAAAAACAAGCAUUCUAUUAUCUUCUCAUCCUCAAGUACGUUGUCUUUUUUCAUUUUCUUUGGGUUUAAUAACAAUCUAUUUUCUUUUGUUUUGUUUUUCUUUUUUUUUUCCUUUUAAUUAUCAGUCGAAAUUAAGCAUACCAUUAAGGUUGGAAUUUUUCAUUCUUUUCUCUUCCCCUUUUUAUGUUUUUUGCAAUAUUUUUGUUUUUUGUCAUUAUUUUUGUUCAAUUUUGUGUUCUUAAUAAUUUUAUGAAUUAAUAAAUGUGUUGAAUUUUAGUUGUUAUUGAAAUAUUGCAUUAUUUUGUUGAAUUUUAGCUAUUUUUUUUUCAAAUUUGUUGUUCAAUUUUAAUUAAAUGUGUAGGAUUAAUUUUAAUUAUUAUUUUGUAUUUAUUCCAUAUAGAAUAAUUUUUUGUAAAUUUAGGAUUAAAAAUAUUAUAACUUAGAAAUAAUUGUGUUGAAUUUUAGUUGUUAUUAUAAUAUUUUUUGCAUUAUUUUGUUGAAUUUUAGUUGUUUUUCUUUUCAAUUUUGUUGUUCAAUUUCAAUUAAAUGUGUAGGAUUAAUUUUAAUUUUUGUAAAUUUGAAAUAUUUUUUUUUAAAUUUAGGAUUAAAAAUAUUAUCAUGUAGAAAAUGAAAAUUUUCUAUGAAAUUUAAUUAUGCUAAAUUGUUAGAAGAAAUUGAAUAAAAAUACCAGGCCUAGUGGAAGAAAUAUGUUGUGUAUUUGUAGGUUUAAAACUUUUGGGUAGUCUUCUGUGUAGGGGAGGUGCUGCCAAUUGUUUUUAAAAAAAAUACGAAUCAUUUAAUUUUUUUUAUUCAUUAAUUUGUGUAGAUGCCUAUAGAAAAGUCUAAUGCACGUCAUGAGGACAAGAUUGCUGCUAGUUCUUCUAGUAGCGAUGCUGACGACCACGAGUCAUUAGGUGCCAAUAAAAAAUAGGAACUUGAGGCACAUGCAUCAACUCACGACGCGGGCUUGUCGAGUGCAAUGUUGCAACGUCGAGGGGGGGUCCCUUCACAAUGGGAUCCAUUUACUUGCAAGUAUGAGGCCUAGUGGAAGGACGACCUUUCAAUGUAAGUUUUGCUUUCGCAAUGACAUGUUUAAUAAAUUUUCAAAAAAUAAUUUCAUUUAAUGAAUGCAAUUUCAGGUUUAUAAAUAUUGAGGCUGCGAGAACAAUAACAUCGAUCUAAAAUCAUCGAUAGAAAUUUCAUUGUUUUAAUGGAGCUAGGUUUCCAAACAUCCUGAAUGGAAACUGCAGCUCAUUGCAUGAUUUUCAAGGUUCAAGGUUGGUAGUAACUUAAAUAUUUUUUUAUGUUAAUUUGGUUAGUUUAUUGAAAUUAUUGAAUUUUUUCUGAGAGAGUUGGAAAAGCAUUACUGCAAAUAUCACUUCUACUAUUAACUCAUCGACGAAAUUACAGAUGGUAUUCUAUCGGUGAUAUGUUAUAUUUAUCGAUGGAUAUACCGAUGCACAAAUAAAAACACUGAUGACAUUGCAUACAGUAUUCCUGUUUGUGAUAUGUUAAAUUUACCAAUGGAGAUACUGACGGAAUAAAACAGAUAAUUUUUUUUUGGCGUGCUUUGUUUGUCUAUAAAUUCAUUGGUAUAUUUAUUACCGAUGGACUCACCAACAAACCAUAAAUUAUUGGCGAGAGUUUUUUCGAUGGACUGUCUCCAUCCGUGAGCCCGUUGACAAUAUACAUACCAAUGGACUGUGAGUGUGAAUACUGACAAAAAUUUCUGUUAGUAAAAUUGUUAAAUCUAGUAGUGAUUGCAUGAUCCACCGCUAGAAGUGAUGAGUACAAGUUAUGACCAUUUUAAGUUGUUGUUUCUGGUCUGACAUGACUAGACCUUCUCUUGGACCUAGACUUGUCCUACUAGUCUAUAAAUAUAUAUGUUAGAACAUCCAUAUAAUCUGUCUAGAGCAGAUACUCAUCUAAUUGUGGCAGACCCACAUAUGAUAGCUCAGAAUCACCUGUUAUUGCAAGCCCAACUACAUCAUUAAUGGUUUCUCAAGGUAAGUCAUGAGGAAUUUGAAGCAUAUAAAAUGAUAUAACUUGUCCCAAUAUCAUAAAAAUGUUAAAAAAAUGUGAGUAUAUGAACCCAUGAAGCGGGAUCAGAAUCUAUUUUCCUAUUGUUAUUAACAAAACGGAAAGCCAUAACUAACUGUUUGUACUAUAAUAUUGGGAGUGAGAGGUACAAUGUCCAGAAUGCUUCUAAGGAUAACCAUAUGUCCAUAUCCAUAAGAUCUCAAUCGAUUGCCCCUUACUACAGAAUCUAGCACAUCCUUAAGUAAAUAAAGAAAGCUAGAAUAAAGUGCCUUCACUGAUUAUUUAGCAUUACUGAGCAGGCCAAGUCUUCACUGCUUAUUUCCUAAUAAUUCCUUAUUGUGGAAUUGCACUUACAAAUAAAGAACUUGUUAUUGAUAUUUUCGUACAGAAUUUCUCUCUCGAUUAGUCGGUCAAUAAUGUAACUUCGUUUAUUCGGAUUUGAGGCCGGCCAUGAGAUGGAGAGGUUGUGUCACAUUAAUUAUGUCAUGUUAUAUGGAAUCAGAUUCACCAUUAUUAAACUAAAGCGUCUCAUCGAUUCUACGAAACUUGUCGAAAGGAAUCAUUUGUUCAAUAAUUGAAUGCGAUUUUUAUCGGGUUCACCUGACGAUCCAACCUCCAUCCACAAAUCCGGAUCGAAUUCCGAAUGGGUCAAAAUAUCGUCCCCGUAUCUCUCCCUCAACCGAUUAUUAUAGGUCUCCUGAAAAUAAAAAAAGUAAUCAUCAUAUUCAAUUCAAUAAACAUAAUAACUUACAAAAUAAAAUGGUUGAACAAACAUACCAUGAAAUGUUGAGCACGGUUAUCAACGAACUGUUGCGCCCCCUUUUGGCGGUCUUGACUCCGCACGUGCGUCUCCACAAACAGCUCCAUCGGGCUUGGCUCACGUCCAAGAGACGUAGCCUAUAAUGAAAAAAGAUUUAUUAACAACUUAAUUUAACGAUAUAUUUCAUUUAAAUUAAUCUUACCAUCCGUUUCGCAUGUGUAGCAAACGGAACGGAGCCGCCAGUGUGCGUUGUUACUGAGCCAUGAAUUGGCCGAUUCCGGUUGCCAACACCGGACUGUGAGCGUCGUGUAAACCGCUCAGACAUCACGUGCUCAAGAUAGUGCGGCCAUAUAUCUUUUGGGAUGUAUAUCGGUUUGAAAUUCCUCCAAACCGUAACAUCGUUCCAGCCUUGGAAACCCCUAUCUCUAGCGGUUUUUUUUGCCCUUUUUUGUGCUUCAUACCAAAAAUCACGCAACCAAAAAUUACAUUUCGAAAGAUAAAUUUUUGUCUAAAAAACAUCUUGUAUUGUUUUCGAUGUUACCUAGUUGCCGCGUGAUUUUCCCACACCCUCCUCGCAACAGUGUUAUGCUCACUGUCCCAGCAGAAUUUGUCCUGUGUAUAAAUAAUUAAUUUUAAAUAAAAAUAAUAAUUUAUUUACAAUUAUAUUAAUAAUUUAUUAGAAAUAAGCUGAAAAUUAUAAAUUAACACCAACCUCAAAUUUGUCAAACCAUGCAUUGAUUUGAGGCAUCCAUUCAGGAUGCUUGGAUAUCUGACUCCAUUGAAACAAUGGAAUCUUCAUCGACGAUUUAAACGCCGAUGAUAUUACUCGGGCAGCCUCAAUGUUUGUGAACCUGAAAAUAAAUGAAAUAAAUUCAAUAGUGAUUACUUCAUAAGUUAUGUUGUAAUUUUUUUUAAAAAAAAAAACUAAAACCUUAACAAACUUACAUUGAAAGGUCGUCCUUCCACUGUGCCUCGUACUUGCGGGUAAAUUGAUUCCGCUGCGAAGGCACGCCGCCUCUGCCCUGUGAAGUAGCGCUGGAAGAGGCAGCAUUGGUUGACGACGCAGGUGGUGUAGGUGCCUCUUCUUGAGAGGCACCUAAGGAAAUAUCAUCCUCGCUGCUAGACGAACUAGUUGCGACCAUACGUGAGCGACCAGCUUUGGUUUUCAUUCUACGCACCUACACAAUUUUAUACAAAUAAUUAUAUAAUUAAAUUCAAAUGUUAAAAAAAAAUUCGACAGCAUCUCCCCUAUACUGGAUACUACCCAAAUCUACAAACCUGCACAUAUUAACAAUAGCCACAACCAAUUGACCCAAUCUAUACUAACUAUUCCAACAUAUUCAAUUACUAAUCCUAAGGUAAUUCAACAUUAAGAAUUACAAUUCAACAAAUUAUUCAAUAAUUAUGCCAAUACAACAAUAAAAUAUAUUCAAUAAAUAAAUAAAAACUCUAGACUAACAAUUAAAAUUAAUGGAAAAAAUUAAACAUAAAUCAUGCAAUAAUAGAGUAAAAUUAACAAUUAUUUCAAAAUAUUCAAUUACUAAUACUAAGGUAAAUUCAACAUUAACAAUUACAAUUCAAAAAAUUAUUCAAUAAUUAUGCCAAUACAACAAAACAAUAAAUUCAAAAAAAACUCUAGACUAACAAUCAAAAUAAAUGGAAAAACUUAAACACAAAUUAACUAAUAAUAAUUAUGCCAACACAACAAUAAAAAAUAUUCAAAAAAUUCAAAAAAAAAACUAUAGACUUUAGGAAUCAAAUAUGCUUACUUUAAUAAUGUGUUGAAUUCAAUACUUUAUCUACAUUACAAAAAAUACACCAAAACAAAAAACAUAACAAAAAAAAAUAGCAAAAAAAAAACCCCUAAAGUAAAAUGAAAUAGAAGACACACAUACCUUUUAAACUGAUGAAGAUUCACAAGAAAACUUGCUAGAGAUGGUAGGUGAAAGCUUUGAAGAAUGGAGAGGAAAAAAAUCGAAAUUUAAGGUGAAAAACGGAGGAGAAGAAAAAAUGAACUGAAGGGGCGGUCGCUGGAACUUAUAUGGCAGUUUUACCGACGGAUUCACCGAGGGAUAUAAAAUUAAUUAUUAUUUUAAUUUAUUCUGUCAGUGAAGUGUCAAAAAUCCGUCGGUAAUUUUUAAAUUUCGCACCAAAAUUUUUAAUGACCCUCCAUAUUUUUCGUGGUCUGUCGGUAAUUUCGUCGGCAAGAUGACGCGGUCAGAGAUGCAUUUAAUGCACAAUCUUUUGGAAUUCGCACAGUCCGUCGGCAAUUUUGUCGGUAAAAUUGACCUGCCGACAACUUACCGACGGACUUAUAUCCGUCGGUAUUGUCGUCAGUGAUUGUGGCAUUUCAAGUAAUUAUUUUCGAACUCUCUGUGAAAUGCCGACGGACUUAUUCUGUUAGUAUGGACGUCGGUGAUUGUGGCAUUUCAAGUAAUUAUUUCAAGUAAUAAAUAUUUCAUGUUACAAAAUAUAUCAUUCAUAAUCUAAAUUACAUGAAAAAAGGGGUUUUACACAGGGCUUCAUUUUGAUAGUUAGUCAGAAUUUUCUUCUUCUUUGUCCUCAAUUGAAUAGUCAUCACCUUUAUCGCAAUCUUCAAUAUGGAUAUCAUCUUCUUCAUCGACAUUUGCUUGUCCGCUAGAGCUCAAAACAGCAUUCAACUCCUCUACGUGAACAUCAACAAGACUAUCAUCGAAAACAUGAAAAUUUGAAUUUUCUUCCAAUUCAAUCGAAUGAGCAACUCAAUAUGGUUCAACCACCUCACUAACUUGAAAGACUUCAUCUCGCACACUUGUGUCUUCGUUCUCAUCCUGAACAACCUCGACACGACCCCGGGGUUUUGUUUUUAAAACGGACAACCAAUCCACUCUUGAUCGAUCCUUUCUAAAUGAAGGGGUGUAUGUGUAAUAAACUUGUUGACAUUGCUUUGCGAAAACAAAGACAUCGUUUUUGUUGCGGAGUCUAGCUUUUGAGUUGAUUUCGACCAGACCAUAGUGCGGAUCAACUCUGAUUCCUCUGUCAGUCGUGUCAUACCAAUAACAUUUGAAUAAAAACACUUUAUUCUACUCGUUAUGAUAUUGCAGUUCGACGACCUCUUCUAAUCUACCAUAGUAGUCAACUUCUAACUCACUACUAGUGGAUCCCUUAACACAAACACCGCUGUUGUAUGUCUUUCUUCCUUGCCCGUAUUCUUCAGUAUGGAAAACAUAUCCAUUGACAAAAUACCCGUUGUAGCACUUACAUUUUCUUUCAGGCCCCAGGCUUAGUGAAGACAAUGACUUAGGCGCACUCCUUCCCAUUUGAUAAACCUUGUAUGUAAUGUACAUCAAUAAAUAGUAAAUGAACGAGAAUCUCAUAAUGACAUGCAUACGUACAGUAAUUUUGCAAGUUAGAAUGAGUUUGUGAUAGUGCUUACAUGUGUUCUAGACCACGUGACAAAGUGUUCAUCUUGUAAUUGAAAGAUCUGGGAUUCGGUCAGCUAUGAGUUAUUGGAGAGCAAAUAUUGUCGAUGUUGCCUGCAAGUGAUAAUGAGUGUAUGAUAUUAUAAUAAAUAAUUAAUAGUAUAUUACUAACAAAGUUUAAUUACUAUACACAUAUAUAUAUAUAAACCUUACUGAAUAAAAGGUCUCAGCUCAUCACAGUUAAAUAUAACAUAUUUGUGUGCUUAUUUGAACUCUAUUUCCGACAAAUAUCUUCCUCUUACGCCAUUUUUAGGUGUGGGUCGUCCAGUGUUAGAGAAUAUUGACAAGUUUCCACUGGAAGGCACUUCACCGCCAUCAUCAUACCGUGGAACGCGAUUGAUUCUCAUUCUUAGAUGAGGUUCGAAAUAGUACGAUAUAAAUGUUGAGAUCUCCUCAACAAUAUAGGCCUCACAUAUCGAAGCCUCAACGUGCGCCUUGUUCUUAACCUUUUUCUUGAGAUUAAACAAGUACCUGCAUUGAAUUAAUCAAGUAUUUUCAAUUAAGAAAAACAUAGAAAAUACUUUUAUAUAUGAAUUACAUUGCAACUGUAAUAUCUAACAGUUCGAAUGGGUACAUCCAUCUAUAUUGGACCGGUCCUCCAGCUUUUGCCUAGAACGGUAGAUGUAUAGGGAGAUGCUCCAUUGAGUCAAAAAAUGAUGGAGGGAAUAUCAUCUCAAGUUUGCAUAGUGUCUCAACGAUAUUCGUUUGAAGCCUCUCAAUGUGCUCAACAUUCAACUUGCUGGAGCAUAUAUCUCUGAAGAAAUGACUGAUCUCCGUAAGUGCAUCUCAUAUUCCCUUUGGCAACAAAUCACGAAAAGCUAAUGGGAUGAGUGUUUGCAUAAACACGUGGCAGUCAUGACUCUUCAUUCCAUACAAUCUGCAGUCCUCUAUAUUAACCAGCCUUGAUAUGUUUGAUGCAUGUCCAUCUAGAAAACGUAGACUCUUAAGCCAUUUAUAGACUAGCAGUUGUGCGUUUUUCUCUAACACGAAGCUUGCUCUUGGUUUUGCGACCUGUGACUCAUCAUAAAACAACUCCAUAUUUUUACGGUUACAGUAUAAAGCUAUAUCCAAUCUAGCCUUGAUGUUGUCCUUUGUCUUCCCCUUCACAUCCAUGACGGUGUUGAAAAUGUUCUCAAACACGUUCUUUUCGAUGUGCAUGACGUCAAGGUUAUUGCGGAGCAUAUUGGUCUUCCAAUAAGCAAGCUCCCAAAAGAUACUUCGCUUUACCCAAUUAUGGGUCAAACCAAAACCAGGAAACUUUUGCUUACCUGAUUGAAGGCCAAACACAAUGUCACCGUACUCUGAUACAACAUCAUGCAAUUCUUCACCAGAAAGACGCGGGGAUGCAACAUCUUUUUCAACUCUGCCAACAAAGAAAUCUUUUCUGUUCUUUCUAUACCUGUGAUUAAGUGGCAAGAAACGACGGUGACAGUAAAAAAAAGAAGCUUUACCUCCGUUUGCUAGCGUGAAUGCCUUGUUGUUUUCCAUGCAGUAUGGACAUGCGAGUUUCUCAUGCGUGCUCCAACCAGAAAGCAUUCUAUAAGCUGGAAAAUCAUUGAUAGUCCACAUCAAAGCAGCCCUCAUAAGGAAAUUUUGUUUCCUCGAUAUAUCAUAAGUCAGAGCUCUGGAGGACCACAACUGCGCCAACUCAUCAAUCAACGAUCGAAGACAAACAUCUAUAUUCCGCCCUGGGCUGCUUGGACCGGGUAUGACAGUAGAUAAAAACAUGAACUCCGGCCUCAUACACAUUCCCGGUGGCAAGUUAUAAACUGUGAGUAUGACCGGCCAACAAGAAUAAGGAGCAGCAAAUGACCCAAAUGGGUUGAAUCCGUCUGUACACAACCGAAGACGCACAUUCCUUGAUUCAGCUGAAAAGUGAGGAUGAAGACUGUUAAAGCAUUUCCAUGCUUCGCCAUCAGAAGGAUGCACCAUCACUCUAUCAACCGCAUUAUGUGCUUGGUGCCAUGUCAUGUGCUCAGCAGUCCUUGGUGACAUGAAUAACCUCUACAGUCUAGGUGUGAUCGGGAAGUAUCUAAGUUUUUUAUAUGCCACUAGAGUCUUUCCCCUGCCAGUUCUCGGUUUGUAACGGGAAUGCCCGCAUGUCAUGCACUCUGUCCUCUCAGCAUUUUCAAGGUAGUAUAACAUGCAGAAGUUAGGGCACAUGUCAAUUUUCUGGUAUCCUAAACCGAGGGGUUUCAUCAUGGACUUCGCAGCAUAGAAGUUCUCUUUCAGCCUGUCCCCUUCAAGUAAAAUUCUUCUCACCCAUUCAAUAAUGUUGUCAUACCCGACCUCACUCAACCCGUGAUCUGACUUGAUGGUGAACACCUGUGCUAGGGCCGAUAAUUUACUGUGGUUCGUGCAGCCAUCCCAUAAUGGUUCAUCAGAAUCUUUCAACAAAUCAAAAAACCUAGCUGCAUCUGCAUUAGGUUCUUCUUCUACGAUUCGACAUUGACUGACAUUACCUUGAUUCAUUCUCAUUGCAUCCAUAACUAUAUUUAUGUAAGGAUUAGUGUUGUCAUUUGCCGCUUCAUGCACGUUGCUAGCACUAGAAGUAGACCCAACCACCGUUUCUCCCAUUCUCCUCUUACUAACAAAUACUUCUCCAUGUGCAUACCAACACUGGUAAUUCUCCAUAAACCCUUUGUGUAGAAGAUGCAUCAUUACAACAUCUGGAUGCAGAUAUUUUUUAUUUUGACACUUCCUGCAUGGACACCUAAUACCGCCUCUAGUAAAAUUUAUCGGAAUAGAUGUUGCGAAAUUAAUAAAACCUUGAACCCCGUUACAAUAAUCAAUCCUCCGCAAUCCUUGGGGUGAAUCUCAAUACAUCCAUGAACGAUCAUCCAUGACUUAUAUCGAACCUCUAUAAAAUUAUGAUGACAUCAUGUAUUAAUUAACUAAGUUAGGUAAAUAAACUUGUAAAAAUAUUACUUUACCUCGAGAUUAUCCAACAAACCAAUCACAACUUCUCAUAAAUAUUAAAUAUUCAUUAUCAUUUAUCAACGUCCAUACAAAUUAAUAUAUAUAAAUUUACAGAAAUUACCACUCUGCAAUACCAUUAAUAAAACUUUAAACAGACCCAUUAAGCAAGCUAUUAAUUAUUUCAAAACAACACAUGUAAUUCAGUAAUUCCAUAAAGUUUUAACAAUUUACAAACAAAUACAAUCUUACAAAAUCUAAAACAAACCAUAACAGGUAUAGAAUUAUACAUUCAUAUACUACAAGUUUGUUUGAGAAAUAACAAUAAAACAUGUACAUCUACUAACAAAAUACAUAUACUAAAAAAACAAUAAAAUUGACAUUUAAAUGUUAAAAUUUAAAAAGAUAGAAUUACUUACAAAAAUUGAUAAAAUCCGUCGGUAAAUCAGAAUAUGGAUGUUGUGACCACAAAACUUUCAAGAAAUAUAACUUGUUGUGCUGAGAUGAGGGAGAUUUUUGUUUGGGGGGGGGAGGGGGGCUGGUUGUUUGCAGAUGGGGAGAGUUGGGAUUAGGAAGAAGAAGGAGAAAUAGGGGAGGAGAGGGUCGGUAGAGAGGGCAUUUAUUAACUUUUUCCGACGGUUUCACCGAUGAAAUUAUCAAUUGAUGAGUCCGCCAGCUAUUCUGACGGAAAAAUCGACACGUCACCGUAUGGAUCUUCCAUUUCGAAUCCCUCGGUGAUUCCGUCGGUAUUUCAAGCAGUGAACCGGUCACGUCACCGUACGGAUCUGCCAUUUCGAAUCCCUCGGUGAUUUCGUCAGCAUUUUAAACGGCGAACCGGUCACGUCACUGUGUGGGGUUGUCGUUUUGAAUCCGUCGGUAAAAAUAACCCCGCCAAAACCUCUACGUUUGCGACCCGCCUUUUUUUUUAAAUUCAAAACGUUUUCCGUCCGUAAUUCAGUCGGUAACUACCGACGGACACUUGUUGUCGGUAGUUACCGACUGAAUUACGGACGGAAAGGUUUUUGUCGGUAAUUUCGACCUCAAAUUACUGACAGAAAUAUUCCGUCGGUAAAUCCGUUGCUAUUGAGUGAAUUUCUAGUUGUGAAAGGGGCGCAUACGUACCACCCAUCUGUGAUCUCAAUCCAUGGCCAUUCUACGGGUUCAUCAUAAUCCGCAUAGAGUCGUUCAUAUUCUUCAAUGAGAUGGGUCGUAUGUUGUUCCAAGGUCGCGAACUCCUGAGACUGGGUGGUCAAUAUCGAUUGCAAGCUCCCAACGGUUGAGACACUACGGGCCACCUACAAGUUGGUCGUGGAGUUGGAGAGUUUGUACACCUGAUUUCUAUCGGGUCCACCAGAUGAUCCUGCCUCCAUCCACAAAUCCAGAUCGAAAUCCAAGUGGGUCGAAGGAUCGUUCCCGUAUCUCUCCCUCAAUCGGCUGUUAUAUGUCUCCUGAAAAUAAAAAAACUGAAAUCAUCAAAUUUAAUUCAAGUAAAUAAUAAUUUACAAAAGAAAAUGGUUGAACGAACAUACCAUAAAGUGUUGAGCGUAGUAGUCAACGAACUGUUGCACCUCUUUUUGGCAGUCUUCACUCUACACGUGCGUCUCCACAAAAAGCUCCAUUGGGCUUGGCUCACGUCCAAGAGCUGUAGUCUGUAAGAAAAAAAUGUUGCAAGUAAAAUAAAUUUAUAAAUAACAACAAAUUAAUUAAAGAUAAAUGUGAUUAAAAUUAAUUUUUUUGUUAUUUUUUAGGCUUUGUUUGGAAAAACAAAACCUAAUUUUUUUGUAAUAAAACUGUCGAAACAAGCAUAAUGGGGUGUUUGCCAAACACACCCUUAAACCAAAAAACCCUUUUAGCAAAAAUAUUGCAAGCUAAACAGGGUCUUAACCCUUUGACCCAUUCUUGACCCAUCUGGGUUGACCUGAUCGAGUUGACCUGACUGGGAUGACCCAAAAUCUUUGGUUUCAACCAUAAAUCGAACCAAAGAUCCUGGUUUGACCCGAAAACAACUCAAAAAGAAAACAAAAGCCAAAAAACAGAUUAAACACCAAAAAACAUGAAAAAACUCGAAAAUAACAAAUCAAAUGCAAAAAAAAAUGAAGAACACGAAUAACAUGAAAAACAUUAAAACUCAAAUUCUAGCAACAUGAAUUCUAAUCUAGACCAUAUUUCAGGAAAUAAAAAGCACAUAAAGGAUGGAAAUCAAUCAUUGAACAAUAAUUAAGCAUCAAGCAUCGAUGAUUAUCAACCAAUAAUCAUGAUUGAGUCAAAAUAGGUUUUGGUUCAAAACCAAAAUCCUAUGAUUAAAACCCCCAUAAAACUUGUUAUUGAUACAAAUGAACUCUAGACUACUAAUUAAUCAAGUCCAAUGAAGUGUUUAAUGCAAUGGACCAAAACUGGUCCAAAACAUAGAUAUAAGCCAAUGUUUUUCCCAAGAACAUAGAACACUGCCUUAGAAAACCCGGCUAUUGUCAAGCCACCAAAACUGGCAUUUUCGACCACUAAAACAUGCUUUCUUCGUUUCAAAAAGUCACACUACCAUAACCAAACAUGUUUGAAUAAAAAAACUAACAAAUAACAUUAAAAUCAUGCAAGAGGUUCCAAACUUCAAAACUACAAACUUAAAAUAGCCUAUAUAUUUAUGCAAUUUGGAUUCAAUUUUUUUUCCUAAACCUUCAAUAAGACCCAACCAAAACCUAGAAACUAAGAACAUGCAUCAGCCAACAUAAAAAAACAUCAUAACCUUGCUACCACAUCUAGUAGAUUUCAAAAGUACUUUAUUUCAUCAAAACUCAUCCAACAAACAUCACCUAAGUAUUCAGAGACAUUAACAAACAACUCAAAUCAAGAUUUAAACAAUAAAACAACUUUUUUAUGUAUUAAUCAAAAUCAAAACUAAAGAACAUCAUAACAGUAAAGCAAGUUUGAAAACAUCAUUAAACAUGUAAAACAAGUGACUCGACUAACUCGGAAGGAAGUUAAGUUUGAAUGGUCAAAAGAGUGUGAAACAAGUUUUCAAGAGUUAAAAUCCAGGCUAACUUCAACCCAGUAUUGGCUUUACCAAAAGGACAUGAGGGAUUUGUUAUGUAUAGGGAUGCUUCCAAUAAGGGUUUGAGUUGUGUAUUUAUGCAGCACGGAAGGGUAAUUGCUUAUGCAUCUAGAUAGUUGAAACCACAUGAGAUAAACUAUCAUGUACAUGAUUUGGAGCUGGCAGCUGUGGUGUUUGCUUUGAGGAUAUGGAGACAUUAUUUGUACGCGAUAUAGGAGAUGGAUGGAGCUAAUCAAAGAUUAUUACAGAUCACAAAAGUUUAAAAUAUUUGAUGUCAUAAAAAGAAUUGAAUAUGUGAUAUAGGAGAUGGAUGGAGCUAAUCAAAGAUUAUAAUUGUAUUAUUGACUAUCACCCGGGGAAAGCAAAUGUGGUGGUAGAUGCUCUAAGUCGGAAGAAUAAAGCUUUUAUUAGUGGUUUACUAGUGCUAAGUGAGCUAAAUGUGCAUUUGGAUGUGACUUCAGGAGGAAUAUUACUGGCAACAUUAGUGCUAUAAUCAGAUAUGAGAGAAAAGAUUCGAAAAGCUCAAGGUGAAGAUCCUGAAGUGAUAAAAGAAAUGAACAAUGUAAAAGUAGGCCAAGACUCUUUAUUUCGAGUGUCAAAAGAUGGGCUAGUUAUGGGAAACAUAAUAUAUUUACCUGAUGAUAAGGUUUUAAAAAGUGAAGUCUUAAAAGAAGCUCAUGAGUCUAAAUUGACGAUCCAUCUAGGGAGCACGAAAAUGUAUAGAGAUUUGAAGGAGAGUUACUGGUGGCCAAAAAUGAAAAGGGAGAUAACAUAAUACGUGGCCAAAUGUGCCAUAUAUCUACAGGUGAAUGUAGAGCAUCAAUGGCCGAUUGGAGAAUUACAAUCUCUUUCGAUUCCAGAAUGGAAAUGGGAGAAUAUCACUAUGAAUUUUGUAUCUAGCUGGUAAGGACUUGAUGCCAUAUGGGUGAUCGUGGAUAGACUGACAAAGUCUUCUUUGUUUUUGCCUAUGAAGAUAGGGGAUUCGGUUGAAUAACUAGCUCAAUUAUAUAUUAAAGAGGUGGUGAGAUUGCAUGGUGUACCAGUUUCUAUAGUUUUUGAUAGGGAUCCUUGGUUUACAUCAAGGUUAUGGCCGAGUAUACAAUGGGCUUUGGGUACCAUAUUGAAUUUAAGAAUGACUUUUCAUCCACAGACUGAUGGGCAAUCUGAAAAGACAAUUUAGAUUUUGGAAGAUUUGUUAUAGCUUGUAUUCUAGAGUUUGGAGGUCAAUGGGAGGAUCAUUUGCCAUUAGUAGAAUUUACUUAUAAUAAUAGUUAUCAAUCUACUAUUGGCAUGAAACCAUAUGAAGCAUUGUAUGAAAGGUGAUGUCGAACUACAGUACGUUGGGAUGAAGUUCGGGAAAGAAAAUUAUUGGGAUCUGAACUGGUGCAGAUCAUGGUUGAUAAGGUGAAGGGGAUAAAGUAAAGGAUGAAAGAAGCUCAAGACCGGUAAAAGAGUUGUGCUGAUAAUUGACGGAGACCUCUAGAGUUUCAAAUUGGAGAUAUGGUAUUUUUAAAAGUUGCACCAUGGAAGCAUGUGAUUCGGUUUGGAAUGAAAGGCAAAUUAGCACCCAGGUAUAUCGGGCCAUAUAAAAUUAUAGAAAGAAUUGGGAUGGUUGCCUAUCGAAUAAUCCAAUCCUUAGAUUGAGCUGAAAUUUUACGAGGGACUUUAAAAUAUAUUGAAUAAAAUUUGGUUAAAAUUUUAGGAUGAACAGAGCUCGGUGUUGCUUAAAAAAAAUUAGGACCUUCAAAUAGAAGCAAAAUGACUCAUUAAGGGUAAAAUGAUUAUUUGCCAUUAAAAAUAAAACAAAUCAGCUCUCCUUUCCUUUUAUAUGCUGCCGACUGGGCAGAAGCAGAGUGGGAAAAGAAGAAAAGAAAAAAAGCGAGUGAGAAAGAGAGAAAAGUAAGGAAAAAAUAAGAAAAGUGAGAGAAUAAUCUUGUAAACUUACAAAGUCCAACUUAUAAAACACUAAUCUAAGGAAGAAUCAAGUGAAGGAAGGAGGAUUUGAGAGAGAGAAUUUGGCUAACCUUGGGAGAGAAGAGAAAUUGGAAGAAAGUCAAUUAGUAAGUAUGAGAAGUUUGGAUUUAAUGUUUGAUUUAGAUGUUUUUAAGCUAACUCGAUUAAGUUAGGAAGUAAUUUCAUGGAAUUUUACUUUAAUUUCCCUUAAAUCCUUGAUUCUUGAACUUAGGAUUCUUAUGGGAAUUUGGGGGAAUUAGAAAGGGAAGGAAAAAUGAUGAAGUAAGUGGAAUAGCAUGAAAACAAGUUGAAAUAACAAGUAAAUGAAGAAAAAUUUGGGGGAGGAAAAAGAAGAUGACAUUUGGCCAAAUGAAGGAAAAGUGGAGGAAUGAGUUUUGAUGUUAAUGUUUAGGAAACUAUGUUUAAUCAUGAUAUUUGAAAUAUACAAGAAAGACUAAAUGAAGAAAUAACAUUAAAGUUGAGAAAAAUAAGUAAAUUCAAUUUAAAAGAGAAUUGAACUAGUUAAAAAGAAAGUAUGAAGACAAGAUGUUUAGAUUGUGUUUGAAUAUAGUUCUUACAUAUGUUUAGAUAAAAUAAAUAAUAUGAUGUGAAGGCAUAAAGAAUAGAAGGAUUAUUUGAUGGAAGAAUUAUGAACAUAAAGUAAGAAAAGAAGUCAAAAAGGUCAUUCUCAGUCUUCACACUUCAUGCACAAGGAAAUAAUAUGUUUAAUUCGUCAAUCGACUCAUAGCCAACACUGUAACAAAUGUUUGGGAUGAAGGGAAAAGUAUAGAUUUUUCUCAUUAGAGAAAGAAACUGCAUAAAAUGUGAAUGCUGUAAUUAUUUUCAAAGAACUUAACCAUAAAUCCACCCUUCUUGCAAGGAACAAAGCCUUCUUCCCUAUAUUUUCAAAGAAUGCUAUAAUUAUUAUGGUGAAUCAUGCAAGCAUAUCCCACUACCAGAAAAUUGAUAAAUACAAACGGAAAUACCGAGGGAAUAUUUCCGUCGGUAAAUUUCCGAGGGAUUUUACCGACGGAAAUAUUCCCUCGGUAUAUACCGAGGGAAUUACCGUGGGAAAAAAAAUUAAAACAAAGCAAAAAAAAAAUGAUGACGUGUCAUUUUUACCAACGGAAUUACCAACAGAAUUACCGACGGAAUAAAUUCCGUCGGUGAUUCCGUUGGAAAAUUUGUUGGUAAAUUGUGAACACUGUUCAUCAUGUUAAUUACAAAGGGAAUCACCGACGGAAUAUUCCGUCGGUAUUUUCCAGAGGGAAAAGUCGUCGGUGUUAUUUGGCGGUUUUCUGAAAAAAUUCAAUUAAUUUAAAAUUUUCAUUUAAAUAUUACAGACGGAAUCACCGACGGAUUGAAAAAUCAUCGGUAAUUUUUUGGCGGUUUCUGAAAAAAUUUUACGAAAUUGAAAAUUUAAAUUAAAUAUUACCGAUGGAAUUACCGACGGAAUAAUUAAAAAAUAUUAAUAUUUAAUUAUCCGUCGGUAAAUCCGUCGGUAAAGCGUCCCAAUAAAAAGCCUGAAUGCCCUUAUUUCACAAGAGACAGACCCGUUUCUUAUUAUUAUUCUUCUUCUUGUUCUUCUACUUCUUCUUCUUCUUCUUCUUCUUCUUCACUAUAUGUAAAAAACAUCAUUAAGGUAUGUCUUCUUCUUCUUCUUCACUUUAUGUAAAAAACAUCAUUUCUUAUCUAUUUCUUUCUCUUCUUUUCUCUCCUCAUCUCCUUCUCUUUUCCUCCAUGCUUGGAUAUGUCUUUUUCUUCUUUCUUCUUUUAUCCUCUUAGUUUUUUUUUAAUUAAUAUGCUUAAUGAAAUUUUUUUUCUCUCCUUAGCUUCACUUGCAACUACAUUAAGGUAAGAUUUUUCUUUUUUCUUCUUUUUUCAUGAUUUGUUUCACUAUAUUUGUUCUUUAUUUUAUUUUUAAUUGUUUUUGUUCUUAAUAAUUGUAUAAAUGUUGUUGUGAGAUGUUUUUUUCAUAUGAGAUCAAUUUUUAGUAGAUUUAUUUAUAGGAUUUUUAAAUUUUUAGCAAUUGCAACUUCAUUUUUUUCAUAUGAAUUUUUUUAGUUGAAUUUAUUUUUUUAUUUUAUUUAUUUGUUGCAAAUUUGUUUGAAUUGAUUUUCUUAUUCUUUUUUCCAAGCAUUUUGAGUAUAUAUUAUACAGUGUUAAUUUAUGUCAAUUUAAUUAUUUUAUAAUUUUAUAAAAUGAAUUUUUUUAAAAUGUUUUUCAAUAAUUACCGACGGAAUUACCGACGGAAGUUCCGUCGGUAAUUCCGUCGGUACAUCCCUCGGUAAUUCUGUUGGUAAUAAAAAAAUUAUUACCGACGCGUCUGUUCCGUCAGUAAAUCCAUCGGUAAUUCUAUUACCAACAGAUUUACCGACGAACGAUUCACCGACGAAUCAUUUCCGUCUUUGAUUCCGUCGGUAAUAUAAUUACCGAUGAAAUAUGUGUCUUACACCGACGGAAAAAUUCCGUCGGUAAAACUGUUAAAUCUUGUAGUGUCCAGAAUGAUUUGAUAUUUCUUAAUUGAAUUUUGGAAAAGUCGUGAUACUUGGUAAAGCCUUUGGAUAGUUUCUCUGAGAUGUGAUGGAAUUAACAACAUAUUGAGAAUAAUAAAAAAGAAAAAGCAACUGAAUCAAUGAUCAAAAGUUGUGAAAAUUAUAUCUUUCUUUGAAGAUUUUGAUUUUGACCACAGUGAACCUAUAAGCUUAGAUAGAGAGGGCUUCUAUGAUUUCUAUAUAUACGGACUAGCUUGGCUUCAAACCAUAUGUACAAGUCAAGCUCAAACUCAGAACCUACUUAAACUGUUUCUUCUUCUUAUUUUUUAGUGUCAUUUUGCAAAUGGCUCGCCAAGCAGAUCGCCUUUACAAGAUUGGGUUAAAAGGGUUUGCACUAAUAGACGAGUGGUACGGGUGCCCUAGGAGGUCUUCAACUCCUCAAGAGCACCAUCAGCAACGAUAUGAUUAUGGUGGAAUCCAAGUUCCCAUGAUGAAAAUGGAUGUUAUCAACAACAAGGAGGCAGCUAAACAUUAUGGUGGGGUGGUGAUUAUGGAUUAUCGAAAGAAAAAAUUACUCUAUUGAGCUCUUUAGUGAUAAUGUAUUGGGCCUUGCUUUGCUUGGUUAAGUUAAUUACCAAGCAUAAUUAAGUCGUUUUUAACUUUAUUGUUUUCUUCUUCUUUUUCCUAUGUUUGUGUGUGUGUAUGCCAAUUGUUUUAGAGUCAGCUACUCCAAAACAUGAAAAAGUAUGAGUGCCUUAAAGUGAAUUGUUGCACCUCUUAUUUCUCUAUGAUUACGAUUGUUGGGUUUCUUGAAAUACAUGACAUAGUGAAAAUAGUUUUUUCAAGUCUCAUGUAUCUCAUUAAACAACAUAAACUUAUUUAAGAUUUGUGCGAAAAUUGUAUGAAGAUAGUUCUUCCUCCUAGAAUUUGAUCAACACUUGAAGGCUGCAUUCUCGUAAAUCAAGUCCUUACUUGAUUUUUCUAAAUCUAGAAUUUUAAUCUCAUGUGCUAAUUAUAUUAUAGUUUUCANNNNNNNNNNNNNNNNNNNNNNNNNNNNNNNNNNNNNNNNNNNNNNNNNNNNNNNNNNNNNNNNNNNNNNNNNNNNNNNNNNNNNNNNNNNNNNNNNNNNAAAAAUGUAUUAUUCUGUAUUUGUAAUCUUAGUUUGUUUACUUGCAAUUGUUAUGAAUUAUGUGUGUUAAUGGGAAAGAAAUGAGCAUGCGAAAUGUGAGGCAUGUACCAUGAAUGAUGUGUUGUCAAGGUUCUACAUGAUUAUGAUAUGAUUGAGAAAUGAGUAUAACUAUACAGGAUGAUUGUCGAUAACUUGGGACCUCCAGGUAUAAAGGAAACUCUGCCGAAAUUUCAGUGGAAAUUUUGGCAACUCUCGGAUAAGUUCGGUGGAUGAAAAAAAAAAAUACCCAUUUUUUUAAAAGUUAAGGCUCAAAGUACUUUGAUGAAUGUACUAAAUUACAGGGUGUUACAAUUUCUGUAUCGGAUUCUUCAAGGAUAGUUUAAAUGUCUCAAAAGUUUAAAAUUUAAAAUAAAUUUAAAAAAAAUAAUUAGGAUUGCUGUUUUGGAUUUUUCAAGGAUAGUUAAAAGUCUUAAAAUUAUAACAUUCAAAAGAAUUUAAACAAAGGAAUUAGGAUUUCUGUUUUGGAUUCUUCAAGGAUAGUUUAAANNNNNNNNNNNNNNNNNNNNNNNNNNNNNNNNNNNNNNNNNNNNNNNNNNNNNNNNNNNNNNNNNNNNNNNNNNNNNNNNNNNNNNNNNNNNNNNNNNNNUCGCCGCGUCGCCGCGCACCCCGCUAUAAUUAUUAUGGUGAAUCAUGCAUGCAUAUCCAGAAUGAUUUGAUAUUUCUUAAUUGAAUUUUGGAAAAGUCGUGAUACUUGGUAAAGCCUUUGGAUAGUUUCUCUGAGAUGUGAUGGAAUUAACAACAUAUUGAGAAUAAUAAAAAAGAAAAAGCAACGGAAUCAAUGAUCAAAAGUUGUGAAAAUUAUAUCUUUCUUUGAAGAUUUUGAUUUUGACCACAGUGAACCUAUAAGCUUAGAUAGAGAGGGCUUCUAUGAUUUCUAUAUAUACGGACUAGCUUGGCUUCAAACCAUAUGUACAAGUCAAGCUCAAACUCAGAACCUACUUAAACUGUUUCUUCUUCUUAUUUUUUAGUGUCAUUUUGCAAAUGGCUCGCCAAGCAGAUCGCCUUUACAAGAUUGGGUUGGAAGGGUUUGCACUAAUAGACGAGUGGUACGGGUACCCUAGGAGGUCUUCAACUCCUCAAGAGCACCAUCAGCAACGAUAUGAUUAUGGUGGAAUCCAAGUUCCCAUGAUGAAAAUGGAUGUUAUCAACAACAAGGAGGCAGCUAAACAUUAUGGUGGGGUGGUGAUUAUGGAUUAUCGAAAGAAAAAAUUACUCUAUUGAGCUCUUUAGUGAUAAUGUAUUGGGCCUUGCUUUGCUUGGUUAAGUUAAUUACCAAGCAUAAUUAAGUCAUUUUUAACUUUAUUGUUUUCUUCUUUUUUUUCCUAUGUUUGUGUGUGUAUGCCAAUUGUUUUAGAGUCAGCUACUCCAAAACAUGAAAAAGUACGAGUGCCUUAAAGUGAUUUGCUGCACCUCUUAUUUCUCUAUGAUUACGUUCUUGGGUUUCUUGAAAUACAUGACAUAGUGAAAAUAGUUUUUUCAAGUCUCAUGGAUCUCAUUAAACAACAUAAACUUAUUUAGGAUUUGUGCGAAAAUUGUAUGAAGAUAGUUCUUCCUCCUAGAAUUUGAUCAACACUUGAAGGCUGCAUUUUCGUAAAUCAAGUCCUUACUUGAUUUUUCUAAAUCUAGAAUUUUAAUCUCAUGUGCUAAUUAUAUUAUAGUUUUCAAUUUCUAAAACUUAUUUACAAUCAAUUUGUUAUUAUCUACUUUUGACUCCACAAAAAAUCAAGAAAAGAAAGAGAAAAUAGAAAGAGAAAAUCCAAAAUACAAGAAGAUAUACAUGAAAAAAAAACAUAAAAGAUUACUUAAGUUGAUGGUGAAGGACCAAAUUACAUGUGGAAAAGUUGAAGGACCAAAAUAUACAAAACUACUAUAAUUAACAACUCAAUUCCAAUUGACAAAGGGCCCCAUUGGUGAAAAUAUUUCUAUUAGGGUAAAGAAAUACAAAUUUGGAUAGGUAAGGACUUAAUGAGAAUUUUGGAAGGCUUAAUUAAUUUUAUUGAGGACUUGAUUACUGGGAAAAUCAGUUUUUAGAGUCAAUUUGGGUGUUAAUUGAAAUAAAUUAAAGUCCAUAGACUUAAUUGGUUUUUUAGGAGGUUUAAUUGGAUGAAUCAAGGGCUUAAUUGUAAGAAUAUUGAAGUUUGGUAGGUAAUUAGGGACUUGAUUGAAGAAAUCUAAAACCAAGGACCAAACUGAAAAAAGGCGCAUGACUGUAGAGACUAAAUUUGACCAAAUUAGGGGCCAAAUUGAAGAAAAUUGAAAGUUUAAUGGUCAAUUAAGGGUCCGAGUGCACAAAUUAGAAACUAAGGACCAAGAUUAAAAUGGCGCUGAACUUUGAGGUUGAUGAUUGAGCUGGACAAGGGUGAAAUUACAUGAAAUUAAGAGUUUGAAGGACAAUUAUAGGUGCAAUUAAAACAAAUUUGAAGAAUAGGGACUAAAGUGAAAAUUUUCAAAUCCCAAAUAAAAAACCCUAAUUUCUAGGGUUUAACCUAGAUGAUGCGUCGUUCGACCAUUGUUUAGUUUUUUGUUGGCAAUUUUGGUUGAUCGAGUAGGCACCUUCAAACGAAUGAAUGUGGCGUUUCCAACCACUUCUAGGGUUGUAACCACCACCAUUUAAUUGAGAAACACCCCAUCUACAAAGAUCAACUACGACCAUCAAGCACUUAUAUCCCAUUUUCUUUAUCGAACUCAACAACAUCUUUUCCUAGUUAGCCAUUACUACAUUUUCAAAUUCUCGGAUAAUCGAGUUGUCGCCUUCAACAAGUGAAUAUGGGGCUACAGACAUCCAAAUUGAACAAGAAUGGACCAAAUCGAAAGGUGUGAUUCUCCUUUAUAAAGUUUAGGUGGUCUCCAAUAACAUUUACGUUGGAGUUGCUCUGGCGUGGCCUCAAAAUUGGUCAACUUAGUCAGUCUUGACUAAGAUACCUAUUUGUACAAAGUCAUUCAACUUUUUCGUGUGUUCACACUUAAAAAAUUUUAGAGGGUUCUUAUCAAGGGUCAUAAAUCUCAUCCAUAAUCAGAAGGUGAGGGAUGCAUGCCUUUGUCUCCAAGAAAAAAAAAACCUCCUAGGUAAUUUUGUUAGAAAACCAUUGUCCCAAAACCAUUGAAAGACAAAGGUUCUGAUUGUUAACAUUUGUCCAGAACUCUCUCAUUUUGAUCAAAGAACUAAGCUUUGAUCGAUCUAUAUUUGAAUCCAUUAAACACCCUAGCAAAACCCUAUAAAUACCCCCUGAAAAAUAAAAAUAAAAAGAGAGAGAGGAAAAACAUGGAAGAAACACACUAUGAAAAGAUCCUGGUGUGAAGGUUCAAGAGCCUAACAUAGAGGGUCUAACAAGCUUUAGAAAAAAUAUAGUGAAAGGGAAAGAGGUAAAUAAAAGAGAAGGAAAAUAGUUCAUAGCUAGCAAGCUUGGAUAAGGUAUAAAUAUGUAGAAAUUCAAGCGUGGAGUCCAUGUGGCCUUCCUUUUCAUGCUUUCUUAAUGUUUAAACCUCUUUUGAUGUUGUUUGAGCUUGUCUUGCAUUUUUUGGUUUGAUUUUGGUGCUGGAAUAAUUUGAUGUAUUUUCAGCAGAGUUUGUUUUAUUAGAUUUCAUUAUGAUAAUUUGUUUUAGUUUUGGUUAAUAAUUUGUUAUUGAGGUUUGCACUAAAGACAUGAUUCUUGGUUUUCACACUUGUUUGAUUAUGUGAUUUUAGCCUAAUAGCAUGAUGAUGAUGUAUUUGAGAUAUUUUGAUUGGUGUUUGAAUCUAUUUUGUAAUUAAACAAUGAGUUGUUUUUGUUUGUGGGUUAAAUAUUUUGGAAGCAUGUUGAUUAAUUUGAUGAUUUUAGUGCAAGUUCAUGGUUUAUACAAGUAUGUUUUGGCAUAUAGAUGUUAAAAAUAUCAAGUUUUGAAUCCAAAUAGCAUGAAUAUGCUUGUUGAUUAUCUUUAGUAGUUUUGAACUUUGGAACUUAAUGCAUGUUAUUGAUGACUUUAUUUUAUUUGUUAGUUCUUUGAAUUCAACAAUGCUUAAUAUUGAUAAUAUGGUUUGCAAGGACCAAAAGAAACAUGUUUUAGAAGCCUUAGAGGCUAGUUUUGGGUUUAAUAGUAGGUUGGGAACUUUUAGGUUGCUGGGUUUGGUUUUUUCAUGUUCUUGGAAAGAAAAUUGCCUUAGCACUAUGAUUUAGAUCAAUUUUGGUCCCUUUGUUUACACUAAACCAUUCAGGGGACUUAACUAGUAGAUAAUAUAGGGUUUAUUUGCAUUAAUAACAAGUGUAUGGGUUUUUAAUCCUAAGAUUUUGGUUUUUAACCGAAACCCAUUUUCACAAAAUCACGUUAAUUCUUUGAUAAUCGAAGUAAUGGAUGCUAGAUUAUGGAUCCUUGCAUGAUUUCAAAUAAAACCUUGCCCUUGAUUGCAUGAAAACUUGACUGGAUUAAGAUUUGUGUUUGUUGGUUUGUUGAUGAAUGCUCUUUGUGUUCUUCACGAUUUGAGUGUUUGAUCUAUUUUUCUGCAAAUUUUUUUUUAUGUUUUGUGUUAAUUUUCAACUUUGAUUUUGUUUCAGGUUAAACCUUUGUUUGAGUUUACUUUUCAGAUCAAACCUUGUUUUUUGGUUCAGUUCAUGGUUAAACUAGUGUCUUUGGGUCGACCCGUUUGGUUUUGUUUUAGGUCAAGUACUUAAGGCUUUGUUUGUUUGAACAACCUUUUGUGAAGGAUUUUUUUGGCCCAAGAGAAUGUUUGGCAAACACACACUUAAGUGCAUUUUGGUAAUUUCUAGGGAAAGAAAAGAUGGUUUUGCCAAACAUUGGCUUAUAGAAAUAAACUAGCUAUGUGACCCGCGCUCCACCGCGGGUUAAAUAAUCAAAAAAAUUUAAAAGAGCUCCUAAACAAAAUAAAAGAGAUGAUGUUUUAUCCAGGUUAUAAAAAGGUCCAAAGAUGUUGGGUCUUGGUGGCAGAAGGAUCCAAUUGGGUGUUGGGCCAUGGUGGAGGCAAGGCCCACAACUGUUGGGUCUUGGUGGGAGGACCCAACACGCAAUUGGGUCCUACACCGUCAAGACCCAACAUCCACAUGGGUCCUGCACCUGGCAGGACCUAGAAGGAUGUGGGUCCUGCACCCGGCAGGACCCAACAUGCAAUUGGGUCUUGCACUGUGCAGGACUCGAAGCUAAUUUCGGUCCUGCACCUUGCACGACCCAAAGUUAUUGUGGGUCCUGCGCUAUACUCAAUUGGGUUGGGUCCUGCAUCCUGUAGGACUUAAAGUGCAGGAUCCAACACCCAAUUGGUCCUGCACAUGUCAGGACCUAACACAUAAUAUAUAUAUAUAUAUAUAUAUAUAUAUAUAUAUAUAUAUAUAUAUAUAUAUAUAUAUAUAUAAUUCAAAACUACUGCAUAAAAAUCUAAAGACAAUAAAAUAUUGAUAUAACUUUGAAUCUCAUACACUAAUGUUAUAAAAUUAAAAUAUCUUGUAUUACCUAAAAUAAAAUCUCUUAUAUAAUACUAAAGAUUUAUAAAGUAUAUGAUGUAAAUAAAAAAUUUCUUGAGAUUUCUAUCAACUUUAAUAUGAAAAUAUUAGAGAAUAGAAUUAAAAAUUUUCAACUUUUUUCAAAGUAUUUUUAAAACUAUGAGUCAGGUGCCCUUGUCAACUCUUAGUUUUUUAGGUCUAGAAGGGAAUGUCAGAUCCAUGUUAAUAAUAAUAAUAAUUCAUUUAAUUAUAAUUAAAAUGAAGAAGAAGAAGAUACAAAAAGGAAAUUAAUACAGGUUUGUAAGCCAUGUAAAACACAAUUACUCAAGAUAUUUCAUGGUUUGCAUGCCUCUAGUUUGCGUGCGUGGUUAGGUUUCCCAUCUAUUUUAUGAAUUCACGCAAACCUAUUAUGAUAAUAUUUACAUACCAAGCACUAGAAACUAUAGAAGAAAAAAGAAAAUCUGACAAUAAGAAAAAUAUAUUGGUCUCAUAAUAUCUAUUUAGCCUUACACUUCUGGAAAAAGAUUAAUUUUCCAUCAGCACCAUGGACAUCUGGAAAUUUUUAUUUUUUGAUUUACUUUAAAUUAGUAUUUUUUUGACAUUUUUGUAUUAUUUUUAAAAGAUUGUUUCCAAAAUAUAUAUUUAGAUUGUGUCUUGAAAAUUUUUAAUUUUUUUCUUGACUUUAAAUUUUGAAGACACAAUCUCAACAUAAUUUUUUAAAAGAAAAUAUUUAAAAAAUAAUAGAAAAACAAAGAAAAAAGUAAUUUAAAGUAAAGGAAAAAAAUAAAAAUAUUUCAAGACACAAUUUCAAUAUUUUUUUUCAAACAUAGUAUUUAAAAAACAAUAGCAAAAUAUAAAAAAAAUCAAUUUGAAUUAAAGGAAAAAAUUAAAAAUUUUCAAAUUUCUUGGCUCUUGCUUCACAGUCAGACACAAUCUCAAAAAAAUAAUUUAAAAUCUUUAUUUAAAAAAUAAUAGAAAAACAUAGAAAAAAAAAUUUAAGUAAAGAAAAAAAUUAAAAAUUUUCAAGACACAAUCUCAAUGUAUAUUUUGAAAAAAAAUAUUUUCAAAAUAAUACAAAAAUAUAUAUAAAAAAUUAAUUUAAAGUAAAUUAAAAAUUUUCAAAUUUCUUGGGUCUGGCUUGUCAAAAGUUAUUUCAAAAAUUACAAAUUCAAAAAAUUAAUGUUGUUGGGUCUUUUGGUAGAGAAGGCAACGCCCCCAGCUCUUGGAUCCUAACUCUAAAGGGUUGAGGAGAACCCAAUGUCAUUGGGUCCUGGUGUUAGCAAUACCCAAUAACCCACAGUCAACCACUAUGUUGGGUCUCCCAGUAGCUCUGGGAAGACAAGGCAAAGCCUCCAUCCGUAAAUUUUGACCAAAACCAUAGCAGGGUAUGACCCCCAAGGUGUAUGGCUGCUAGGUCUGGCUGUGUAACCACACCCAAUAUCCUUAGGUAUGGUUGUGCAGCUAAACCCAACACCUUUGGAGGGUGUUAGGUCCUGCACCGUGCAUGACCAAAAUAGCUAUGAUAUAAGUAAUCCAUCCUAGGGACAUCGGCAUAGGAAGAUUGAAAAAAAAACAAAACAAAACAAUUGAUUUCCUUUGGUAAAUGGAUUGGAAAUCCAUGUUAUCACGAAUGUGAGAAUUCAAUCACCCAUACCUCUCUAUAUCUCUACACAUCGUAAAUAUAUAUAUCUUUUUCACUACAAUAUAACACCACCAUUGAAUAUUAAUGCAAGACCAUUGAUCAAUAAGGAUGACUGGCUUCCAGACCCAAUAACCAUACCCAAUUAAAUUUCUUUGUCGUUGUCUUCUCUGAUUUAAAUUUAUUUUUCAAAAUAAAUUGAUGAGAUUUUUUUUAUAUUGUAUAAAAGUUGAGUGAUAAUAUUUUUUUCCCAUUUCAGGUUGGGUUAAAUUUCCUAAUUAAAUCAUGUUUGAUUUUGCGUUUUGAAAAUUCCUUGAAAUUUUUUUGAUAAUUUUUAAGUUUUUUUUCUUUGCUUGAAAUUAAUAUUUUUGUUAUGUUUUUGUAUUAUUUUUUAAAAAAAUAUGUUGAGAUUAUGUCUGGCUGCGACGCUAGACAAAAGAAAUUUUAAAAUUUUUAAUUUUUUUCUUUACUUCAAAAUAUUACUUUCACCAUGUUUUUGUAUAUUUUUUAAAUAUUUUUUUUUUAAAAAAAACAUAUAUUGAGAUUGUGUCUAGUUGAGAGGCAAGACUCAAGAAAUUAAAAACAUUUUCAUUUUUUUAUUUACUUCAAAUUAAUUUUUGUUUAAUAUUUUUUUCUUCAUUUCAAAUUAUUUAGAUAGUGUUUGAUUUUGCAUUUCAAAAAUUGUUUGAAUUUUUUUUGACAAUUUUAAAGCUUUUUUCUUUACUUCAAAUUAAUUUUUUUUUAUGUUUUUGUAUUUUUUUUUUAAAUGUUGGCAUUGUGUUUGUCUGCGAUGCUAGACCCAAUAAAUUUUUAAAUUUUAAUUUUUUUCUUUCCUUCAAAAUAAUAUUUUUUUUUCAUGUUUUUAUAUAUUUUUUAAAAAUAUUGAGAUUUUCUCUGGCUCGUUUUGUGGGGCCUCUAAACCCAAGGAGGGUUAGAACAGACCUCGACGGCUGGGUCUGCACCCAGCGCGUGUGUAAUAGUCCGAACUGUACGACUCGAUCAAUGUUAAAAGAUUCCAACAUAUACUCUUUAUUUGAGGGUAAUGUUUUUUUUUUAUUUCCAAAAAUUCGACAGAGUUUUGUUUGCAUUUAGAACAUCCCAAGUUAUCGACUACUAUCAAUUUACUCAAUCAACCCAUUAUCACAAGGUCCCUUAAUUCCGGACCUUAUAUCAAACCUCAUAAUUCCACACCUCAUACAAUCCACACAAUAUAUAUAUAUAUCCUACGAGUAAGUUCAAUAUGAACAUAGUCCAACACAUCGUAUCAUAAAAUUUAAAGGAAAAGCAAUACUAUCAUGCAAAGAAAGUAUUUACAGUUAAUUACAAGAUAACUAAAAUACUACAUGCUAAGCUAAACCUUUAUAAAUACAUCAAGGUUUGCACAAAAGUAUACUACAUAAACACGUUAAUUCCCUUUUGUUUUAAGUUAAAUAUUUACAUAAGCUUCACAAGGUAGAGUCCUAAACUAAUGAUCUUCCUGGAUGUUUGAUGGACCUGUUACAUAAAUAAACAUACCAUUAUGUUGAUAAAGAAUAUAUGUAUGCUCAUGCAAUGAAUACGAAUGAAGUAUUAACUUUCUAUCGAAUCCAUGAGAAUUCUAACAAAUAACUUAUAUUUUGCUUGUAAAUCUUUUAAACCCAAUUAACACUCAUUUGUAUAUUCUUAAUUGAAUAAUCUUAUUUACUUGCAUAAACUGGGUGACCUUGCAAGGUUUAAUCUUGUAAUUCAUUUCCCGGCAAUCCUAUCAUGGAUGCCAUUAGCCGAAGCUAAUUAUGUAAAUCAUUUCCCGGCAAUCCUAUAACGGAUGCCAUUAGCCGAAGCUAAUCUUGUAAAUACACUAGGCUUUAUUUACAUUGAACACGAUAUUUAUUAUAAUUGCAUUCACCAGAAGGAUUCUAAAUUGUAUAAGUGCAAAUAGGAGGGAAAAUCAUGCACCUGCUUCGUCUGUCUCGCGACCUCCCCUAACAAAAGAUCCAAUCCUAGUUGCUCCUCCUGAAUCACAAGGAAGUUUUUUUUUUUUGGUUAUGAUUCCUUCAAGCCGAUAUUAUAGAGAAUUCAUAUUCAUCCAUUACUCAUAUGUUACUUUCUAUGCAUGUUCAUUUCCUCAUAAUAACAUACAUACAUAUAUCAUGUAUAUUUUCAGAGUUAGUAUCUCAAUAUACAAGUGUUCGUAUGACUCAAUUCUUUUAUAUUCUUAUUUAUAGUAUUCACGUCAAAGUCGUCUGACUUUGAACUGUUACUGUUUGACUUUGAACUGUUACUGUCCAAUUUCCAACUGUUACUGUUUGACUUGGAACUGUUACUGUCUAAACACUCAUCAGAUUUUUAACUAUAUCUAAAGUUCUAAAACUCCAUUUUAAGUGAGAUUGAUCUCGCUAGAAAGCUAAGACACGAGGCUACUAGUUCUCUGAGGAAGGAGAACCUAGUUUUGCCUCCAAGAUAGUCAAAAUUGUUCAUUUACUAAUUAGUCCUACUACCCUACAUAAUUAGUUACGACUCAAUCUCAGUUGGUAACCCAUAACUGGAGUUCUACAUCUCCAAAUUGAGCAAGACCAGUUUCUUUGGUUAGCUAACAUUCAAAUCUACAAUUUCUAUGAGGAACCCGAUCCUAAUCCCCUCAUCCUCCUACCCGAAAUCUCAUCAAAAGUUAGGAGACAAGUCUGUCUAGAUUCGUCUCCCCCUCCCCUUCACACAAUACUUUCAUAAACUACAUACCACACACAUGAAUUAACUUAAUCUCAACAAUAAGUACUUUUUCCCCAAUUUAUGUCUAAGAACCCUAACCUAUGAUUCAAUAUCAAGGCAUCAAUUCUUUAUCGAAUUUAAAAAUGAAUUUUUUUAAGAUCAUGUUUAGAAUACCUUACCCGGUACAAAUUAAGAUUUUGAUCUUCAACCAGUUGAAGAUUUUCAACUCCCUCCUUUCUUUUCUUCUUGUUCAAUUUCUUGGUAAUUUUUUGCUCUCAAGUGUUUAUCCCAUCUAUAAGCUCUUAAUCUUGGAUGGGUUCUUGAAAUUUUAGUGUUUCUCUCUUGAUUUCUCAAGAAUGGGUAUAAACUCCCUAUCUUCUCUUCUUAUGGUUCCUACAGAUUUUUUUGGUGAGGAGAGAGUAUUUAUACUCUAUAUUUUCCCUUAUUUGCAUUUAGGCCCUCCUUUUCCUUUAAGUGUAUUAUUCUCUUCAAUUAAAUCCAACCCUCAACAGUACCGGGUUUAUUAUAAUAUCGCGAAUUAUUUCGCUCGGAAAUUUAUAUUCAAAAAUUUCAGAAUUUCUGUUUUUAUUUAACCAUAUGCAUGAAUUUCAUCACUUUUAUUUAUUUAUUAUUUUUCCCGGGGUUUACAGCGCGGGUCCAGAGGCCAGGAGCGCGGGGUUGCAGACCCUGCCUCGCGGGUAUGCAGACCCCAGGGUCACAAGGCUGCACACUCGCUUGCACUGGGGAUGCAGCCAGGCGCGCGGGUCUGCCUUACCACCUAAGGCAUGGCAGGCCCCGUGCUAGGUGUCUGCAUGCUAGGGCCUUGGCCAGCCCUAGUGCUAGGUGGCAGCAACCUAGAGCGCGAGCAGGCGCACGUGGCCUACCCCACUCCCAAGCCUGACAGCCUAAGCGCCAAGUGUCCCCAGCCUUAGGGGUUGUGCGUCCAGCCAGACACUUGGGGCCCACACUAAUAUUUUUUUCAAAAAAUAUUUUUUAACAAUAAUAGUAAUAAUGAUAAUGAUAUUUGUUAUUAUAUUUUUUUUUUUGCAAUUUCCUUCCAUUUUUAAUAUUAAUACAAGUAAUAAUAUUUAGUAAUAAUAUUUUUUUUAACAUUCAAUGAAAUUAAAAAUAUAAAUAUUUAGAAUAAAAAUAAAAAUAUUUAGACUACAAAUAAAAAUAUUUAUCACAUUAAUAAUAAUAUGAAACUUGUUUGACCAAAGUUGAUAAAAUAAUAUUUUUUUUAAAAAAAAUUAUUAACAAUAAUAAUAACGAUAAUUGUUGUUAUAUUAUUUUUUUCAAUUUUCUUCUAUCCUUAACAUUAAUACUUUUAAUUACAAUAAAGAUAAUAAUAUUUAGAAUACAAAUAAUAAUAUUUAUCAUAUUAAUAAAAAUAUCUACAGUAAUAAAUUUUUUUAUGAUAAUUAACCAUGAGACAAUAAUAAUAAUGAUAAUUGCUAUUGUAUUUUUUCCCCUGCAGGGUCUGUCGAUCCAGCCGUGCGAGCCUCUAAACCCAAGGGCGGUUAGAACAGACAUCGGCGGUCGGGUCUGCACCCAGUGUGCGGGUCAGGAGGCUAGGAGCGCGGGGUGCAAACUCUACCUCGCUUGUCUGCAGACCCCAGGGUUGCGGGGCUGCAGCAAACCCCGCGCCAGGUGUCUGCAUGCUAGGGCCUCGGCCAGCCCUAGCACCAGGUGGCAGCAGCCUAGGGCGCGCGCAAGAGCGCGUGGCCAACCCAACGCCCAUGCCUGUCAACCCAAGCGCUAGGUAUUCGUAGCCUCAGGGGGUGUGCGUCCACCCAGGCACUUGAGGCGUGCAAUAAGAUUUUUUGAAAAAAAAGUUUUUUAAAGAAUAAUAAUAAUGAUAAUUGUUAUAAUAUUUUUUUUUCCAAUUUUCGUCUAUUCAUAAUAUUAAUACAUUUAAUUAAAAUAAUAAUAAUAAUAAUAAUAGUUAGAAAAAUAAUAAUAUUUAUCACAUUAAUAAUAAUAUGAAACUUGCUUGACCAAAGUUGAUACAAUAUUAAUAAUAAUAUGAAACUUGCUUGACCAAAGUUGAUACAUUAUUAAUAAUAAUAUUUAUCACAUAUUUUAUCAAAUUAUUUACAAAUAAUAAUAUAUUUUUAUGUUUGAAAAUCCAUUUUUUAUAUACUCACAUCAAAAUAUUCAUUCGUGUAAAAAGGAAAUAAUAAUAUUAAUUUUUCUUUUCUUUUCUCUUAUUUUCGAUAUGAAUACUUUUUUAUAUAUAUUUUUGAUAUUUCUCUUCUUGAAUUUGCUUAUUAAAGCAUGUUUGUUUUUGCGUUUAAAAAAUGCUUUGAAAACAUUUUUAAAAUUUUUAAUUGUUUUGUUUACUUCAAAUUAAUAUUUUUGAUGUUGUAUUUUUUUUUGGUCUAGGUCCAUGACUGCGUUUUUAUUAUAAUUCUAAUUAUAAAAUAAUAAUAUUUAUAAUAAAAAUAAUUAUAUUUAGAAAGCUAAGACCCAAUUCUCUUGGGUCGUGACGCAGGACCCAUUACCCUUGGAUCCUGCCGUGGGACCUAAAGGAAUUGGGUCCUGACGCAUGACCCAAUCCUCUUAGGUCCUUGGGUCCGGCGGCAGGACCCAAGAGAAUUAUAAUAAAAAUAAUAAUAUUUAUAAUACAAAUAAUAAUAUGUUUAAUGUCAAUAACAUUAAUUAUAAUAAACAUAACAAUAUUUAUAAUACAAAUAAGAAUAUCUUGAAUUUCAAUAACAUUAAUUAUAAUACAAAUAAUAAUAUUUUUCAUUUAUUAAUUAUUAUAUGAAUAAUAUUAAUUAUAAUAAAAUACAAAUAUUUAUAAUACAAAUAAUUUUAAUUUUAACGUUAUUAUUAUUAUUAUUAUUAUUUAUAAUACAACUAAGAAUAUUUUUUAAUAACAUUAAUUAUAAUACAAAAGUAUUAAUAUUAAAAAUAUUAUUAUUUGUAUUAUACAUAUUAUUAUUUUUAUUAUAAUUAAUAUUAUUCAUAUAAUAAUUAAUAAAUUUUGGAAAUUUAUUAUUAUUAUUAUUAUGAUUAAUAAAUUUUAAAAAUACUAUUAUUACUAUUGAAGAAAAACCAUUAUUUUUUUAAAGAUUUAAAAAUAUAAUUCAAAGUAUUCAUAUAAAAAAUAUAAUUAUUUGUAUUAUAAAUAUAAUUAUUUUUCUUAUAAUUCAAAGUAUUCAUAUCAAAAAAAUUAUUAUUUGUGUUAUAAAUAUAUUAUUUUAAUUAUAAUUCUAAGUAUUAAUAUAAAAAUAUUAUAAUUUGUGUUAUAAAUAUUCUUGAGUUUGUUAAUAUAAUUAUUUGUGUUAUAAAUAUUAUUAUAACAAAUAAUCAAAUGCCAAGCGCCCUAGGGCUGCAUCCAAGCAUGCGUGUCCGGUCAUAGCGCUCAAGGCUCGUCACACCCUUCGCCAGGUGUGUGCAUGCUGAGGCCUCGGCCAGCUAUAGCGCCAAGUGUUUGCUGCCUAGGGCCGCGACUAGGGGCGCGUGGCUGGCCCCAAAGCCCUGGCUUGGCUACCCAAGCACAAGGUGUCGACAGUCUAAUCUAAUUAAAUGUCGCCUCUGCCGCUGCAUCACUCCCAUCUUAAUGACAAAAGUCAAAUGAGCCACCCCAGUCGCAAUUCUUGACUAAAAACACAGGUAAGGAACGCCCCCCAAGGUGCUAUAGUGUCAUCCACAGUUCAUUGUAUCUUGGGCCACAGUGCAUGUACAGUAGAAAAUCCUAAUACGUGUUAAGACAUAGCAAAGCAACUAUGUAAGUUUUAAUACAUAGCAAAACAACUGUGCAAAUCCACAAUUAAUUGUCUCUUGGUCCACAGUGCAUGCAUGUACAGUAAGUCCACAAUGAAUUAUCUCUCAGUCCACAAUGUAUUCAUGUAUAGUAGAAAACCACGUGUUUUAGAGUUUUGUUAAUAAUAAAAAAAAACAAAAAUAAUUUUGGUUUGUUGUAUACGUCUCAAUCUUUACAUAACAUUGCAAUUUAUUAAUAAAAAGGAGGGGAAAAUGUUUUUAGCAUUGUUUUUUUUUUUCAUUUUGUAAUUUACAAUAAGUUGGCCAAUAUUUGGCCAAUAUUUCAAUAACUCUAAAAAUUUUAAUUCCUAAAAAUUAAAGGUCAACAUUAUGGUAUAAAUGUUAGACCUACCAGUAGGCUAGUAUUUAAGUACCAGAAGUUAACUAGAAAAUUUUCAGAAUUAUUUUGGAUAUUCAUCAUUUUUAAUUGUGAGUAUUUUUUCAUCACAAUAUAUGAGUUGUGGAAAACAUUUUCACCUUUCAGGAUAGGUGACUCCUGUCAAAGCACCUACAUGAAUUUUUUUUAUAAGAAUUUACCUAAACAUACGAGUCCAUAAUAAAUUUGAAAUGUCAUAUUUAUUUAUGGGCGUAAUUCCUUUUUCUGAGCCAUAAAUGGGCUACCGGUUAGGAACCCAUCAACACGUUUAAACCACAUCAUGACAACACAAUACAACUUUACUCAAGUAAGGAUGUUAAUGCCUUUUUCUAGCCAAUACUGGUCCCUUACCCUGAAAUUUCAGAUAAGAUCAGUUACUUGGGUCUUCUAAUGACUUUGAAAUCACAAAACUAGGUGCGGACUCCUUAAUCCCGAUGCUGCAACACCGCGCGCACAUAGGCGACACAAUUCAUGCUUGAUUAAUCAUCCAUGUGAAUUAUUAGGUUUCGAAUAUGUUGGCACAAAUAUAAAUCAUAAUCUUAUUCAAAACAAGAUUAAAUAAAUUAAGCAAUUUAAGUUACUAUCAAUCCAACAAAUUGAUAGAUUUAUAUUUAAAUAUCAAAUGCAAGAUACCAUGAUCUCUUAAAUCUUGUCCCAGUAUAAAAAAAAUGUGAGUAUAUGAACCCAUGAAGUGGUAUCAGAAUCUAUUUUCCUAUUAUUAUUAACUAAACGGAAAGCCAUAUCUUACUGCUUAUACUAUAAUAUUGGGAUUGAGUGGUACAAUGUCCAGAAUGCUUCUAAGGAUAACCAUAUGUCCAUAUCCAUAAGAUCUCAAUGGAUUGACCCUUACUACAGAAUCUAGCACAUCCUUAAGCUAGAAUAAAGUGCCUUCACUGAUUAAUCUAGCAUAUAUAUCUAAUUAUUUGAAAAUCUUUUCAAAUUUCAUUCCACCUUAUAUAAAGAUUUAAUACUUAAUAUUAUUUGAGAAUACAUAUAGAUUGCAAGCAUCGGCUUUUAGUGUACUUUUGAUGACAUGAAACUACCACAAAAUGGGUCCUAUCCGAGAGAGUGUUCUCUUUCUGUUCUGUUAUCACAUAGAACUGAAAUCUGUUCAGAGUACCCCUCCAAGAAAAUUGAUGCGGGCAGAAAGACAAUAAUAAAUACAGAAAAAACACAAGAAUUUUAAUGAGCGAAAUGGGCUGUUGAUGUGAACAUUAAGUUCACAGGUUUUAUUUUCUCUUAAAUAACAAUCAUCACUACAAGAUUUCACAGUUUUACUGACGGACCAAUUCCGUCGAUGUGUGAUUAGAAGUUCGUCGGUGAUUUUUUUACCGACGUCAUCACCGACGGAUUACGUCCGUCCGUCGGCAUUCCCUUCGUCGGUGAUUCCCCCUUCCAUCGCUAUAUCGAUUGGAAAAACAAAAAAAUCAUUUGCCGAUGGUUUUACAGAUGGAAUUUGCGCGCCAAAAAAAAAGAUUCCCGCUUGAAAUAUACCGACGGAUUUUUAUUCUGUCGGUGAUAUUGUAAUUGACCGACGGAAACUAUCCGUCGGUAAAUACGUCGGUGAGUGUAUGAAAUACCGAACGAAUAUAUUUGUCUGUAAAUUCGUCGGUACUGGUGGCAGUUACUGUUAAAUGCCGACGGAUUAAUUCCAUCGGUAAUUCUGUCAGUGAGUGUUUAAAAUACCGACCGAAUUAAUCCGUCGGUAAAAUCCUUGGUAAUAGUUUUUUUCUUAAUUUUUUUUAAAAAAACUAUUUAGGAUAUAUAAUAUAAAACUAUUUAAAUUAAUUGUAAUACAAACCAAUUAUGCAAAAAAAAAUUAUAUUAAACAUAAAAAAAACAAAGUUAAAUAAUAUUCAUUACAAACUGAAUAUGUUUCAAGAAAAAUAUUAAAUGAAGUUUUAAAGGUAAAUAAUGUUGAUUACAAAUUAAUAUAAAGGUGGAGCUGGAGGAGGAGGAGGAGGAGAUCCUGGAGGAGGCUGGUGAUUAUACGGCCAAAAAAGAUUAGGCGCACAUGUUCCACUAUUUGUCAUGUUCAUUAGCAUUUCGCGAAGUUGUUCAUAAGCCGCUUUUUGUUGUUCAUGAGCCGCUUCAUACUCCGUUUUUUGUUGUGCUUGAGACGCUUUGAGUUGCUCAGACUACGCUCUUUGUUCCGCUCUUUGUUGUGCAUGAGACGCUUUGAGUUGUGCGUACUCCGCUUUUAGGUGAUCGUAUUUCUCGGUGAGCUGAGCUGUGUGUUGCUGCAAGGCCACGAACUCCUUAGAUUGGGAGCUCGAUAUUGAUUGGGAGCUCCCAACGGUUGAAACACUACGGGUCGACCGCAAGUUGUCGGCCGUAGUGUUGGAGAGCCCGUAAACCCGAUUUUUAUCGGGUCCACUUGACAAGCCAACCUCCAUCCACAAAUCCGGAUCGAAUUUCGAAUGGGUCAAAAUAUUGUCCCCGUAUCUCUCCCUCAACCGAUUAUUAUAGGUCUCCUGAAAAUAAAAAUAAAAAAGUAAUCAUCAUAUUCAAUACAAUAAACAUAAUAACUUACAUAAUAACUUACAAAAUAAAAUGGUUGAACAAACAUACCACGAAAUGCUGAGCACGGUUAUCAACGAACUGUUGCGCCCCCUUCUGGCAGUCUUGACUCUGCACGUGCGUCUCCACAAACAGCUCCAUCGGGCUCAGCUUACGUCCAAGAGACGCAGCCUAUAAUGAAAAAAGAUAUAUUAACAACAACUGAAUUUAACGAUAUAUUUCAUUUAAAUUAAUCUUACCAUCCGUUUCGCAUGUGCAGCAAACGGAACGGAGCCGUCAGUGUGCGUUGUCACCCCGCCAUGAAUUGGCCGAUUCCGGUUGCCAGCACCGGACUGUGAGUGUCGUGUGAACCGUUCAGACGUCACGUGCUCAAGAUAGUGCGGCCAUAUAUCUUCCGGGAUGUAUAUCGGUUUGAAAUCCCUCCAAACCGCAACAUCGUUCCAGCCUUGGAAACCCCUAUCCCUCGCGGUUUUUUUUGCCUUUUUUUGUGCUUCAUACCAAAAAUCACGCAACCUACUUCACGCAACCAAAAAUUACAUUUCGAAACAUAAAUUUUUGGCUAAAAAAAAUCCUGUAUUGUUUUCGAUCUUACCUAGUUGCCGCGUGAUUUUCCCACACCCUCCUCACAACAGUGUUAUGCUCACUGUCCCAGCAGAAUUUGUGCUGUGUAUAAAUAAACAAGCUUAAAUAAAAAUAAUAAUUUAUUUACAAUUAUAUUAAUAAGCUGAAAAUUAUAAAUUAAUACCAACCUCAAACCUGUUAAACCAUGCAUUGAUUUGAGGCAUCCAUUCAGGAUGCUUGGAUAUCUGACUCCAUUGAAACAAUGGAAUCUCCAUCGACGAUUUAAACGCCGAUGAUAUUACUCGGGCGGCUUCAAUGUUUGUGAACCUGAAAAUAAAUGAAAUAAAUUCAAUAGUGAUUACUUCAUAAAUUAUGUUGUAAUUUUUUUAAAAAAAAACUAAAACCUUAACAAACUUACAUUGAAAGGUCGUCCUUCCAUUGUGCCUCGUACUUGCGGGUAAAUUGAUUCCGCUGCGAAGGCACGCCGUCUCUGCGCUAUGAAGUACCGCUAGAAGAGGCAGCAUCGGUUGACGGCGCAGGUGGUGUAGGUGCCUCUUCUUGAGAGGCACCUAAGGAAAUAUCAUCAUCGCUGCUAGACGAACUAGCUGUGACCGUACUUGAGCGACCAGCUCUGGUUUUCGUUCUACGCAUCUACACAAUUUGAUACAAAUAAUUAUAUAAUUAAAUUCAAAUGUAAAAAAAAAAUUUGACAGCACCUCCCCUAUACCGGAUACUACCCAAAUCCACAAACAUGCACAUAUUAACAAUAGCCACAACCAAUUUACCCAAUCUAUACUAAUUAUUCCAACAUAUUCAAUUACUAAUCCUAAGGUAAAUUCAACAUUAAGAAUUACAAUUCAAGUAAUUAUUCAAUAAUUAUACCAAUAUAACAAAACAAUAAAUUAAAAAAAAAACUCUAGAAUAACAAUCAAAAUAAAUGGAAAAAAUUAAACACAAAGCAUGCAAUAAUAGAGUAAAACUAAUAAUUAUUCCAACAUAUUCAAUUACUAAUUCUAAAAUAAAUUCAACAUUAAGAAUUACAAUUCAACAAAUUAUUCAAUAAUUAUGCCAAUACAACAAAACAAUAAAUUAAAAAAAAACUCUAGAAUAACAAUCAAAAUAAAUGGAAAAAAUUAAACACAAAUCAUGCAAUAAUAAAGUAAAAUUAAUAAUUAUUCCAACAUAUUCAAUUACUAAUUCUAUGGUAAAUUCAACAUUAACAAUAAAUAUUCAACAAAUUAACUAAUAAUAAUUAUGCCAAUACAACAAUAAAAAAUAUUCAGUAAAUUUAAAAAAAAAACUAUAGACUUUAGCAAUGAAUUAUGCAAAAAAAACUAUAGACUUUAUCUACAUUACAAAAAAUACACCAAAAAAAAAAACUAACCAAAAAAAUAGCAAAAAAAAACCAUUAGAAGAAACACUAACCUUUUAAACUGAUGGAGAUUCACGAUAAAAAAAGCUUGAGAUCGCCUGAAGAACGGAGAGAAGAACGGAGAGGAAAAGAAUGGUGAAAAACUGAGGAGAAGAGAAAAUGAACUGAAGAGGCGGUCGGGGGAGUUUAAAUGCCAAUUUUACCGACGGAUUCACCGACGUCUAUAAAAUUAAUUAUUAUUUUAAUUUAUUCCGUCGGUGAGGUGUUAAAAAUCCGUCGGUAAAUUUUGAAUUUCGCACCAAAUUUUUUAAUGGCCCUCUAUAUUUUUCGCAGUCCGUGGCAAAUCCGUCGGCAAUCUGACGCGGUCAGAGAUGCAUUUAAUGCACAACCCUUUGAUAUUCGCGCAGUCCGUCGGGAAUUGUGUCGGUAAAAUUGACAACGUACCGACGACUAUAUAUUCGUCGGUGUGGUCGUCGAUGAUAUGGUGGCAUUACCAGUAAUUAUUUUCGAACUCUCUGUGAAAUGCCGACGGAAUUAAGUCCGUCGGUGUGGUCGUCGGUGAUGUGGUGGCAUUUCAAGUAAUUAUUUCCUGUCACAAAAUAUAUCAUCCAUGAUCAAUAAUUAUUUCAAGUAAUUAUUUCGUAAUUGUGGCAUUUCAACUAAUUAUUUCAAGUAAUAAAUAUUUUGUGUUUCAAAAUAUAUCAUCCAUAAUCUAAAUUACAUGAAAAAAAGGGUUUUACAUAGGGCUUCAUUUUGGUAGUUAGUCAGAAUUUUCUUCUUCUUCGUCAUCAAUUGAAUUGUCAUCACCUUCAUCGCAAUCUUCAACAUGAAUAUCAUCUUCUUCAUCGACAUUUGCUUGUCCGCUAGAGCUCAAAACAAAAUUCAACUCCUCUGCAUCAACAUCAACAUGACUAUCAUCGAAAACACGAAAAUUUGAAUUUUCUUCCAAUUCAAUCGAAGGAGUAACUCGAUAUGGUUCAACCACCUCACUAACUUGAAAGACUUCAUCUCGCACACUUGUGUCUUCAUUCUCAUCCUGAACAACCUCGACACGACCCCGGGGUUUUGUUUUUAAAACGGACAACCAAUCCACUCUUGAUCGAUCCUUUCUAAAUGAAGGGGUGUAUGUGUAAUAAACUUGUUGACAUUGCUUUGCGAAAACAAAGACAUCGUUUAUGUUGCGGAGUCUAGCUUUUGAGUUGAUUUCGACCAGACCAUAGUGCGGAUCAACUCUGAUUCCUCUGUCAGUCGUGUCAUACCAAUAGCAUUUGAAUAAAAACACUAUAUUCUGCUCGUCAUGAUAUUGUAGUUCGACGACCUCUUCUAAUCUACCAUAGUAGUCAACUUCUAACUCACUACUAGUGGAUCCCUUAACACAAACACCGCUGUUGUAUGUCUUUCUUCCUUGCCCGUAUUCUUCAGUAUGGAAAACAUAUCCAUUGACAAAAUACCCGUUGUAGCACUUACAUUUUCUUUCAAGCCCCAGGCUUAGUGAAGACAAUGACUUAGGUGCACUCCUUCCCAUUUGAUAAACCUUGUAUGUAAUGUACAUCAAUAAAUAGUAAAUGAACGAGAAUCUCGUAAUGACAUGCAUACGUACAGUAAUUUUGCAAGUUAGAAUGAGUUUGUGAUAGUGCUUACAUGUGUUCUGAACCACGUGGCAAACUGCUCAUCUUGUAAUUGAAAGAUCUGGGAUUCGGUCAGCUGUGAGUUAUUGGAGAGCAAAUAUUGACGAUGUUGCCUGCAAGUGAUAAUGAGUGUAUGAUAUUACAAUAUAUAAUUAACAGUAUAUUACUAACAAAGUUUAAUUAGUAUAAACUUACUGAAUAAAAGGUCUCAGCUCAUCACACUUAAAUAGAACAUAGUUGUGUGCUUGUUUGAACUCUAUUUCCGACAAAUAUCUUCCUCUUACGGCAUUUUUAUGUGUGGGUCAUCCAGUAUUGGAGAAUAUUGACAAGUUCCCACUGGAUGGCACUUCACCGCCAUCAUCAUGCCGUGGACCGCGAUUGAUUCUCGUUCUCAGAUGAGGUUCGAAAUAGUACGAGAUAAAUGUUGAGAUCUCCUCAACAAUAUAGGCCUCACAUAUCGAAGCCUCAACAUGCGCCUUGUUCUUAACCUUUUUCUUGAGAUUAAACAAGUACCUGCAUUGAAAUAUUAAUCAAGUAUUUUCAAUUAAGAAAAACAUAUAAAAUACUUUUAUAUAUGAAUUACAUUGCAACUGUAAUAUCUAACCGUUCGAAUGGGUACAUCCAUCUAUAUUGGAUCGGACCUCCAGCUUUUGCCUCGAACGGUAGAUGUAUAGGGAGAUGCUCCAUUGAGUCAAAAAAUGAUGGAGGGAAUAUCAUCUCAAGUUUGCAUAGUGUCUCGACGAUAUUCGUUUGAAGCCUCUCAAUGUGAUCAACAUUCAACUUGCUGGAGCAUAUAUCUCUGAAGAAAUGACUAAUCUCCGUGAGUGCAUCCCAUAUUCCCUUUGGCAACAAAUCACGAAAAGCUAAUGGGAUGAGUGUUUGCAUAAACACGUGGCAGUCAUGACUCUUCAUUCCAUACAAUCUGCAGUCCUCUAUAUUAACCAGCCUUGAUAUGUUCGAUGCAUGUCCAUCCGGAAAACGCAGACUCUUAAGUCAUUUGUAGACUAGCAGUUGUGCGUUUUUCUCUAACACGAAGCUUGCUCUUGGUUUUGCAACCCGUGACUCAUCAUAAACCAACUCCAUAUUUUUACGGUUACAGUAUAAAGCUAUAUUCAAUCUAGCCUUGAUGUUGUCCUUUGUCUUCCCCUUCACAUCCAUGACGGUGUUGAAAAUGUUCUCAAACAUGUUCUUUUCGAUGUGCAUGACGUCAAGGUUAUGGCGGAGCAGAUUGGUCUUCCAAUAAGGAAGCUCCAAAAAGAUACUUCGCUUUACCCAAUUAUGGGUCAAACCAAAACCAGGAAACUUUUGCUUACCUGAUUGAAGGCCAAACACAAUGUCACCGUACUCUGAGACAACAUCAUGCAAUUCUUCACUAGAAAGACGCAGGGAUGCAACAUCUUUUUCAACUCUGCCAACAAAGAAAUCUUUUUUGUUCUUUCUGUACCUGUGAUGAAGUGGCAAGAAGCGACGGUGACAGUAAAAAAAAGAAGCUUUACCUCCAUUUGCUAGCGUGAAUGCCUUGUUGUUUUCCAUGCAGUAUGGACAUGCGAGUUUCCCAUGCGUGCUCCAACCAGAAAGCAUUCCAUAAGCUGGAAAAUCAUUGAUAGUCCACAUCAAUGCCGCCCUCAUAAGGAAAUUUUGUUUCCUCGAUAUAUCAUAAGUCAGAGCUCCGGAGGACCACAACUGCGCCAACUCAUCAAUCAACGGUCGAAGACAAACAUCUAUAUUCCGCCCCGGGCUUCUUGGACCGGGUAUGACAGUAGAUAAAAACAUGAACUCCGGCCUCAUACACAUUCCCGGUGGCAAGUUAUAAACUGUGAGUAUGACCGGCCAACAAGAAUAAGGAGCAGCAAAUGACCCAAAUGGGUUGAAUCCGUCUGUACACAACCCAAGACGCACAUUCCUUGAUUCAGCUGAAAAGUGAGGAUGAACACUGUUAAAGCGUUUCCACGCUUCGCCGUCAAAAGGAUGAACCAUCACUCCAUCAACCGCAUGGUGUGCUUGGUGUCAUGUCAUGUGCUCAGUAGUCCUUGGUGACAUGAAUAACCUCUGCAGUCUAGGUGUGAUCGGGAAGUAUCUAAGUUUUUUAUAUGCCACUAGAGUCUUUUCCCUGCUAGUUCUAGGUUUGUAACGGGAAUGCCCGCAUGUCAUGCACUUGGUCAUCUCAGCAUUUUCAAGGUAGUAUAACAUGCAGAAGUUAGGGCACAUGUCAAUUUUUUGGUAUCCUAAACCGAGGGGUUUCAUCAUGGACUUCGCAGCAUAGAAGUUCUCUUUCAGCCUGUUCCCUUCAGGUAAAAUGCUUCUCGCCCAUUCAAUAAUCUUGUCAUACUCGGCCUCACUCAACCCGUGAUCUGACUUGAUGGUGAACAUUUGUGCUACGACCGAUAAUUUACUGUGGUUCGUGCAGCCAUCCCAUAAUGGUUCGUUAGAAUCUUUCAACAAAUCAAAAAACCUAGCUGCAUCUGCAUUAGGUUCUUCUUCUACGAUUGGACAUUGACUGCCAUUACCUUGAUUCAUUCUCAUUGCAUCCAUAACCAUAUUUCUGUAAGGAUAAGUGUUGUCAUUUGCCGCUUCAUGCACGUUGCUAGCACUAGAAGUAGACCCAACCACCAUUUCUUCCAUUCUCCUCUUACUACCAAAUACUUCUCCAUAUGCAUACCAACACUGGUAAUUCUCCAUAAACCCUUUGUGUAGAAGAUGCAUCAUUACAACAUCUGGAUGCAGAUACUUUUUAUUUUCACACUUCCUGCAUGGACACCUAAUACCGCCUCCAAUAAAAUUUCUAGGAAUAGAUGUUGCGAAAUUAAUAAAACCCUGAACCCCGUUACAAUAAUCCAUCCUCCGCAAUCCUUGGGGUGAAUCUCGAUACAUCCAUGAACGAUCAUCCAUGACUUAUAUCGAACCUCUAUAAAAUUAUGAUGACAUCAUGUAUUAAUUAACUAAGUUAGGUAAAUAAACUUGCAAAAAUAUUACUUUACCUCGAGAUUAUCCAACAAACCAAUCACAACUUCUCAUAAAUAUUAAAUAUUCAUUAUUAUUUAUCAACGUCCAUACGAAUUAAAAUAUAUAAAUUUACAGAAAUUACCACUCCGCAAUACCAUUGAUAAAACUUUAAACGGACCCAUUAAGCAAGCUAUUAAUUAUUUCAAAAUAGCACAUGUAAUUCAUAUACUAACAAAAUACAUUUACUAAAAAAACAAUAAAAUUCACAUUUAAUUAAAUGUUAAAAUUUAAAAAGAUAGAAUUACUUACAAAAAUUGAUAAAAUCCAUCGGUAAAUCAGAACACGGAUGCUGUGACCACAAAACUUCAAGAAAUAUAACUUGUUGUGCUGAUAUGAGGAAGAUUUUUUUUUGGGGGGGGAGGGGGGGCUGGUUGUUUGCAGAUGGGGAGAGUUGGGAUUAGGAAGAAGAAGGAGAAAUAGGGGAGGAGAGGGUCAGCAGAGCUGACAUGUAUAUAUAUUAACUUUUUCCAACGGUUUCACCGACGGACACUCCAUCGGUGAUUCUGACGGACACAUAGACACGUCACCAUACGGAUCUGCCAUUUCAAAUCCCUCGGUGAGUCCGUCGGCAAUUUAAACGGCGAACCGGUCACGUCACUGUACGGGCUGUCGUUUUGAUUUCGUCGGAACAAAAUAACCCGCCAAAACCUCCACGUCAGUGACCCGCCUUUUUUUUAAAUUCGGAAACUUUUUCGUCCGUAAUUCAGUCGGUAACUACCGACGGAAAUUUUCCGUCUGUAGUUACCGACUGAAUUACGGACGGAAAAUGGUCCGUCGGUAGUUACCGACUGAAUGACAGACGGAAAAGUGUCUGUCGGUAAUUUCGACCUCAAAUUACCGACAUAAAUAUUUCGUCUGUAAAUCCGUUGGUAUUUAACGAAUUUCUGGUAGUGGAACUAAGCAUAUUGAGAUCGAUUAUCAUCUUACUCGUCAUCAUCUCAAGCAUGGAACCAUUGCUUUGCCUUUUGUUCCUUCUUCCUUGUAGAUUGCAGAUUUCUUUACCAAGGCGCAUUUCAUCUCUCGUUUUCAUUUUCUGGUUGGCAAACUCUCAAUGCUUGUAGCUGCCGCAUCGUGAGUUUAAGGGAAGAUGUUAAAUAACAUUUAUGUAGUCUUGUUUAUUAAGGGUAGAAUAUUACUUUCAGUUUAACCUAUAUAUACUUUAUUUGUUUUUAGGUUAAGACUAAGCACUCAUAAUAUACAGAUUAUUCAGAAUUCUAGCCUCCCUUUUGUGUUUGAUCUUAAUUCAUUUUAACAAUGCUAUUUGUUGAAGUUGUUGCCAGCCUUCAAAAGGUCACUCGAUCUCAUUUUAGAAACUGAUUUCUCAAACAUGGAAACCUGGAAUCUCAAAAUCUUCUUAAUCAGUACAUUCCUAGUGAACAAGUAUGUCAAGGAGAAAUAAAAGGAUUGUCAAUGCAUUUUUCCAGACUAAAGUUGAGUUUAAGGACAUUCAAAAAGGUACAGUUUGCAAGGCCCGGGGGGAUUUCCCCUGAGAAAUUGUUGGAAGAGAGGUAGAGAGACGUGGCAUACUGAAUUAUUUUAGAGAUAUUUUGUGGAAUAGAUCCAAAGAGCUCAUUGCUGGAGAGAUCUAUGCCCGUUAUGCUUGUGCAGUGUUUAAGGCCAAGAGGGAACCUGCCCUUGAGACCCAUAUCCGGAAGUCUGAUAUUCAACACCCUAUUCUCACUAGGAUCGAUGCCACCAUUCAACCCCCAAAAAGGUACAAAUGAAUCCUUCAGUAGAAUUCUCAAAGUUCCAAGAAGAGUUCGAGUAAUUAUCAGGGAAAGGUUUAGCCAGGUUGAGCAACAAUAGUGGUCACGGCUGCAACAAAGUUGUCACUGGCAGCAGCGUUGUGGGCAACAAUGUUGCUGGCACGAGUCAUGAACGUUUCUGUCCAUGAUGGUUAAUUCCUUGAGAUUGUUGGUAAGGACACAAUGGAGGAACAACAUUAAAGAUACUAUCUUUAAAGAUAUUUCCUCUAAAAAAAAAUUAUAUUUAAAAAUUAUUAUUAUAAACAAAAAACACUCAAAAAGUAUAGGUUUUACCUCGUAUAUAAAGGAAACAAAGAUUUUUUUCUUGCUCAACCCAACCUUAAACCUAUUAGAUUUAAAUAUUUCAACUUAAAAAAAAAUAUUAUACAUUUAAUUGGAAUAAAAAUCUUUUAAAUAACUUCUCAAAUUAUAUUAUAUUAUUUACAACAAAUUUUUCAAACCAUUGCAGUAAUUACAAUUCAAAUUAAAUUAUAAAUUAUUAAAUAUUAUUUUAAUAUAUUUUUAAAUAAAAAACAUUUUAAAAAAUAAAAAAAUACUCCUGAUAUACCCUGCUAUGCAGCUCUGCCGCUUGGAAAAUGAGCUAGAAAAGGUUACGGGAGGAGAAAGCAAUGCAAAUUCAUUUGAACAGCCUCCAUGAUUUUCAUUUUUGCAAUUAAUAGAAAAUUUAAAAUAAUUAUGAAAAAUCAAUGUAACUUCCCUCAUAUAUAUAUAUAUAUAUAUAUAUAUAUAUAUAUAUAUAUAUAUAUAUAUAUAUAUAUAAUCCGGGAUGUUCGGGUCAGCUUACGCGUACCACGAUUUAUUUUUGGAUCCANNNNNNNNNNNNNNNNNNNNNNNNNNNNNNNNNNNNNNNNNNNNNNNNNNNNNNNNNNNNNNNNNNNNNNNNNNNNNNNNNNNNNNNNNNNNNNNNNNNNAUUCUUCAAGGAUAGUUUAAUGUUUUAAAAGUAUAAAAUUUAAAAGAAAUUUUAAAAAAGUAAUUAGGAUUUCUGUUUUGAAUACUUCAAGUAUAAUUCAAACUUUUAAAUUUACAAAAUUUAAAAGAAAUUUUAAAAAAGUAAAUAGAAUUUCUGUUUUGGAUUCUUCAUGGAUUGUUUAAAUGUAUUAAAAUUAUAAAAUUUAAAAGGAAUUUAAAAAAAGUAAUUAGGAUUUCUGUUUUGGAUUCUUCAAGGAUAGUUAAAAGAUUUAAAAUUAUAAAAUUUAAAAGAAUUUAAAAAAAGGAAUUAUGAUUUCUGUUUUUGAUUUUUCAAUGAUAAUUAAAAGUUUUAAAAUUAUAAAAUUUAAAAGAAUUUAAAAAAAGGAAUUAGGAUUUCUGUUUUGGAUUCUUCAAGGAUAGUUUAAAUGUUUUAAAAGUAUAAAAUUUAAAAGAAAUUUUAAAAAAGUAAUUAGGAUUUCUGUUUUGAAUACUUCAAGUAUAAUUCAAACUUUUAAAUUUACAAAAUUUAAAAGAAAUUUUAAAAAAGUAAAUAGAAUUUCUGUUUUGGAUUCUUCAUGGAUUGUUUAAAUGUAUUAAAAUUAUAAAAUUUAAAAGAAAUUUAAAAAAAGUAAUUAGGAUUUUUGUUUUGGAUUCUUCAAGGAUAGUUAAAAUAUUUAAAAUUAUAAAAUUUAAAAGCAUUUAUAAAAAGUAAUUAGGAUUUCUGUUUUGGAUUCUUCAAGGAUAGUUAAAAGAUUUAAAAUUAUAAAAUUUAAAAGAAUUUAAAAAAAGGAAUUUGGAUUUCUGUUUUGGAUUCUUCAAGGAUAGUUUAAAUAUUUUAAAAGUAUAAAAUUUAAAAUAAAUUUAAAAAAAAUAAUUAGGAUUUCUGUUUUGGAUUUUUCAAGGAUAAUUAAAAGUUUUAAAAUUAUAAAAUUUAAAAGAAUUUAAAAAAAGGAAUUAGGAUUUCUGUUUUGGAUUCUUCAAGGAUAGUUUAAAUGUUUUAAAAGUAUAAAAUUUAAAAGAAAUUUAAAAACCAAAUUAUGAUUUUUGUUUUGGAUUCUUCAAGGAUAGUUUAAAUGUUUUAAAAGUAUAAAAUUUGAGAGAAAUUUUGCAAAAGUAAUUAGGAUUUCUGUUUUGAAUACGUCAAGUAUAAUUCAAACUUGGAAAUUUACGAAAUUUGAAAGAAAUUUUGAAAAAGUAAAUAGGAUUUCUGUUUUGGAUUCUUCAUGGAUUGUUUAAAUGUAUUCCAAAUAUAAAAUUUAAAAGAAAGUUUAAAAAAGUAAUUAGGAUUUCUGUUUUGGAUUCUUCAAGGAUAGUUUAAAUGUUUUAAAAGUAUAAAAUUUAAAAGAAAUUUUAACAAAAUGACUAUGAUUUCUGUUUUGGAUUUUUCAAUGAUAAUUAAAAGUGUUAAGAAUUAUAAAAUUUAAAAGAAAUUUAUAAAAAGUAAUUAGGAUUUCUGUUUUGGAUUCUUGCAAAGAUAGUUAAAAGAUUUAAAAUUAUAAAAUUUAAAAAAAGAAAUUAGGAUUUCUGUAAACCCCCGUAAAUAAAAAUAAAUAAUAAUAAUAAUAAAAAAAACACAUAGGAUCGAAGUAAUGACAUUUCGAUGAGUAAUGGAUAUUCGGUAUGAAAGAAAUGAAUAAAUAGUAGGGAUGACAAUAAAUGUGUCAUGUGAGAGAGAGAAUGAUCUCCAUAAACAAAUUUAAAGAUAUUGUUGAAGUCGAAAAGAGAGUCAUGAUUUUUAGUUUAAAACUUGUAACGUUAGCGAAACUAGUGACGAGUUUUAAUGGAUAAAAGAAUAAGAAAAAAAAAACCAGAAGAUAUGUAAACCCGGGUCAAAACACGUAUUUUGACAAAUUAAUGAUAAAUGUGGUAAUAUUGAAUUUAUUGAGUAUAAAUUAAGAGGAAAUGUCACGAGGAUCUAAGUAAAUAAAUUAAUGCGUGAAAUUCAGAUUUUAGCGUAAAAGACAUUGAUUGUCUAGUUUUACGGUAUCGAUGAUAUAUCUCAAUCCGACCGUUGGAUCGGGCUGAAAUUUUAUAAGGAAUCUCCAGACAUAUUAUUUUAUAUUAGGUUCAAAUUUCGUGUCAAUCGGAGUUUGGGAAGGAUUUGCGAGAGCACUGAAAAUCGGGUAAAUUGAAGAAGAUGACACAAAGGGCAUUAAUAAGGGCUUUUUUGUAAUUUUAUCAAAACAAAUACUCUCCUCUCCUCUCUUUAAAAACAGAGCACGUCCUCUGCAAAUGGAAAAACAGGAGGGAGACCAUUUGUUUUGUCCCAUUUUCUUCAUUUUCUCUUCAUUUCUUCAAGCUAAAUCAAAAGGGAGUGUGCUUAGGAGGAUUAUAUCCAAGAAAACAAAUUAAAUGACAACUUAGAGAGUUAUAGAGCUUGAGAGAAACAAAGAGAAGAAGCUGGAAAUUGGAAGAGGAGGACAUGAUUUUUGUAAAUUUUUGCAAGAAUUCAUUGAAAUAAGUUAAAGUAGCAAAGGUAAGCAACAUACCCUUUAGUAAUUUCGUUUUUCUCUCUUGUUCUUGCAUGAGGAGAAGAAAACCUCCAAGUUUAAAAUUCUAGGGUUCAUGUAAAUAUUUUGGGGGAGUAAUUGUUCAUGUGAAUUUCAAGAUUAAUUGCAUGAUAAUGGCUUGAUUUGCUGAAAAAUAGAAGGAAUAAAUUGAUUUGAAACUAUGGGUUUUGGGAUUGCAACAGGGCAGGAACUUCGGCAGCCAUAUUUUGACUUUGCACCGUUGGAUUAGAUUGAAUUUUGGAUAUGUUAUUAUACUCAAUGUCACCUACAUUCUGACCGGAGGGAUUGCAAAUAUCCGAUUUCGUUUGAGGGCUGUCACCGGAGGAACAUUUCUGGAAAAUCACCCUUCAAGACAGCUUUGUUCGUCGGCCGUUAUAUCAUCGUUUCACCGUUGGAUUGGUCUGGAUUUUGGACAUGUUAUUCAUCCAGAUGUUAUAUAAAUUCUGAACGGUUUGGAUCGGAAAAGAACACUCCUACCAGAAAUUAUACUUCCCGAACAGCAGGUCUCCAAAUUUCAGGUCAGUCCAGUAUUGUUCUGAUAUCGGGAGGUUUAACCGUUGGAUGUAUGUUAAUUUUGGAUAUGUUAUUCGAAUGAUGAUGAUGUAUAAUUCCACCGUUUGGAUUUAUUGAAUUCUAAAUUUACAGAAUGAUGUUUUAAGUUUGGUUUGAGAAAUAUUGAAUGAGAAUAUGAGGUUUAGCAUAAAAAGUAUGUUUUGGGACUAAGGAUAAUGGCAAUGGGUUUAAUGAUGAUGGUUGUGUUUGUGUUAUGUUUGAGUCAUGUUUGAUGUGUUGAUAAGUGAUGAUAUAGUUAAAUUCUAUAAAGAAUAGUGAUUGACUAAUACUUUGGUUGUGUUAGAAUGGGAAAUCAUGUUGUAAAUUUUGACCAAAACCAUAGCAGGGUAUGACCCCCAGGGUGUAUGGCUGCUGGGUUUGGCUGUGCAACCAUACCCAAUAUCCUUGGGUAUGGUUGCGCAGCCAAACCCAACACCUUUGGAGGGUAUUGGGUCCUGCACCUGAUCAAAAUAGCUAUAGUAUAAGUAAUCCAUCCUAGGGACAUCGGCAUAGGAAGAUUGAAAAAAAAAAAACAAAACGAUUGAUUUCCUUUGGUAGAUGGAUUGGAAAUCCAUGUUAUCACGUAUGUGAGAAUUCAACCCCCCGUACCUCUCUAUAUCUCUGUACAUCGUAAAUAUAUAUAUAUAUAUCUUUUUCACUACAGUAUAACACCACCAUUGAAUAUUAAUGCAAGAUCAUUGAUCAAUAAGGACGACUGGCUUCCAGACCCACCAACCAUACCCAAUUAAAUUUCUUUGUCGUUGCCUUCUCUGAUUUAAAUUUAUGUUUCAAAAUAAAUUGAUGAGAUUUUUUUUUAUAUUGUAUAAAAGUUGAGUGAUAAUAGUUUUUCCCAUUUUAGGUUGGGUUGAAUUUCCUAAUUAAAUCAUGUCUGAUUUUGCAUUUCGAAAAUUCCUUGAAAAGUUUUUGAUAAUUUUUAAGUUUUUUUUCUUUGCUUGAAAUUAAUAUUUUUGUUAUGCUUUUGUAUUUUUUUUUUUAAAAUAUGUUGAGAUUAUGUCUGGCUGCGAUGCCAAACCCAAGAAAUUUUAAAAUUUUUAAUUUUUUUCUUUACUUCAAAAUAUUAUUUUCUCCAUGUUUUUGUAUUAUUUUUUAAAUAUUUUUUUUAAAAAUAUAUUGAGAUUGUGUCUGGUUGAGAGGCGAGACUCAAGAAAUUAAAAAAAAAUUAUUUUUUUCUUUACUUCAAAUUAAUUUUCGUUUGAUAUUUUUUUCUUCACUUCAAAUUAUUUAGAUCAUGUUUGAUUUUGCAUUUCAAAAAUUCUUUGAAAUUGUUUUGACAAUUUUGAAGUUUUUUUUCUUUACUUCAAAUUAAUUUUUUUUUUAUGUUUUUGUUUUUUUUUAAAUGUUGGCAUUGUGUUUGUCUGCGAUGCUAGACCCAAGAAAUUUUCAAAUUUUAAUUUUUUUCUUUCCUUCAAAAUAAUAUUUUUUUUCAUGUUUUUAUAUUUUUUUUAAAAUAUAUAUUUUAAAAAAAUAUUGAGAUUUUGUCUGGCUUGUUUUUGGGGCCUCUAAACCCAAGGGCAGUUAGAACAGACCUCGACGGUGGGUCUGCACCCAGCGCACUGGUCCAGAGGCCAGGAGCGCGGGGUUGCAGACCCUGCCUCGCGGGUCUGCAAACCCUAGGGUCGCAAGGUUGCACACUCGCUCGCACUGGAAUGCAGCCAGGCGCGCGGGUCUGCCCUACCACCUAAGGCAUGGCAGGCCCCGUGCCAGGUGUCUGCAUGCUAGGGCCUUGGCCAACCCUUGUGCCAAGUGGCAGCAGCCUAGAGCACGAGCAGGCGCACGUGGUCUGCCCCACUCCCAGGCCUGACAGCCUAAGCGCCAAGUGUCCCCAGCCUUAUGGGUUGUGCGUCCAGCGAGGCACUUGGGGCCUACACUAAUAUUUUUUUCAAAAAUUAUUUUUUAACAAUAAUAAUAAUAAUAAUAAUAUUUGUUAUUAUAUUUUUUUUUUGCAAUUUCCUUCUAUUUUUAAUAUUAAUACAAAUAAUAAUAUUUAUUAAUAAUAUUUUUUUUAACAUUCAAAGAAAUUAAAAAUAAAAAUAUUUAGAAUAAAAAUAAAAAUAUUUAGACUACAAAUAAUAAUAUUUAUCACAUAUAUAUAUAUAUAUAUAUAUAUAUAUAUAUAUAUAUAUAUAUAUAUAUAUAGCCGGAAGAAAUUAGAAAAAUAAUAGGAGUCUGGAGCGGUCAGAAAAUGGUUAGAAAAAUUGAUUAAGGAGGUUAAAAAAUACAAAGAUUGAAAUUUUGACAAUAUAUACUUGAAUGAUGAGAGCCCUGUUGGAAAAGAAAAUUCAAUUUGAGGAGAAAAGUACAAAAUUAGAUGUUUAUGGACUCAAUUGGAUUUUAUUGAAGGUUUAAUUGAAUUUAUAGAGGGUUUGAUUGCAAGAAAAAUUGUUUUUUAAGUCAAUUUGGGCUUUAAUUGGAAGAAAUUAAAGUUCUGGGGUCAAAUUAUAAUUUUUAAGAGUUGAUUUGGUCAAAUUAGGGGCUUAAUUGCAUAAAUAUUGAAGUUUGAUGGCCAAUUAGGGACUUAAUUGAAGAAAUCCGAAACCAAGGACCAAACUAGAAAAGGCGCGUAAAUAGAGGGGCUGUAAUUAACCAAAUCAGGGCUUAAAUUAAAGAAAUUGGAAGUUUAUUGAUCAAUUGAGGGUCAAAUUGUAUAAAUCGGAAACCAAGGACGAAAGUGGAAAAGGCGGCCAACUAUAAGGGCGGCGAUUGAAGUUGGCAGGGAUUCAAUUGAAAUGAACAAAAGAUAAAUUAAGGACUGAUUUGGAAGUUGACGUGUUGGCGCCAUAUUUAAAUGAAACGGCGCGUUUUGUCCAAAACGACGCCGUUUCAUGUUGAAAAAAAAUAUAACAGAACGGUGUCGUUUUGAGAGACACUGUUCCUCCUUCUUCUUCCCCUGGACGCGCAGCAGGGGAAGAAAGAAACUUUUGUUUUUUCUUCUUUAAUUCUUCAUGCCUAUCUCCCUCCCCGCGUGCUUUGCCAAACAUCCGAAGCCCGAUGCCCCCUCAUAAUGAGAAACUAGCAAAGACGUGCCCAGCAAACCGAGCCCGUUGGUCACCUCAACCGGCGUCGUGACAGGGCAGUAAAGCCCUGCUCCCCAUGCGCAGCAAUAGGGCGGCAAUAGGGAUGCCCCCGCUCCCUUUGCCCUAUAUAUACCACCCAACGCCAGCACAUGACAAAAAAAAGACAGAGGACGAAAAAGAAAACGAGAGGAAAAGAAAAGGAAAGCAGACGGUGGAGAGAGAGAGAGAGAGAGAGGAAGACGAGUUUGAAACAGGGGAGGGUUUGAGAGUAAAAAAAAACAGACAGAGAGGAACAAAAAGAAAGGUAAACAUAGCAGCAGAAGAGGAAAGAAAACGAAGGAGAAGGGAAGAGCAGUAACCUCUCGCUCCGCCGUUUGUAACAGCGACACCGCCACCGGCCUCCACCGCAGCACCGCCAGCGAAGCAGCCAGACCAGCAAGGCACCUCCUCCUCCGCGUCAGGUAACUUUUCUUUCCCCUCCCUUUUUACUUCAUUUUGGGCAUAAGUUUCUCCUGCAUGCAGAAUGAAUAGCGUUCUGCAUGCAGGAGGAGGAGGAGAGGGGGAAAAUAAUUCCCCCUCCCUGUUUUUUCUUUCUGGGCCAGGCCGGUUCUGGCCCAGCCCUUAUGUCUGGGCCGGGUCCGGCCCGGACCCAAAGAAGCAGAGAGAACUGUUGGGCCGAGAUCGGCCUAACCCUUUUGGGCUGAGGCCGGCCCAGUUAACUGGGCGACCCAGCCCACACAAUUAUAAUAUUAUAUAUUAUAGUAUAUUAUAUUAUAUAUAUAUAUAUAUAUAUAUAUAAUUUUUUAAAAAACAAAUUCUAAAAAAUCCUUAAAAAUUUUGUUGAUUUUUCUGCAUAUUUUUUUUAUCAAAAUUAUUUAAUACUAGUUUGUAUUUUUAUACCGUAAAGAUACAGAUCCAGUAUUAAAACAUCCGGUUUUCGUCAAAACAUUGCAAAAAAUUUAUAUAAAAUAAAAAAAUAUUUUGUUUUUCAUGCAUACGGCCAAGUAUUUCAAAGAUAAGAAAAAUCAUCACAUCGUAUUUUCAUACAAAAAAAAAUCAUAUUGUUUUUUUAUACAUAAAACACAAAAUAUUCAAAAAUAUGUUUUAGCAUGCACUUUGGCUUUAAUAACAAGUUUGUUAGAGCCAUGAGAACUAGGCCAAUAUUUCAAAAAUUCUAAAAAAAUAUUUUUGUCUUCUUUUAGUAUCUGGGAUUACGAAUUUAUACGUAAAACGUAUUCCUGAUAUUAAAAAUGUAGUUUUCUUAUAUAGGCGUUAGAACGGUUAGAUUUUUACCCGAUAAGAUAAGGACCUCUUUACUGAGGAGGACUUUUCUUGAACUAUAGACGGACCAACAAUUAGAAAUACAAUAGCACCUUAGCUUUUUAUCAGACAAUCAAACAAUGCAGCUUACCUUAGGUAAGGCGUAUUUGGGGUGCUAAUACCUUCUCUUUAUGCAAUCAAUCCCCGUACUCGAUCUCUGAGACCAGUUAGAGUUCCUAGUGACCAAAAUACUAGGUGGCGACUCCCAUUCUAUUUUCCACCGAUAAAAGACAAGAUUUUCUUGUCUCCCCAUAUUUGCCACAUAGAUAUACAUUUAGAUUGAAGUGGAAUAUUCAUCACGACGCCGCACACGUGUGACAAUAUUAAGAAUAAUAUCUACAGUAAUAAAUUUUUUAUGUUAAUUAACAAUGAGACAAUAAUAAUAAUGAUAAUUGCUAUUGUAUUUUUUCCCCCUACAGGGUCUGCCGAUCCAGCCAUGCGAGCCUCUAAACCCAAGGGCGGUUAGAACAGACAUCGGCGGUCCGGUCUGCACCCAGUGCGCGGGUCAUGAGGCUAGGAGCGCGGGGUGCAGACCCAACCUCGCGUGUCUGCAGACCCCAGGAUUGCGGGGCUGCAGACCCGCUUGCCGUGGGGCUGCAACCAGGCGCGCGGGUCUGCCCCUAGCACCUAAGGCGUGGCAAACCCCGCGCCAGGUGUCUAUAUGCUAGGGCCUCGGCCAGCCCUAGCACCAGGUGACAGCAUCCUGGGGCGCGCGCAAGCGCGCAUGGCCAACCCAACGCCCAGGCUAGUCAGCCCAAGGGGGUGUGCGUCCACCUAGACGCUUGGGGCGUGCAAUAAGAUUUUUUUCAAAAAAUGUUUUUUAAAGAAUAAUAAUAAUGAUAAUUGUUAUUAUAUUUGUUUUUUCCAAUUUUCGUCUAUUCUUAAUAUUAAUACAUUUAAUUAAAAUAAUAAUAAUAAUAAUAACAGUAAGAAUACAAAUAAUAAUAUUAUCAUAUUAAUAAUAAUAUUAAACUUGUUUGACCAAAGUUGAUACAAUAUUAAUAAUAAUAUGAAGCUUGCUUGACCAAAGUUAAUACAAUAUUAAUAAUAAUAUUUAUCACAUAUUUUAUCAAAUUAUUUAUAAAUAAUAAUAUAUUUUUUAUGUUUGAAAAAUCCAUUUUUUAUAUACUCACAUCAAAAAAUUCAUUCGUGUAAAAAGGAAAUAAUAAUAUUAACUAUAUAUGCAUAUCCAUAAGAUCUCAAUGGAUUGCCCCUUACUACAGAAUGUAGCACAUCCUUAAGCUAGAAUAAAGUGCCUUCACUGAUUAAUCUAGCAUAUCUAAUUAUUUGAAAAAAAUUUCAAAUUUCAUUUCACCUUACAUAAGAAUUUAAUACUUAAUAUUAUUUGAGAAUACAUAAAGAUUGCAAGCAGCGGCUUUUAGUGAACUUUUGAUGACAUGAAACUGCCACAAAAUGGGUCCUAUCCGAGAGGGCGUUCUUUUCUGUUCUGUUAUCACAUAGAACUGAAAUCUGUUCACAGUACCCCUCCAAGAAAAUGGUCUCUCAAGGUAAGUCCUGAGGAAUUUGACACAAAUAAAACGAUAUAUCUUGUCCCAGUAUCAAAAAAAUGUUAAAAAAUGUGAGCAUAUGAACACAUGAAGUGGUCUCAGAAUCUAUGUUCCUAUUAUUUUUAACAAUACGGAAAGGCAUAACUAACUGUUUGUACUAUAAUAUUCUUUGGUAUAUUUAUUACCGAUGGACUCACUAGCAGACCAUAAAUUAUUGACGAGAGUUUUUUCGACGGACUGUCUCCAUCCGCGUGAGCCUGUCAACAAAAUACAUACCAAUGAACUGUGAGUGUGAAUAUCGACAAAAUUUUCUGUUAGUAAAACUGUUAAAUUUGGUAGUGAUCGCUUGAUCCGCCACUAGAAGUGAUGACAAGUUAUGACCAUUUUAAGUUGUUAUUCUGGUCUGACACAAUUAGACCUUCUCUUGGACCUAGACUUGUCCUACUAGUCUAUAAAUAUAUAUGUUAGAACAUCCAUAUCAUCUGUCUAGAGCAGAUACUAAUCUAAUUGUGACAGACCCACAUAUGGCAGCUCAGAAUCAUCUGUUAUCGCAAACCCAACUACAUCAUUAAUGGUCUCUCAAGGUAAGUCAUGAGGAAUUUGAAGCAUAUAAAACGAUAUAAGUUGUCCCAAUAUCAUAAAAAUGUUUUAAAAAAAUGUGAGUAUAUGAACCCAUGAAGUGGGAUCAGAAUCUAUGUUCCUAUUGUUAUUAACAAAACGGAAAGCCACAACUAACUGUUUGUACUAUAAUAUUGGGAGUGAGAGGUACAAUGUCCAGAAUGCUUCUAAGGAUAACCAUAUCCAUAAGAUCUCAAUGGAUUGCCCCUUACUGCAGAAUCUAGCGCAUCCUUAAGUAAAUAAAGAAAGCUAGAAUAAAGUGGCCUCAGUGAUUAUUUAGCAUUAUUAAGUAGGCCAAGUACUCUUCACUGCUUAUUUCCUAAUAAUUCCUUACUGUGGAAUUGCACUUACAAAUAAAGAACUUGUUCUUGAUAUUUUCGUACGGAAUUUCGUUUAUUCGGAUUAAUUUGAGGUUAACUAGAAUAAGAAAUAAAGAUAUAGGUUUUGGAAAGAAUAGAAAAAAAGAUUAUCAAAAGAAAUUAGAAAGGAAAAGUUAGUUAUAUGGAAUCAGAUUCACCAUUAAACUAAAGAGUCGGAAGGAAUCAUUUGUUCAAUAAUUGAAUGCGAUUUUUGUCUUAUAUAUAUUUUAGGAACUUUGCACUCGAUCGAAAGGGAACAUUUGUGCCACCAAGUACUAACAAUAACUGUCCAUAGUUUUGCAUGCAUAGACACUUUUUUUCCCGGUGUUAAUAGAUAUUUUCGGACCAACUUGAAAGCAAUUAUUAGAGAUAUCAAUUCAAUCUGAAUUCAAUAUGCAUACAUAUAUAUUACUUUUUUUUAUUUUAUAUUAAAUAUUAAAUAAUGUUUAGGAAAUAAAAAUCUAAAUGGAUCGAUGAAUAUAAUAUUAGUUUCUAAAUGAUGCAACAUAGCUAGAAGAAACUGAAGGUUAUGAGUGGACCUGAUAUAGCUAGAUGAGGGUCAAACCACCAACAAAUUACAUAGAUGACUUAACAUUUAUUUUUAUGGUUUAAUAAGAUAGGAAUAGGUUCAAGAAAAAAAUAUAGUCAUGCCAAACCAAUAAAGUAUCUAAAAGAAGCCAUAACUUGUCAUCCAAUCGUCAGAUAAAUCUCAAAUUUUUACUUAGAUUCCCAAAGCCCAUCUCUAUGGAGGAGCUCUUUGGCAAUCCAUCCUCUAAAUGGAUUUCCUCAAAUUAAGAUGAGAAGAUCCGGCUUAAGCCAAUUUUUUUGUUGUUUUUUUUUUUUUUCAAAAUUUUAUGUUUUAUCUCGGAUUUUCCAUUAUUUUUCAAAUUAAAGAAACCGAGAUAAAAUACCCUGAAUCUUCUUUCAUAAUUUGCUUUCGAGAAGGUGUAGUGUUUUUGCUACUUUUACUUUUGGACCUGACUUGAUUCCUGACCGGUAGAAACAGCAUUAGUCCAAAAGCAGGGAAGCUUUUGUUUUCUUUAAUCACAUGAUCAGAUAUUCUCAUUUAUGCCCAGCACAAAUUCAUAGAAGUGGCUCUAAUGAUUGGCUGACAACAGUUGUUAAUGAGCAGUGUUUGCGUCCCUUAUUUUUCAGUUUACUAAGUAUUUAGAACAUUCAAUUCCAAUCCAAAGUCGAUAAUAAUAAACUCUUGGUGAUGGUUUUGUUAUCGAAAGUGAUCGGACAUCGGACGACAAAAAAACCAGUAAAAUUUCUUGAACACAUCCAAAUCUAACAGUUUUUACUUUUUUUGUGUUUAAAUAUGAUAUUAAUAAACUAUUGAUGAUAAUCUUUUUUUCAUUUUAUGAUGUUUUUAUCGUAGUAGUGAUAAGAUGAAGAAAAGCUAUUGAUUUUUCUCUCAGCAAUGGUUUGUUUUAUCGUACACAAAUGUUGGGUGCUUUUAUUUACAAAAAGGAGUACUGUCUAACAAUAUUCAUUCCACAGCUGUUGUCAACCAAACCUUCCCGAUCUAUAUAAAGGUUGGUUUGGCCUCACACAUAUUAGCCAAGCAAGUAAACCAGCUCGACCUAUAUACAGCUACUUGUCUUGUGUAUUGACUGACAAAUUGUAGUUAACAUGGCACGUCAGGCAGACCGUCUUGCUAAGAUUGGGCUGGAGGGCUUUGCAGCCAGAGAUGAGCACUUCGGCCGGGCCAAGAGGCGGCCACCAGUGCUGAAGGUUCCCUAUGCUCAUCCGACAUAUUACUAUGCAAACCAAAUUCCUGCAACAGAAGUUAUCGACACCAACGAGGCAGCUCAACGCUACAAGGGGAGGGUUUAUCUCGAUUAUCCUAAGGGGAAACCAGUUCCGUUUUAAAGACCUAGUGAUUAAUCACUUAGCUUUCUUGUAUGCAUAACCUCCUCCAGUUGUGUUACCUUUAGUCCUGUACGAUAUUCUCCCUCUGCUAAACGUAUACGAGGAGAGGUUGCUAGAACUCGAGUCAGGAGCUUCUUGUUACUUCUUCAAAUAAACUUUCUGUGAUUUAUAUAUCAUUUUCUAUUUGUAUGUAUUGUCAUAAUUAUCACCUCUUACUUAGCAUGGAAUUGAAAGAUACAAUAUGCUCUUGAAAUGCUUUGAAGCUCUUCAAGGUGUGAUUUCACCGACUAAGUUGGAACUGUACAGAGCUCAAUGAUGAGCCGUAGGAGGCGUCUCUGAUUGUUGCACUGUAAGCAUGAGUGUACGUAUGAAUAUAACCAGCAGAUCCGCAAAGCACAAGUGAUGACAAGCUUCUUAACACGGCUACAUUUAACAGUUUUACCAACGAAAUUUUUUGUCGGUAUUUACUCUACCAUUCCGUCAGCAUGAAUUUUACCGACUGAUUUACGGACGGAAACAGUCGGUCGAUAAAUUCCUCUUGUCAGUAAUUUUAUUAAUGUCGGUAAAAAAAAACCGAUGGUUUUACAGACAGAAAAUGCAAGCCAAUUUUUUUUCCACUGGAAUAUAAAGACAGAAUUAUUUCUUCGGUGAUUGACAGUGGCAUAUGGAGUAAUUUUAUUCCAAACCCUCUAUAAAAUACCGAAGGAAUUAUUCCAUCGGUGAUGUAACAGUUGAAAUGGCAUAUGCAGUAAUUAUUUUUCAACUCUCUGGAAUAUAACGACCAACAAAGUUUGUCGGUAACUCUGUCCGUAAUAAUUAAAAAAUAUAUUUUAUACAAAAUUGUAUAAAAUUCAAGUAUGUGAAAAUAAAUUACCUAUGCUCAUCCGACAUAUUACUAUGCAAACCAAAUUCCUGCAACAGAAGUUAUCGACAGCAACGAGGCAGCUCAACGCUACAAGGGGAGGGUUUAUCUCGAUUAUCCUAAGGGGAAACCAGUUCCGUUUUAAAGACCUAGUGAUUAAUCACUUAGCUUUCUUGUAUGCAUAACCUCCUCUAGUUGUGUUACCUUUAGUCCUGUACGAUAUUCUCCCUCUGCUAAACGUAGACGAGGAGAGGUUGCUAGAACUCGAGUCCGGAGCUUCUUCUUGCUUCAUCAAAUAAAAUUUCUGUGAUUUAUAUAUUAUAAUUUUCUAUUUGGCUGGUCAAGUAUGCAUUGUCAUAAAUAUCACUCUGCUUCCCUGAUUAUUACCUUAUUCACCUAUUACUUAGCAUGAAAUAUUGAAAGAUUAAUGCAGUCGGAAGCACAACAAUAUAGCUGCAAGCAUAGAAAGACAAAAGAUAAACUGAAAUAAUGUUAAAACACUGAGAAUCCUAAAACCUUAUUUCUAAAUUAUUAAUUUGAUUAAGUUUACCUUCUAAAGAGGUUUACAAUCUCUUUCAUAGACUAGAAAAAUAGGCCAAGAUUCGAAACAAAAUCAGAAUCCCAAAACAUAACGGAAAAUAACAUAAAAUUUAAAAAUAAACAAUAAAUCUGCGAAAAUUAAGGAAAAAUAACAAAAUUAUCCCAAAUAAUAACUAAUUAGCCUACUUUAUGGAGAUACAAUGCUCUGAUAACUAUUGAGUUGUUUUUAAUGGGAAAACGGUUUGUAGAAUCUUCUAUAAAAAUUUAAACCUGAUUUAACGGUUAGAAUAUCUCCUGUUAUCAUUAUUUUAGGCUAUUAUUCUGGUCUUGCGUGAUGAUGCUUUCUCUUGGCCUAAACAUCUUUCACUAGUACAUGAACAUAUCUGUUAGUAGUCCGUUUAGGGCAAACAAAUAAUUAAUUUGCUGUUCAAAUGCUUUGAAGCUCUUCAAGGUGUGAUUUCACUGAAUAAUUUCGAGUUUAGAAUUAUCACCUCAUUUUAGAAUUGUCCCGAGCACAAGGAUAAAAUGAUGAGCCAUGGGAAGCGUCUCCGAUAAAGAAAUAAUAAACGGAGUUCAAGGUAAAACAAUAGCUUAGAAAAAAAAAAGUAGAAAUUUACACGAUAUCUAAGAAUAUCAGCGAUCAUGACCAUGAUUGGAUCAUUUCUGAGUUCUACAACCAAAAUUUCCUUCACAUCUCUUUAACUAAGCUGAUAGUCGAUGAAGAUUUAAGGAAAAACAUGAUUCCCAAUCCGAGCCAUAUGAGCAAGUGUAUCUAGUAAAAAUAUCUUAUCUCCCAUGAAAAUCAUAUUAGUAAGCCUCCCUCUGAAGCAUUGCUUUACACAUAUCUUUUACAGAAAAAAGAGAAAAAUGGGAAAUGCUCCGAGUUAUACCUUUUCUUGAUCUUUCCCAAUCCUUCAUUAUAAAUGGGACCCAUCAAAAACAUGAGAUGUGCUUUAACUUCCUCCAUAUUUCAUCUUAGCCUAGAAGGAUAAACAAGAAUAUUAUUGCUUCUGAAACAUAACGAUUGCAAGCAUCGCCUUUCGGUGAACUUUAGAUGACAUGAAACUGCCACAAAUUGGGUCCUAUCCGAGAGAGUUUUCUUUUUCUGCUCUGUUAUCACACAUAUACAACUGAAAUCUUUAAGUCCUCUUUAGGGUAUCCCUGAAAGAAAAUGAUCUAUCAUGCAUGGAAAGUCCUGAGGAAUCUGAGGCAUCACUACAUGAAAUUCAACCAACGGAAUUGCCGACAAACUGUUUCUUUCGGUAUUUUGCGGUGAUAUUUACCGACCGAAUUACUUCCCUUGCUAAAACCGUCGGUAUAUAUCGAGUGAAUCCCAGAUAGAAUAUAAAGAAUUUUAAAAAACAAAGCAGUGCAAUGACGUGGAAGUUUUGGUGGAUGAUGUUACUGAUGGAAUUACAGAGUGAUUCAAACUGGGAUGUUCGUACAGUGACGUGUUUACUUCACCGACAGAAUGGCCGAUGGAUUUACAAACAAAAAUAUUAUGUCGGUAAUUCCAUCGAUAAUAGUUAAUAUAUUGAAUGUUUUUUUAGUGUUUACUUGUUUUAUUACUUUUCUCAAACAAACAUGUAGUAUGGAUUUAUAAUUUUGUACUUGGUAUGGUUUGUUUUAGAUUUUGUAAAAUUAUAUUUGUUUGUAAAUUGUUGAAAUUUAUGUCGAAUUACCGACUUAGGUGUGUUGUGAUGAAAUAAAUAAUGACUUGUUUGAUGGGUCCGUUUUAAUUUUUGUCAAUUUUAUUGCCGAGUUGUAAUUUCUGUAAAUUAAUGUGUCUAAAUUUGUAUGGACGUAGAUAAUUGAUAAUGAAUAUUUAAGAGAAGUUUGAAAGUAAGUUGGAAAUCUUGAGCUAAACCAAUAUUUUUGCAAAUUUAUUUGCUUGACGUAGUUAAUUAAUACAUGUUGUCAUCAUUAUUUUAUAGAGGUUUGAUAGAAGUCAUGGAUGAUCAUUCAUGGAUGUAUCGAGAUUCACCUUAAGAAUUGCGGAGGAUGGAUUAUUAUAAUAGGGUUCAGAGUUUUAUUAAUUUCGCAACAUCUAUUUCGAGAAAUUUUAGUGGAGACGGUAUUAAGUGUCCAUACAGGAGGUGUAAAAAUAAAAAGUUUUUGCAUCCAGAUGUUGUAACGAUGUAUCUUCUACACAAAGGGUUCAUGGAGGAUUACUUGUGUUGGUAUGCACACAAAGAAUUAUUUGUUCGUAACAAGAGCAUGGUAGAAAGGAUGGUUGGGUCAACUUCUAGUGCUAGCAAUGUGCAUGGAGUUGUAAAUGACAAUAGUAAUCCUUACAGGAAUAUGGUUAUGGAUUCAAUGAGAAUGAAUCAAGAUAAUGCUAGUCAAUGUCCAAUUGUAGAAGAAGAUGCUAGUCAAUGUCCAAUUGUAGAAGAAGAACCUAAUGCAGACGCGGCCAGGUUUUUUGAUUUGUUGAAAGAUUCUGAUGAACCAUUAUGGGAUGGCUGCACAAAUCACUGUAAAUAAUCAGUUGUUGCAUAUGUGUUCACUAUCAAGUCAGAUUAUGGGUUGAGUGAGGCCGGUUAUGACAAAAUUAUCGAAUGGGCGAGAAGCAUUCUACUUGAAGGGAACAAGCUGAAAGAGAACUUCUAUGCUACUAAGUCCAUGAUGAAACCCCUCGGUUUAGGAUACUAGAAAAUUGACAUGUGUCCAAACUUUUGCAUGAUGUACUACCUUGAAAAUGCUGAGCUAACCGAGUGCAUGGCAUGAGAGCAUUCCCGUUACAAAUCCAGAACUGGCAUGGGAAAGACUCUUAUGGCAUAUAAAAAACUUAGAUACUUCCCAAUCACGCCUAGACUGUAGAGGUUAUUCAUGUCACCAAAGACUACUGAGCACAUGAUAUAGCACCAAUCACUUGAUGCAGUGGAUGGAGUGAUAGUGCAUCCUUCUGACGGUGAAGCAUGGAAACACUUUAACAGUGUGCAUUCUCAUUUUUCAGCUGAAUCAAGGAACGUGCAUCUUGGGUUAUGUACAGAUGAAUUCAACCCAUUCAGGUCAUUUGUUGAUCCUUAUUCUUGUUGGCCGAUUAUACUCACGGUUUACAACUUACCACUCUUAUGGCAACAGUUGCUCCUUCUUCACAAUACUUAUGGAACAAAGACUUGUUAAGUGCUUGACUAACGGACUGUUUUUCUCAAAGCUUUUAGUUUGGUUGACCUGAAACUUUGUUUUCGUAGCAAUCCCCAUCAACGGAAACUACGAUCAAACUGUGUACAAUUUGGUUAUCUUGAAAUCGCAAUCUAGUGAUUUGCUUAAUCCAAAACCAAAAUCAAUGCCAAAGUUCGGUCAACCUGAGAUCCCAAUUUGGCGAUCCGCUUUAACUAGAACUAAAAUAUGAAAAGUAGCUCGGUAACCUGAAAUCCCAAUCUGGCGAUUCACUUUAACCAGAACCUUGGUCUUUGUCGUUAAGUUGGUCAACCUAAAAUCCCAAUACGACGAUUCUCUUUAAUAAGAACCAAAAUGUCGCCUUUAGCUUAGUUAAUCUGAAAUCUCAAUCUAGAGACCCCCUUUAACCAAAACCUUGGUCUUUAUCCUUAGCUCGGUCAACCUGAGAUCCCAAUCUAGUGAUUUCCUUUAACCAAAACCAAAAUGUCACCUUAAGCUUGGUUAACCUGAAAUCUCAAUCUACAGAUCCCCUUUAAUCAGAACCUUGAUCUUUGUCUUUAGCUCAGUCAACUUGAGAUCCUAAUCUAGCUAUUCCCUUUAAUUAGAACAAAAAUGUCACCUUCAGCAUGGUUAACCUGAAAUCUCAAUCUAGAGACCCCCUUUAACCAGAACCUUGGUCUUUGUCUUCAGUUCGGCAAACCUAAAAUCCCAAUCUGAUGAUUCGUUUUAACCAGAACCAAAAUGUUGCCUUAAGCUUGGUUAACCUAAAAUCUCAAUAUAGAGACCCCCUUUAACUAAAACCUUGGUCUUUGUCUUUAGCUCAUUCAACCUGAGAUCCCAAUCCGACAAUCCUAUUUAACUAGAACCAAAAUGUUUCUUUCAGUUUGGUUAACCUGAAAUCUCAAUCGAGUGACUCCCUUUAAUCAAGCGAUUCCCUUUAACUAAAACCAAAAUGUUGCCUUCAACUCGGUUAACCUAAAAUCUCAAUUUAGAGACCCCUCUUUAACUAGAACCUUAGUCUUUUUUUUUUAGCUCGGUCAACUUGAGAUCCCAAUCUUAUGAUCCCAUUUAACAAGAACCAAAAUAUUGCCUUCAACUCGGUUAACCUAAAAUCUCAAUUUAGGGAACUCUCUUUAACUAGAACCUUAGUCUUUUUCUUUAGCUCGGUCAACUUGAGAUUCCAAUCCUACGAAUCUUGAAACAUCAUCCCCUUCUUAGUCCUACUUUGAUUUGCCAAAAAAAUGGAAAAGAAUGAAUGAUAUGGUGGAGAACUAGACCGGUCUUUACCAUUGGCUAGAACCAACCAUAGGCUGCUUAGAAAGCAACCUUCAACACCUAAAAACAAACCACCACAUAACAACCCUGCAAUUAUCAACAACAACAUCUAGUUCUAGCUACCUAGUCUAUGUCAAAGAAUAGAAUCUGAGGCAACUUUUUGACCAAAAUUCCAUUCUCUAUUAUUCCUUCAAUAUUGGGGUUUAAUGCAAGCAACUUGUUUAUUCGGAUUUGAGAUGUAAAUAGAUUUUAAUUUUGUUAGGAUGAGGUGGUCAGGUUGCGUCACAUUGAUUAUGUCAUGAAGUUAACUAGAGUAAGAAAUAAAGAUAUCAAGUUUCGGAGAGAAUCAAGAUCAGUUAAAGCAAAAAAAAAAAAAAACAGAUUAUGAAAAUAAAUUGGAAACGAAAAGUUUAGUUAUAAGGAAUUAGAUUCACAAACAAAUUUAAGUCUCAUCAAUUCUAGGAAACAAGUUGGAAGGAAUCAAUUUUACAAAAAUUGACCUUCGCACUAGAGAGAACCUUCGAGCCACUUCAAAUGUACUGAAGGCCAUUUGUUUGCCAUAUGUGCUAAUUAAGAACAUAAUUCUAUUCUUUUGUGAGUUAAUAUUCUGUAAAAUAAGCUUGGAAUAGCUUGCGGGGGCUUGGCUCAGAGAUCAUUGAGUUUUUACUACAAAUUGCCUUUUAAUUUUUUUCCACCUGUAAUUGGAUUCGAUAAGUUUCCCUUUUGUUUACAUAUGAAGAACAAACAUUGCUUGAGGUUAUCCAAUGCCGAGAUCAAGGUCAGAUAAUACUAGCGAACCCCUAAUCAGGAUUAAGAAGCAAAAAAAAUGUUAAGUGCAGCUUAUCCAAUGCCGAGACCAAGGUCAGAUAAUAUCCUGAUUGUGCUUAUUGCCAUUAAUUAGAAACUGCAAUAUCGUCACAUAAUUAAACUGAGAUUAUUCUGAUUAGAGAACAGAAGGAAUCUUCUUUCAUAAUUGGCUUUUGCGAAGGUUUAGUGUUUUUGCUGCUACUGCUUUUGGACCUGACUUGAUUCCUGAUCGGUCGAAAAAGCAUUAGUCCAAAAGCAGGGAAGCUUUUGUUUUCUUUAAUCACAUGAUCAGAUAUUAUAAUUUAUGCCCAACACAAAUUCAUAAAAGUGGCUCUAAGAUUGGCUGACAACAGUUGUUAAUGAGCAGUGUUUGCAUCCCUUAUUUUUCAGUUUACUAAGUAUUUAGAACAUUCAAUUCCAAUCCAAAGUCGAUAAUAAUAAACUCUUGGUAAUGGUUUUGUCAUCGAUGGUGAUCGGACGACAAAAAAACCAGUAAAAUUGUUUUAUAUAAAAAGUUUAUUAAGUAUUGAAAACAUCCAAAUCUAACAUGUUUUACUUUUUUGUGUUUAAAUAUGAUAUUAAUAAACUUUUGGUGAUAUUUUUUUUUUCAUUUUGUGAUGCUUUUAUCGUCAGUAGUGAUAAGAUGAAGAAAAGCUAUUGAUUUUUCUCUCAGCAAUGGUUUGUUUUAUCGUACACAAAUGUUGGGUGCUUUUAUUUACAAAAAGGAGUACUGUCUACCAUUAUUCAUUCCACAGCUGUUGUCAACCAAACCUUUCCUUUCUAUAUAAAGGUGGCUUGGCCUCCUACAUAUUAGCCAAAGCAAGAAAACCAACAAAACCUAUAAACAGCUACUUGUCUUUGUGUGUUGAUUAAUUGUAGUUAACAUGGCACGUCAGGCAGAUCGUCUUGUUAAGAUUGGGCAGGAGGGUUUUGCAACCAUUGAUGAGCACUUCGGCCGGGCCAAGAGGCGGCCACCAGUUAUGAAGGUUCCCUAUGCUCAUCCCACAUAUUACUAUGCAACAGAAGUUAUCGACAGCAACGAGGCAGCUCAACGCUACAAGGGGAGGGUUUAUGUCGAUUACCCUAAGGGUAAACCAGUUCCGUUUUAAAGACCUAUUGAUUAAUCACUUAGCUUUCUUGUAUGCAUAACCUCCUCCAGUUGUGUUACCUUUAGUCCUGUACGAUAUUCUCCCUCUGCUAAACGUAGACGAGGAGAGGUUGCUAGAACUCGAGUCAGGAGCUUCUUCUUACUUCUUCAAAUAAACUUUCUGUGAUUUAUAUAUCAUUUUCUAUUUGUAUGUAUUGUCAUAAUUAUCUUUCUUACUUCCUCAUUAUCACCUCUUACUUAGCAUGGAAUUGAAAGAUACAAUAUGCUCUUGAAAUGCUUUGAAGCUCUUCAAGGUGUGAUUUCACCGACUAAGUUUGGAACUGUACAGAGCUCAAUGAUGAGCCGUGGGAGGCGUCUCUGAUUGUUGCACUGUAAGCAUGAGUGUACGUAUGAAUAUAACCAGCAGAUCCGCAAACCACAAGUGAUGACAAGCUUCUUAACACUGCUGCAUUUAACAGUUUUACCAACAAAAUGUUUUGUCGGUAUUUACUCUACCAUUCCGUCAGCAUGAAUUUUACCGACUGAUUUACGGACGGAAACAGUCCAUUGGUAAAUUCCUCUUGUCAGUAAUUUCAUUAAUGUCGGUACAAAAAAACCCGAUGGUUUUACAGAUAGAAAAUGCAAGCCAAUUGUUUUUCCACUGGAAUAUACAGACGGAAUUAUUUCUUCGGUGAUUGACAGUGGCAUAUGGAGUAAUUUUAUUCCAAACCCUCUAUAAAAUACCGAAGGAAUUAUUCCAUCGGUGAUGUAACAGUUGAAAUGGCAUAUGCAGUAAUUAUUUUUCAACUCUCUGGAAUAUAACGACCAACAAAGUUUGUCGGUAACUUCGUCCGUAAUAAUUAAAAAAUAUAUAUAUUUUUAAAAAUUAUUUAUUGAACAAAAAAAGAAAAUAAUAAAAAAUAUAAAAUUGUAUAAAAUUCAAGUAUGUAAAAAUAAAUUACCUUAGUAUAAAAGCCAAAUAUUCAUUACAAAUUUAUAUGUUCAAAUAAAAUUAAACUAGAAAAAUGGCGGCGUUGGAGGAGGCUGAUCGUUCCCGGGACCAUAUGGCCAAAAAGAGUGUCGCACGUGACCCGCGCGGCGUCCGAUGGUGAUUUUUUCGUUAUGCGUUUGCUUGAUUGGUUCGUUGGGAGUCGCCACCUAGUAUUUAAUUGAGGGCAACUAGGAAACCCGGGUGUACUGGUCUUGUCAGAGAUUCACGGGUAAGGGACUGGUUGUGGUUAGGGAAGGUAUUUGCACCCCUAACGCACCCUACCUGAGGUAAGCUGCUUCGUGGCUUUGAUGUGAUAAAGAAGUUUUAAAAAUUUUGUUCUUUCAUCGGGUAUUAGAAAUACGACUUACAUGUAAGUUCAUAAUUCUUGACCGUGAUCAAAUCAAAAUAUUAAAUUCUUCUUUAUUCUUUGCAAUUUUAUCAUAAAAAAAAUACAUUUAUAAAAAAAAAACUACAAACAAACACAUUCACUUUCACUAUAUUUUUUCUUUUCUUUUUCUUUUUUUUCUUUUUCACAUCUAUAUUACAAAAAUUCAAAACUAAACAAAAAUUACAUUAAAUAAUUUGAAAUUACAAAAAUAGCCCAAAAACAAGUCCAUAACAGUGCUGGGAAGCUUUCUGGAACUGCAUGCAGUGUUGAAGAAGGUUCCUGAACAGUUGAACAGUGCGUCGCCACGAGAAAUUCCAGGCAGCAGGGGGCGCUGCUGCGGCUUCCUCCCCUCUUCACUUCCCUGCCGGCGGUUAGGGUCUUCAUCACCUGCAAAAGAAUAAAACACCCAAACCAGUUGAUUUUAAUUUUUCUUUCUUUUUCGGAUCUGUUUCGGUCUUCUCCUUUUCAGAUCUACUUCACCGCAGAUCUUUCUUUGGUUUACAUCUUCUUCUCCUUCGCUUCAGGUGGCCGGUAGUUGGGCGGCGACGGCGCUGGAUUCAGGUUGUUGCUUUGGCCGCUGCAAUUGGUGGCUGAAGGAAAUGGCGUGGAUCUGUGGGCUGCCGUGUGCUGGCUGCUGUGGCUGACGGUGUGGGCGGCGCUGAUGGGAGGAGGAAAUGAAGGAAAAAGUCGGGGGGAAAAGGGAGGCAAAUCUGUUCUGGGGUUGCAGGUCUGCAGCAAUAGUGGAAGGAAAUGGGGGAGAUCGGCUGGCUGGGGGGCUGGUCUCUUUCGGCCGGUUCUGAUUUGCUUUUGGAUGAGGGGCGUGAGUGGUGGCUUCUGUUGAUAAGGGGAAAGGAAGGCUUGUGCGGGGAAGAUGAAGAUGACCGGGAGGGGAGCGGCCAAGGAAGAAGAAAAAAAUCAAAAACCAGCGGGGGGCGGUGUCUGCUCUUUUGUUUUGCCAAGUGGGGAGCGCUGCUGUUUGGGUAAAGAUAGGUUUAGGUUUAGGGUUAGGGUUUCUUGUAUCUCUCAAUGUGUAAAAUUACCCCCCUUCUCCUUUUGUGUGUUGUGGAGACCAGUAUUUAUAGGUAAAAAUAUUGUUUGGGUUUUUUUUUUUGUAAAUUUGAUUUUUCUUGUUUUUUUUGGAUUUUCUUAUCAACAUCGCCUCGAAUGAGGAAAAUCAGUGAUUUUAAAAAUAACGCGUUAAAAGUCAAACGCGUUCCAAAGAUCUUUGAAAAUUUAAAUUCUUUUGAGACGAUGUUGAAAAUGCUAAAAACGAUGCAAAUAUAUUAAAAAAACAUAUUUUUUUGGAUUUUCGAUGUUUUCGCUAUUUUUGGAUUUUUCUGAAAAUUUAUCAAAAACAUGGGUCAAAAAUUGGGUAGCAACAAAGAGGACGCACAUGUACCACCCAUCUGUGAUCUUAUAUCCAUCGCCAUUCUACGGAGUUCAUAAUAAUCUGCAUAGAGUCGUUCAUAUUCUUCAAUGAGAUAGGUCGUAUGUUGUUGUAAGGUCACGAACUCCUGAGACUGGGUGGUCAAUAUCGAUUGCAAGCUCCCAACGGUUGAGACACUACGGGCCAUCUACAAGUUGGUCGUGGUGUUGGAGAGUUUGCACACCUGAUUUCUAUCUGGUCUACCAGAUGAUCCUACCUCCAUCCACAAAUCUGGAUCGAAAUCCAGGUGGGUCGAAGGAUCGUUCCCGUAUCUCUCCCUUAAUCGUCUGUUAUAUGUCUCCUGGAAAUAAAAAAACUGAAAUCAUCAAAUUUAAUUCAAGUAAAUAAUAAUUUACAAAAGAAAAUGGUUGAACGAACAUACCACAAAGUGUUGAGCGCAGUAGUUAACGAACUGUUGCACCUCUUUUUGGCAGUCUUCACUCUACACGUGCGUCUCCACAAAAAGCUCCAUUGGGCUUGGCUCACGUCUAAGAGCUGUAGUCUGUAAGAAAAAAAUGUUGCAAGUAAAAUAAAUUUAUAAAUAACAACAAAUUAAUUAAAGAUAGAUGUGAUUAAAAUUAUUUUUUUUGUUAUUUUUUUAAUUUUUUAGGCUUUGUUUGGAAAAAAAAACCUAAUUUUUUUGUAAUAAAACUGUCGAAACAAGCAUAAGGGGGUGUUUGCCAAACACACCCUUAAACCAAAAAACCCUUUUAGCAAAAAUAUUGCAAGCUAAACAAGGUCUUAACCCUUUGACCCAUUCUUGACCCAACUGGGUUGACCCAAUCGAGUUGACCUGACUGGGAUGACCUAAAAUCUUUGGUUUCAACCAUAAACCGAACCAAAGAUCCUAGUUUGACCCGAAAACAACUCAAAAAGAAAACAAAAGCCAAAAAACAGAUUAAACACCAAAAAACAUGAAAAAACUUGAAAAUAACGAAUCAAAUGCAAAAAAUAAAAAAAGAACACGAAUAACAUGAAAAACAUUAGAACUCAAAUUCUAGCAACAUGAAUUCUAAUCUAGACCAUAUUUCAGGAAAUAAAAAGCACAUAAAGGAUGGAAAUCAAUCAUUGAACAAUAAUUAAGCAUCAAGCAUCGAUGAUUAUCAACCAAUAAUCACGAUUGAGUCAAAAUAAGUUUUGGUUCAAAACCAAAACCCUAUGAUUAAAACCCCCAUAAAACUUGUUAUUGAUACAAAUGAGCUCUAGACUACUAAUUAAUCAAGUCCAAUGAAGUGUUUAAUGCAAAGGAAUGGACCAAAACUGGUCCAAAACAUAGAGAUAAGCCAAUGUUAUUCCCAAGAACAUAGAACUCUGCCUUAGAAAACCCGGCUAUUGUCAAGCCACCAAAACUGGCAUUUUCAACCACUAAAAAAUGCUUUCUUCAUUUCAAAAAGUCACACUACCAUAACCAAACAUGUUUGAAUAAAAAAUAAAUAAAUAACAUCAAAAGCAUGCAAGAGGUUCAAAACUACAAACUUAAAAUAGCCUAUAUAUUUAUGCAAUUUGGAUUCAAUUUUCUUCCUAAACCUUCAAAAAAACCCAACCAAAACCUAGAAACUAAGAACAUGCAUUAGUCAACAUAAAAAACAUCAUAACCUUGCUGCCACAUCUAGUAGAUUUCAAAAGUACUUUAUUUCAUCAAAACUCAACCAACAAACAUCACUUAAGUAUUCAGAGACAUUAACAAACAACUCAAAGCAGGAUUUAAACAAUAAAACAACCUUUUUAUGUAUUAAUCAAAAUCAAAACUAAAGAACAUCAUAACAGUAAAGCAAGUUUGAAAACAUCAUUAAACAUGUAAAAUAAGUUAGAGGUAUGUCUCAUGGACAUCACCUAUUAGGUUAGUUAGGGAUUAUAUCUUUCAAAAAUUCAGAAUAGUUAUUGCCUUUCUUCCUUUUGAAAAUCCAAUCUUUUUUCAAUCUUUAACUUAUCCUUUUAGCUUUUGGAUGCCAAGUGUCGCAUGUGGGCGCAAGAUGUCGGGGGGUCAUGGGAGUCACCACCUAGUUUUUUGGUUCAAAGUCGCUAGGAAACUCGGGUAUACUGGUUUUAUCAGAUAUUCCAAGGGUAAGAGACUGAUUGUGGUUGGGUAAGGUACUAGUACCCCUAAUGCACCCUACCUGAGGUAAAGUGUAUUGUGUGGUUUAAAGGUUUUUAUGGAUUCCUAAAUGGUGGUAUGUCUAUGACUUAAGAUGGGGAUUUAUUCAUGUGAAUAAAUCUGGUUUUUUUUAAUUUAUUAUGGUUGUAGACAAGAUCCAUAUAGGUGCCCUAACAGGGUUCACCUAUCUUUAAAGGUGGAACGACUUUCCACAACUCAUGUAUUGUGAUGAAAAAUACUCCCAAUUAAAAUUGGUGAAUGUUUAAAAUAAUUUUGAGAAUUUUCUCGUCAACUCAUGAUAUUUAAAUACCAGCAUACUUGUAAGUUCAACAUUUAUACCAAAAAAUUGACAAUUAUUUCUAAUGAAUUAAUUUUUUUUAUGGAUUUUUGAAAUAUUGACAAAGUUCUAAUGAAUUCAAUAAACUGGUUAUUAAACCCAAAAUGCAUGGAAAUAUACUAAACAAAGUGGUAUUUUUUGGCCAUGUAAUAUCAAAGAAGAGUAUCUAUGUGGAUCCAAAGAAGAUAGAAACAAUAUUGAAAUGGGAAAGACCUACAACUGUGACUGAAAUUCAUAGUUUUCUAGGCUUAGCUUGAUAUUAUAGGAGAUUUAUAGAAGGAUUUUCAACGAUAGCCUCUCCAAUGACUCGACUAACUUGGAAGGAAGUUAAGUUUGAAUGGUCAAAAGAGUGUGAAACAAGUUUUCAAGAGUUAAACUCCAGGCUAACUUCAACCCCAGUAUUGGCUUUACCAAAAGGACAGGAGGGAUUUGUUAUGUAUAGCGAUGCUUCCAAUAAGGGUUUGGGUUGUGUAUUUAUGCACCACGGAAGGGUAAUCGCUUAUGCAUCUAGACAGUUGAAACCAUAUGAGAUAAACUAUCCGGUACAUGAUUUGGAGCUGACAGUUGUGGUGUUUGCUUUGAGGAUAUGAAGACAUUAUUUGUACGGGGUACAAGUGCAGAUUUUUACAGAUCACAAAAGUUUAAAAUAUUUGAUGUCACAAAAAGAAUUGAAUAUGUGACAUAGGAGAUGGAUGGAGCUAAUCAAAGAUUAUAAUUGUAUUAUUGACUAUCACCCGGGGAAAGCAAAUGUGGUGGCAGAUGCUCUGAGUCGAAAGAAUAAAGCUUUUAUUAGUGGUUUACUAGUGCUAAGUGAGCUAAAUGUGCUUUUGGAUGUGACUUCAGGAGGAAUAUUACUAGCAACGUUAGUGCUAUAAUCUAAAAUGAGAGAAAAGAUUCGAAAAGCUUAAGGUGAAGAUCCUGAAGUGAUGAAAGAAAUGAACAUUGUAUAAGUAGGCCAAGACUCUUUAUUUCGUAGUUAUGGGAAACAUAAUAUAUUUACCUGAUGAUAAGGUUUUAAAAAGUGAAGUCUUAAAAGAAGCUCAUGAGUCUAAAUUGGCGAUCCAUCCAGGAAGCACGAAAAUGUAUAGAGAUUUGAAGGAGAGUUACUGGUGGCCAAAAAUGAAGAGGGAGAUAGCAUAAUACGUGGUCAAGUGUGCCAUAUAUCAGCAGGUGAAUGUAGAGCAUCAAUGGCCAGUUGGAGAAUUACAAUCUCUUUCGAUUCCAAAAUGGAAAUGGGAGAAUAUCACUAUGAAUUUUGUAUCUAGGUUACCGAGAAGCAGGAAAGGACUUGAUGUCAUAUGGGUGAUCGUGGAUAGACUGACAAAGUCUUCUUUAUUUUUGCCUAUGAAGAUGGGGGAUUCGGUUGAAUAACUAGCUCAAUUAUAUAUUAAAGAGGUGGUGAGAUUGCAUGGUGUACCAGUUUAUAUAGUUUCUGAUAGGGAUCCUUGGUUUACAUCAAGGUUAUGGCCGAGUAUACAACGGGCUUUGGGUACCAUAUUGAAUUUAAGAAUGACUUUUGAUCCACAGACUGAUGGGCAAUCUGAAAAGACAAUUCAGAUUUUGGAAGAUUUGUUGCGGCUUGUAUUCUAAAGUUUGGAGGUCAAUGGGAGGAUCACUUGCCAUUAGUAGAAUUUACUUAUAAUAAUAGUUAUCAAUCUACUAUUGGCAUGGAACCAUAUGAAGCAUUGCAUGGAAGGGGAUGUUGAACUACAGUAUGUUGGGAUGAAGUUGCGGAAAGAAAAUUAUUAGGACCUGAACUGGUGCUGAUCACGGUUGAUAAGGUGAAGGUGAUAAAGUAAAUGAUGAAAGAAGCUCAAGACCGGCAAAAAAGUUGUGCUGAUAAUUGACGGAGACCUCUAGAGUUUCAAAUUGGAGAUGUGGUAUUUUUAAAAGUUGCACCAUGGAAGCAUGUGAUUCGGUUUGGAAUGAAAGGCAAAUUAGCACCCAGGUAUAUCGGGCCAUAUAAAAUUAUAGAAAGAAUUGGGACGGUCCUAUCGAAUAAUACUGCCACCACAUUUAGAUAUGAUACAUAAUGUGUUUCAUGUUUCGAUGCUGCGGAAAACAGACUUGGAUCUUGCAUGAAUUUUGCCACAAAUUUCGAUGGAAGCACGGGAAGAUUUAACUAUGGAGGUACAACCAGUGCAAAUUAUGGACCGAAGUAUAAAAGAGUUACGAAAUAAAAAGGUGUCGUUAGUAAAGGUAUUGUGGAGAAACUCUCGAAUAGAAGAAGAAACCUAGGAGAGAGAGUCAGAAAUGAAGAAGAAAUAUUCUAGAUUAUUUUUUUACAUAGGUAUGAAUUUAGAGGACAAAAUUUUUUUUAGGAGGGGAGAAUGUAAACCCCCCGGAUGAAAAAUAAUAAAUUGACUAGUUUUAUGUAAAAUAAAACAUUUCAUAACUGUUGAUCGGGUUAUUAGACAAUUCUAAAAAUUUACGUGGAGCCUUCUAAUAUGAUGCCUUAGCUUGGGUUAAAAUUUCAGAAUUGUUGGAGAAAUUCAGAAAUUUGACAAAAAAUCACAAUUUGACAAAAAAUCACAAUUUGACUAGUUUUACGUUAUUGGACGUAAUUUUCAAUCCAAUCCUCAGAUUGAGCUGAAAUUUUACGAGGGACUUUAAACUAUAUUGAAUAAAAUUUGGUUAAAGUUUUAGGAUGAACGGAGCUCGGUAUUGCUAAAAAACAAUAAGGACCGUCAAAUAGAAGUAAAAGUACUCAUUAAGGGUAAAAUGAUUAUUUGCCAUUAAAAAAUAAAACAAAUCAGCUCUCCUUUCCUUUUAUAUGCUGCCGACUGUGCAGAAGCAGAGUGGGAAAAGAAAGAAAAGAAAAAAAGCAAGUGAGAAAGAGAGAAAAGUAAGGAAAAAAUAAGAAAAGUGAGAGAAUAACCUUGUAAACUUACAAAGUCCAACUUAUAAAACACUAAUCUAAGGAAGAAUCAAGUGAAGGAAGGAGGAAUUGAGAGAGAGAAUUUGGCUAACCUUGGGAGAGAAGAGAAAUUGGAAGAAAGUCAAUUGGUAAGUAUGAGAAGUUUGGAUUUAAUGUUUGAUUUAGAUGUUUUUAAGCUAAAUUGAUUAAGUUAGGAAGUAAUUUCAUGAAAUUUUACUUUAAUUUCCCUUAAAUCCUUGAUUCUUGAACUUAGGGUUCUUAUGGGAAUUUGGGGGAAUUAGUAAGGGAAGGAAAAAUGAUGAAGUUGAAGUGGAAUAGCAUGAAAACAAGUUGAAAUAACAAGUAAAUGAAGAAAAAUUUGGGGGAGGAAAAAGAAGAUGACAUUUGGCCAAAUGAAGGAAAAGUGGAGGAAUGAGUUUUGAUGUUAAUUUUUAGGAAACUAUGUUUAAUCAUGAUAUUUGAAAUAUGCAAGAAUGACUAAAUAAAGAAAUAACAUUAAAGUUGAGAAAAAUAAGUAAAUUCAAUUUAAAAGAGAAUUGAACUAGUUAAAAAGAAAGUAUGAAGACAAGAUGUUUAGAUUGUGUUUGAAUAUAGUUCUUACAUAUGUUUAGAUAAAAUAAAUAAUAUGAUGUGAAGGCAUAAAGAAUAGAAGGAUUAUUUGAUGGAGGAAUUAUGAACAUAAAGCAAGAAAAGAAGUCACUUUUUUUUAAAUAUGUGGUUGUAUGUGAAAUGAUGGUGUUAUGUUUGAGAAUGAAUUUUUAUCAGAAUGAAUUAAAACAAAAUGUGCUUUGCGUUUCGGCACGUAAGAAAAAUAUUGAUGUACUAAUGAUAUAAUGAUAUUUGAUUGAUUCAGGAGUUGUGUCUGGAGCUGGUUAUCAAACAGGAGGAGCCGGGUCAUCACGAGCACAAGGUAAGUGAUUCGUCACCUUAUUUGUAAGUUUUCCUUAAAUAUCUAUGUUGUUUAUUUAAUUGAUGUUAAAAGAAUGAAGCAAAUGAAUAAAUUAAGUGAUUAUUACAACUGAAUAAUUGGUAAUUUAUGUGAAAUUACCGGAAUUACUAUUUGGCUUACAAAAGAGGUUAGCCGGAUGCUGGGCAAUUCAUAUGAAAUUACCGAAUUGAUUUUGGCAACCAAAAUAGGUUAGCCAGAUUCCUUGGGUAAUUAUGAGAAUUACCGGGUUUAUUGGUUAACAAAGAGGUUAAUCAGAUAUGGGGUAAUUCGUAUUGAAUUACCGGAUUGAUUGGCUAACAAAAGAGGUUAGCAGGAUGAUGGGUAAUUUAGAUGGAAUUAUCGGAUUUAUUGGUAACUGAGGAAGGAUAACCAAAUUUGUGGGUAAUUAUAUGAAAGUGUUAGAAUUAUUGGCAAUCGAGAUGAGUUAGCUGGAUAUUUAAUUUUUGAAAAGAUUAUGUAAAUUAAUUGAAUGAAGUUAGAAGUAUUAAAUUUCAGAGGUUAAGAGUAAAAUAAUUAAUAUAUGACUAAGAUAUUGAGUAAAUUAAUUAAUGUGGUUAUUGUUGAAACAGGUACGCGAGGUGAUGCAAAUCGUUAGAUGUAGGAUUUUUCUGUUUAUGAAUUAUUAUUUUGGAAUGUAAUAUUUAUGUCUUUGUUUUCUUUGAAAACCCUUAUGUUGUCAAAAUCAGAUAGAAGAUGUGUAGUAUGUAAUGAUUGUAUUACCUUCGUGUUGUAAAAAUCAAAUAGAAGAUGUGUAAUAUGUAAUGGAUGUAUUAUAUAUAUGUAUAGAUGUUAGUAUGGUAAAUCAUUUUCAGAAUGAUAAGAUAAGUUUAUAAUAUAAAGUAGUAGAAUACAUUAUAUGUUUUAAGACAAUAUGACUCUUAAUCUUAAUAUUUUAUCCAUUUAGUCUAAAUGCAUAUAUGUAGUUAAUUAACAUUUAUUACUUUUUAGUGAUGAAAUUGUUUAUCUUUCAAUUUGUUUUAGUAAUUCUUUUAUGUUGACUUGUUAAUUCAUAUUAUGAGACUUGAAUAUGUUGAUAACUAUAAGUUUUGAGAGAUUGAUUGAUGAAUGGGAUGUGAUCCAGGAUGAUUGGAUCAAGAUGGAAGUUGUAAUGGCAUAUAAUAGAAGUGUUGUUGAUAACUUGAUACCAACAAAAAUAGAGGAAACUCUGCCAAACUUUUCAAAAAAUAAAAUAAAAAUCCAUAAUCUUAGACAUAUUAUUCAAUACUUGACAUUCGUAAAGAAAUGUUUGAGAUUUUAUGACAUUAUAAUUUGAGGAUGUUAUAGUUUGGUACUAAGACAAACCAUGUAUUUUAUAUUUUAAACAAGAUAUGAUUUUUAUUUUUAUUUUUGGAAGACUUGGUCGUAUGUUAUUUAAGAUAAAAUUGUAUUUUUGAAAAAAGAGAUUUUUUUUUUGUUGUUUUUGUAAAAGGUAAAACGAUUCGUUUAACAUCGAAGAAGCGUCUCGUGUGUGUGUCACGAUUUUAAAUAUUAAAUACGUGAUGAUUGGAAAAUAUGGAGAACUCAAAAUUAAUUGCAAGAUGAUCUUCCAAAGAUUUUGAAAAUGGACGAAGAUAGUGUUUAGUAAAACACAAAUAAAUUAUUUUUAUGAAGGCUAUUUUAACCACGAUAUUAAUUCAAAACAAAAUAUCGUUCAUCAACUUGAAACGAGCAACACCAAAAAUCCACAUGAAUCUUAUUAAUUUCACAAACUUUGUUCAAACUGCGUAUUAAUUCAAAGGAAUUAACACAAACCCAAACAUGCAUCAAUAUUUAAUGUCCAAAAAACAAUCACAAUCUAAUAAUAAACUCAUAACUCACCACAAAUACUCAAAUCACCUCAAAAUCAAUAAUACACAUCAAACCAAAUUAAAAGUGUCCAACAGUCCAUAAAAAAUACACAAUAAUAAGCAUUUUUCCUAAAAUUUCACAACAUUGUAGCAAUUUAUCUGAAACAAUAUUAGUAAUUAAAAAACUUCAAUAUAGAAAAGCGGUGAUGUAUACAAGUGGAUUUGUCUAAGCAUGAAAGCCGUUCAAGAGAGGAGUCACCAAUAUAUAUUCCUUUCUUAACUCUCAAUUAUAUAUAUUUCUUAUCACUUUAUUCAUGAACUCUUGAUAAAUCAUCAGACCACCGCCAGGACCUUAAAUCCAGACCUUUGCCUACCGCAUUAAUUGACAAGAAUAUUUCAAGCAUUUAGAACCUUAAAGAUACCAACACAAAAUUGGGGCAGAUUUUUUUUUUUUUUGAAAGAUGUGUAUAUUAUUUAAACGCCAAAGCCUGGCGGGAGUAGUACAGAAACUACAUAAUAUCUUACUAUGGCAAAAAGCCAUAAAUAGGAUAAAGCGCAGUAUAAGAAAAACAAAAGCAAAGAAAACCUUAGAAUAGCCAUCCGAAUGAGCUCAAAGCUAAACAAUCCUCUACAAAACAAAAAUGAAAAUAACGCAAAGACAUAGUGGGAGAAGACACAAGAGCAAGGCCAUAGAAAAAAAAGUGUAGUCAAAGCCAGGCAACAAAAUCACUUGAUCUUUGCACUCCUUGUUUAGCCAUGCAAUCUGCCAUGCAAUUACUUUCACGGAAGAUAUGGGAGAAGGUGAUUGAACCAAAAUAUGCUUUCAGCCUAUUAACAGAGGAGAACAGAUUAUGAUGCUUCCAGGGACGGUUGUGAGGCUUAUUCAUCCAGCUAAUAGCAUUGACAGAGUCAGAUUCUAUGAUGAGGUGUUGAUGGUGGAAGAGACAAUUAGAUGCUGAAAGUUCAAUGGCUUUGACAAUAGCCCUUAACUCAGCAAUAUUAGAGUCUAAAAUACCAACUGAAACAGAGAACAUACCGAGAAGAUGUCCAUGAUGAUUUCGCAGUACACCACCUAUUCCAGAAGGGCCUGGCUUACCAAGAGACGAGCCAUCCAUGUUCCAUUUAAGGCUAUUAAUCAUAGGAGGAGACCACAUAUUAUGAAUCCUGAAGGAGUGGGCAUUGGACCACCGAAGUAAGCCAUUUGCCGAUCUGAUCAGAUCUGAAGGGGAGUAUGGGAAAUCAGAAUGGAUAGCUUUUAGCCAUAGACAUAGACAGGUGAUAAUAAGAAAGAAUAUUGAAUCAUAGUCAGGUGUCUUCUGUUGGAAGAUCAGAUCAUUUCGAAGUAGCCAAAGAGACCAUGCCACUGAGAAGAACAACAUCAGCCACGCCUUCCUCUGAAAAUGACCAUGCACCAUGGAAGUCCAUUGAGACCACAAAUCUGAGAAGCUCUUUGGGCAACACCAAACUAAACCCCACCACUUAAUGAUUUUGGACCAAAUCAGCCAAUGCUUAUGGCAUUGAAGCAGGAUAUGGUCCACCGAUUCUGCCUCCACUAGGCAGAUAGGGCAAUUUGAUUCUGAGCUACUCAAUAUACCCCUUCGAACCAACAUGCAUCGGGUGUUGAUUCUGUUAAUGAUAGCCAUCCAGCAAAAGAUCUCUACCUUAGGAGGGACAAUACCUUUCCAAAUUCCAGCAAACGAGAAGGCAUUGUUUGUGGAAGGCUUUGGGCUUAACAAUCCAUAGAGAGAUUUAACUGAAAAUCUUCCUGAAUUAUUGUCCUUCCAUAUUAGUCUAUCCUCUCCAUCUUUGUCCAUGAGUACAGUCGAUAGGAUUGCAUAAAGCUGAUCGAGCAAGCCAAUGCUGCGCCCCCGUAGCGGACGUAUCCAGGAAAAAAACCAAAUCCACUCAUACCCUUCCCACAUUCCCAUUUUAGCAAUGCUGGCAGCUUUGUCAUUGGAUAAUUGGAAAAGAGUAGGGAAGUGCUCUGCUAAACAGUGGUUAUUAAGCCAGCAGUCAAGCCAAAAUUUAGUCUUUUUGCCAUUUCCGAUAAGAACCAGAGAUUGCUCUUUCACAAUAUCCUGCAGGUUAUUAUUUCUCACACAAUGAUUGACAAUUCGGGACCAUGUAGUUGCAGCUCCUGGAAUAGGAGCUUGCAGCAGCAGAUUAGAGCAAUUGGUGAUGUGGAUGCUUUUGAUCACAUCCUUCCACAAACUUGAUUCCUCCGACCCAAACCUCCAUAACCAUUUAAAGAGCAGAGCUGUGUUUUUGUCCCUUAAGGGACCAAUCCCAAGGCCACCCGCUUGUUUUGGAAGAGUAACAGUGGCCCAGCUGACAUUGCAUAUUUUGUGUCUUUCCUCAUUUCCAGACCAGAGGAAGGAUCGAAGUUUGUGAUCAAUUAUGGAGGCAACCGAAGCAGGCAUAGGGAACAUAGAUAGGUAGUAGAUGGGGAGAUUGCUGAGCACAUAUUUAAUCAAGCACAAACGACCCCCAAUAGAUAAGAACCUGCAUUUCCACGAAGCCAACCGGAAACUGAUAUUAUGUAAAAUAGGAUUCCACAUUGUAGCUCUGCCCAGGUUUCCAUCAAUGGGGAGUCCAAGAUACAUGAGAGGCAGCUGAUCCUACUUGCAUCUAAGAAGCUGAGCCGUGAAGUUACAUGUAUGAGCUGCUACACCCACACCGACAAUGCUACUUUUAUAAAAAUUGACCUUCAACCCCGAGACAAGUUCAAAGCAUAAUAGGAUACGUUUAAUGUUCUGCAUGCUAUGUAAAGAGUCUGAACUGAAUAUAAGGGUGUCGUCCGCAAAUUGUAAGUGAGAUAUGACAAGCCCUGCAUUGCCGAUGUUUAUACCUGAAGUCAAACCCAAAUCACAGCCACGCUGCAACAUACAACUCAACCCCUGGACUGCAAUGUUGAAGAGAAACGGAGAGAGAGGGUCUCCUUGGCGUAGGCCUUUAGCUAAGCAGAAUUCCUCCGUGGGAGACCCAUUAACAAGCACAGACAUUUUUGCCGCUGAUAUGCAUUGCAUAAUCCACCCUCGCCAUCUAUUGCCAAAGCCCAUACUAGCCAUGAUUUCAUUAAUAUAUUCCCAUAACACCGAAUCAAAGGCUUUGUGAAAAUCUAAUUUGAAGAGAUAAGCUUUACCCUUUUUCUUCUUAAUGAAAGAAAGGACCUCAUUUGCAAUCAAGACGCUGUCUAAAAUUUGCCUCCCUUUGAUGAAAGCAUUUUGAUGAUGAGAGAUGACCUCUGGCAUAACAUGUUUCAACCUGGUUGCUAGAAUCUUUGAAAUGAUCUUGUAUAGGCUGCCAACCAAACUAAUAGGUCUGAAAUCUGAUAGCUUGUUAGCACCUUUAAUCUUCGGAAUAAGAGUAACAAAGGUGCUAUUGAUACCAGCAGGGAGGAGAUUAGUCCGAUAGAAGUCAUCAAUCAUCUGGAUAAUAUCCUCACCUAUAAUGUUCCAUGCUUUCUUGAUGAAAAGGAAGUUAAUACCAUCAGGACUUGGAGCUUUAUUUCUAUCACAAUCCCACACAGCUGUUUUAAUCUCUUCUGCAGAAAAUGGCAAUUCAAGAGCAGCAGAGGAUGAAGGCUUCAGCCUUGAGAAUUCCAGGUUUGAACAUGAAGCUCUAGGUCUGUUCUGGUGGGAGUAUAGAUUGCGAAAAAAGUUAAAGACAACUAGCUUCACAUCGAUUGGUUUAGAUAGGAUCUGUCCAUCAACCUCCAGGCAUGCAAGCUGAUUCUUUUUCUGUCUUGUUGUUGCAGCUAAAUGAAAGAAUCGAGUAUUUUUAUCUCCAAGCUUACACCACUGAAUUCUUGAUUUCUGAUGCCAGGCAGACUCUUGAGCUCUAUACAGGAUUUUGAGUCGGGAGGCAAUGGAAUUACUUCUAAUCAGUUCAUUAGCACUCAAGACCCUGCACUCAUUUUCACGAUCCAUUGAGUCAGCUUCAAGUUCCAGUUCGGCAAUUCUGUUAUUCAUGCUUCCUAUAUUAGCUUUACUCCACUGCCGACAUCUCUCUUUCAACAUCUUUAGAGCUGGGACCAUUUUCCUUGUGCCAGAUUUUGAAACCAUGAUUGAACUCCAAAAGCUCUGAAUCAUAUUCCUAAAAUCAGACACAAGCCACCAGCAAUUCAUGAAGCGAAAGGGUUUCGGGCCCCAAUUUGUAGAGUCUAGCAACAGAUGCAGAGGCCUAUGAUCAGAUGAAUAUUUUGAGAGACCAAAUAAGGUAGAUGAUGGGAAAGUCUGCAACCAAUCCCCCGAUACAAAUAUUCUAUCAAUACGGCUCGCCGCAUUACCUCGAGACCAUGUAAAUUUCCUCCCAUUUAAGGGGAGCUCCAUAAGAUUACAAUCAUCAAUGCAAUUUUUGAAUCGUGUCAUGGAAGAUGUUAUUUGUGAGCUGCCUUUCCUAUCUGAUGGGAAUAAGGUUUCAUUAAAAUCACCCGCAAGACACCACGACUUGCUAACACUAUCCCUGAAUGUAACAAGAUAAGUCCACAACUCAUUCUUCAGGUUCCCACCAUUCGGAGCAUAUACAAAAGAGACUAGGCAAUCUAGAUUGGACCGAGUGAAGCUGCCUUCAAUAUGCAAAAUACGGCCAUUCAUAGCAACAGAACAGCUAGAGACACAAAAAAGAUCCGGAUUCCAUAUACAUAAUAUUCCCCCCGAAAGGCCUAAUGAGGGAACUGCAUACCAAGCCCUAGGAUGACGACCCCAUAUAGCAGUAAUAGUGAAAUCAUUCAAAGUUUCCAAUUUUGUUUCCAAAAUACCCAGGAUAUGAAGAUCAAAUUUUCGACCAAGAUUCCUCAAACAUCUCUUUUUUUCUCUCCCCCCUAAGCCACAUACAUUCCAUACAAUUAUACUACCCAUAGGAGUGAUUACAGAGACCAUACCUGCAGACUAUUUACGGAAGCAAAUCACGGCUUCUUCCUUAGGAUCCACUCUUCCUGUUCUCGGUCUAGGAAUCCCUGCAGUGUCUGAGUCAUGAGUGUGCUAUCGUCAUGCCCUUGGAGAAUAGCUUGUCCAACUUCCCAGCAAGCAGUGGCUUCUGCCCUAUUAUCAGAAUGUGCAGGCUCAGUUGCUUCAUCACCAGCAUUGGUGUCGGGUCUGUAUCUUGAACUACUUGCCUCAUCCUCACCAAUCAAUUCCUUACCAGCUUUGAUAAUAGCAUUUAUGUUCUUUAUCCCAUUAUCAGAAACUGAGUAUUCAACAAUUACGGUCUCUGAUUGCUUACCGCUUUGUUUUCCCAGUUGACGUGAUUUCCUCCUCCUAAGAGAGUGUGAUCUGCGUCUGAGCUUCGUUGCUUUUUUUCUGUGGGUUUUCCUGUCUCCUACUUCCAGAGCACUAAGCUCAUAUGGAUCAGCAAUAGGAGUGAUGAAGGUUGUAAAAGAUGGCCCAAUGCUCGUUGAUUUCUGCUUUUUCUUACGCCCCAUCUGCUUUAGGAGUCCACUGUCAUAAUUUAUAUGUUGAUUCAGCCCAUCCUUAGCAGUAAAACAAGAAACUUUUUGCAUAGCCACCCCUCUGCAUGCAACUGAAUCCACCUCAACAUAUACGUAAGGUACCAAGGCUAACUGGUUAUCGCCUUCGUACGUACUCUCAUCAAAUAAAACCGCAUGUUUGCAGAUUUCAGUAAUUUCUGGGUAAAGGUACCACGGUGAAACUUCAGACGUGGUGAGUGUGCUAGCAAGCUGAGUUUGGGUGCCCAACAAACCAGUGAAUUCGGAUUCAAAUUCGGGUCUUUGUUUUGUCUCUUUGUGAGUCGUUGCAGCUUUAUUAGUUUCCUCAAAAAAAUCAUCUUCAUCGUCAUCGGAUAGCACAGAUGUUGAGCACAAUGAUACAUCCAUGGAGUGUUUGACUGUUGUGAGAGAGGGGAUAAACUCACCUUUGAUUUCUUUCAAACUGACCUCAACCUGCACUCCAUCAAGCUGGAGCAACACUUGAUCAUGUAAAGGUUCCAGCUUUGUGGUUCGAAUAAGAACCCUAAUACCUGAUAUGGACCCCUGACUAACACAAGAAGUGUCGUAUCCUACAAUAUUUCCCCAGUUCUGAAGCAAAAUAUUGAUACAGUUUCUGUUCCACCCUUCCAUUGGCAAACCAAAUAUGGAGAUCCAAGCAAAUCUGUCAGAUGCUCUAGUCCUUGUUUCCCACUGUCUGAGAUUGCUGAAUAGAGAAUGCAGCACAGAUACUUUAUUCCUUUGUUCUUGCACUGAGGCUAACUGAUCCACAUAGGUAAUAAUCACCUGGCUAGCUCCCAAAAAACGAAAGCUCACAGCUUUGACACUUGAUUUUAAAACCGUUGCCUCCAGUGUUGCUACAUCCACAUUUGGCAAGAUAUUUCCCACUAAGCUCCUAUGCAGAUUUUUCAUACCAUGAAAAAUUGGGGCAGAUUUUUCAUACCAUGAAAAAUUGGUCGUAAUAAGAACCUUUUUUUUUUCCUGGUCCUGCUCGACUUGGAAAGGGGUCCUUGAGGAUCCAAUUUGGAGUAUCUUGUGGGUUUAGUCAAAAAGGUCAUUCUCAGUCUUCACACUUCAUGCACAAGGAAAGAAUAUGUUUAAUUCGUCAAUCGACUCAUAGCUAACUCUGUAACAAAUGUUUGGGAUGAAGGGAAAAGUAUAGCUUUUUCUAAUUAGAGAAAGAAAUUGCAUAAACUGUGAAUGCUGUAAUUAUUUUCAAAGAACUUAACCAUAAAUCUACCCUUCUUGCAAGGAACAAAGCCUUCUUCUCUAUAUUUUCAAAGAAUGAUAUAAUUAUUAUGGUGAAUCAUGCAUGCAUAUCCAGAAUUUGAUAUUUCUUAAUUGAAUUUUGGAAAAGUCGUAAUACUUGGUAAAGCCUUUGGAUCGAUAGUUUCUCUGAGAUGUGAAUGGAAUUAACAACAUAGAGAAUAAUAAAAAAGAAAAAGCAACAGAAUCAAUCAUCAGAAGUUGUGAGAAUUAUAUCUUUCUUUGAAGAUUUUGAUUUUGACCACAGUGAACCUAUAAGCUUAACUAGAGAGGCUUCUAUGAUUUCUAUAUAUACGGACUAGCUUGGCUUCAAACCAUAUGUACAAGUCAAGCUCAAACUCAGAACCUCGUUAAACUGUUUCUUCUUAUUAUUUUUUAGUGUCAUUUUGCAAAUGGCUCGCCAAGCAGAGCGCCUUUCCAAGAUUGGGUUGGAAGGACUUGCACUAAUAGAUGAGUGGUACGAGUGCCCUAGGAGGUCUUCAACUCCUCAAGAACACCAUCAGCAACGAUAUGACUAUUGUGGAAUCCAAGUUCCCAUGAUGAAAAUGGAUGUUAUCAACAACAAGGAGGCAGCUAAACAUUAUGGUGGGGUGGUGAUUAUGGAUUAUCGAAAGAAAAAGUUACUCUAUUGAGCUCUUUAGUGAUAAUGUAUUGGGCCUUGCUUUGCUUGGUUAAGUUAAUUACCAAGCAUAAUUAAGUCGUUUUUAACUUUAUUGUUUUCUUCUUCUUUUUCCUAUGUUUUAGAGUCAGCUACUCCAAAAGAUGAAAAAGUAUGAGUGCCUUAAAGUGAUUUGCUGCACCUCUUAUUUCUCUAUGAUUUGUUGGGUUUCUUGAAAUACAUGACAUAGUGAAAAUAGUUUUUUCAAGUCUCAUGGAUCUCAUUAAACAACAUAAAUUUAUUUAGGAUUUGUGCGAAAAUUAUAUGAAGAUAGUUCUUCGUCCUAGAAUUUGAUCAACACUUGAAGGCUGUGUUUUCGUAAAUCAAGUCCUUACUUGAUUUUUCUAAAUCUAGAAUUUUAAUCUCAUGUUCUAAUUAUAUUAUAGUUUUCAAUUUCAAAAACUUAUUUACAAUCAAUUUGUUAUUACCUACUUUUGACUCCACGAAAAAUCAAGAAAAGAAAAAAGAAAAAAUAGAAAGAGAAAAUCCAAAAUACAAGAGGAUAUACAUGAAAAAAACCUAAAAGAUUACUCAAGUUGAUGGUGAAGGACCAAAUUACUAGUGGAAAAGUUGGAGGACUAAAAUGUUCAAAACUACUAUAAUUAACAACCCAAUUCUAAUUGACAAGGUUCCUUUUGGUGAAAAUAUUUCUAUUAGGGUAAAGAAAUACAAAUUUGGAUAGGUAAGGACUUAAUGAGAAUUUUGCAAGGCUUAAUUAAUUUUAUUGAGGACUUGAUUACUGGGAAAAUCAGUUUUUAGAGUUAAUUUAGGUGUUAAUUGAAAUAAAUUAAAGUUCAGAGACUUAAUUGGUUUUUUAGGAGGUUUAAUUGGAUGAAUCAAGGGCUUAAUUGUUAGAAUAUUAAAGUUUGGUAUGCAAUUAGGAACUUGAUUGAAGAAUUCUAAAACCAAGAACAAAACUGAAAAAAAAACGCAUGAAGUGGUAUCAGAAUCUAUUAUCCUUUUAUUAUUAACAAAACGGAAGCCAUAACUUACUGUUUAUACUGUAAUAUUAGGAUCUUCUCUGCCUUCUCCUCUCCAAAGGCCAUUGAGAGGUACAAUGUCCAGAAUGCAUCUAAGGAUAACCAUAUGUCCAUAUCCAUAAGAUCUCAAUGGAUUGCCUCUCACUACAGAAUCGCCUCUCACUACAGAAUCGAGCACAUCUUUAAGCUAGAAUAAAGUGCCUUCACUUAUUAUUUAGCAUUAUUGCGCAGGACAAGUCUUCACUGCUUAUUUCCUUAACAGUUUUGUCACUAUAAAAAAUUCAAUGAAUACAAACGGAUUUGCUGAUUGAAUUUUUCUAUCGGUAUUUUAUGGUGUUAUUUACCAACCAAAUUUUUUCCCUUGCUAAAAGGAUAAUGUCCAGAACGCUUCUAAGGAUAACCAUAUAUGCAUAUCUAUAAGAUCUCAAUGGAUUGCCUCUUACCAUAGAAUUGUAAAUAAUGAAGACUAUUUUACAAGGUUUUUAUCCUACAUUUGAAAAAACACAACUUAUUUCUUGUAAACAUAGAGUCUAUAUAAGGUUUUAUAUUACACAUUGAAAAAAUAAAAUAUUUAUCUAGUAUUUAUAUAGUAAACUUUGAUACGUGAUAGUAACCAAAACAAAAGGGGUAGUGGGCUUGCGUGUAUAAAGUUGAGCCGAGCAGGAGAAAAACCUCUGAUUACUCUCCGACGUGUGAGGCAAUGCCUUUCUGAACCUUUUGUCUCUAGCAAUAAUUUGUUUUUGGCUCUUAAAUUGAAACCACAAUUUUUUUAAAACUUAGAAUUAAUUUUCUAUUAGUCACAAAAUCCUAACAACUCUUUUAUUUUAAAACGUUUUUAACAUUUACAAUUCUUUAACUUCCUAACAGCUCUUUUAUUUUUUUGAAUUGUUGUAAAAACUCUUUAAUUUUCUAAUUUAUUUUCUGCCUAGUUGUUCCAUUUUAACAACCUAUAUAUGUCAUGCACUCUUACAAUCAUAGUGUGCUGAAAAAACCAUAGUAUUUUUCUGUGUUUGCAAAACUUGCUGGCAUUUCCUUUCGAUCUUGGUCUAGCUGUUUCCGUAACCCUUGUUUUAGAAAAAAUCUUGUUGAAAUCUGGAAUAUAACCUUGUGUUGAGAAAAUAUAUUUAAGGACAAUGUUUGUGCAUGCCUCAAGUUUUAUUUUAUUUCUAUUCUUCAUCUUAUUUUAUUACAACAUCCAGCACAUCCUUAAGUAAAUAAAGAAAGCUAGAAUAAAGUGGCCUCAGUGAUUAUUUAGCAUUAUUAAGUAGGCCAAGUACUCUUCACUGCUUAUUUCCUAUUAGUUCUGUAUUGUGGAAUUGCACUUACAAAUAAAGAACUUGUUCUUGAUAUUUUCGUACAGAAUUUCUCUCUCGAAUAGUCGGUCAAUAAAGUCACUUCGUUUAUUCGGAUUUGAGGCCGGCCAUGAGAUGGAGAGGUUGUGUCACAUUAAUUAUGUCAUGUUACUUAGGUUAACUAGAAUAAGAAAUAAAGAUAUAGGUUUUGGAAAGAAUAAAGAUCAGUUAAAGAAGGAAAAAAAAAAAGAAUAGAAAAAAAGAUUAUCAAAAAAAGAAUCAGAUUCACCAUUAAACUAAAGAGUCUCAUCGAUUCUACGAAACUUGUCGGAAGGAAUCAUUUGUUCAAUAAUUGAAUGCGAUUUUUGCUUUAUAUAUAUUUUAGGAACUUUGCACUAGAAAGGGAACAUUUGUGCCACCAAGUACUAACACUAGAAAGGGAACCUUUUUUUCCCAGUGUUAAUAGAUACUUUUUUUUAUAUAUUUUUGACAUUUCUCUUCUUGAUUUUUCUUAUUAAAGCAUGUUUGUUUUUGCAUUUCAAAAAUGCUUUGAAAACAUUUUGAAAAUUUUUAAUCGUUUUCUUUACUUCAAAUUUUAGGGGAGACUUUUGAUAAUAUUUUCAACAUUGUAGCCGACUUUUGGUUGCUCAAUCUUGGUUCUUGAUUGAACUUUCAACUCUUCAAAGAAUUGACCAUUCUUUGUUGUGAAUUUAUACUUCUUUUGCUCGUCUCCAGGUGUAGGCGUUGUGAUCGAGUUGGUUUAUAGUCUUGUUGCCUUGGAGCAAGUCUUUUAUUGUGAUAAGCUCAUUCAAAUCUCAACAAACUUGGGUUAGAUUGAUCUUGGGGUCGCGUAUACCAUUAAAUUCCGCUAGGGUUUGCUUCACUAGACCUUCUCUUGGAUCUAGACUUGUCAUACUAGUCUAUAAAUAUAUAUAUUAGAACAUCCAUAUAAUCUGUCUAGAGCAGAUACUCAUCUAAUUAUGGCAGACCCACAUAUGACAGCUCAGAAUCACCUGUUAUCGCAAACCCAAUUACAUCAUUAAUGGUUUUUCAAGGUAAGUCAUGAGGAAUUUGAAGCAUAUAAAACGAUAUAACUUGUCCCAAUAUCAUAAAAAUGUUAAAAAAAUGUGAGUAUAUGAACCCAUGAAGCGGGAUCAGAAUCUGUUUUCCUAUUGUUAUUAACAAUACGGAAAGCCAUAACUAACUGUUUGUACUAUAAUAUUGGGAGUGAGAGGUACAAUGUCCAGAAUGCUUCUAAGGAUAACCAUAUCCAUAAGAUCUCAAUGGAUUGCCCCUUACUACAGAAUCUAGCACAUCCUUAAGUAAAUAAAGAAAGCUAGAAUAAAGUGCCUUCACUGAUUAUUUAGCAUUAUUGAGCAGGCCAAGUCUUCACUGCUUAUUUCCUAUUAGUUCUGUAUUGUGGAAUUGCACUUACAAAUAAAGAACUUGUUCUUGAUAUUUUCGUACAGAAUUUCUCUCUCGAUUAGUCGGUCAAUAAAGUAACUUCGUUUAUUCGGAUUAAUUUGAGGCCGGCCAUGAGAUGGAGAGGUUUUGUUAUAUGGAAUCAGAUUCACCAUUAAACUAAAGAGUCGGAAUUAAGGAAUCAUUUGUUCACUAAUUGAAUGCGAUUUUUGUCUUAUAUAUAAUUUAGGAACUUUGCACUCGAAAGGGAACAUUUGUGCCACCAAGUACUAACAAUAACUGUCCAUAGUUUUGCAUGCAUAGACCCUUUUUUCCCGGUGUUAAUAGAUAUUUUCGGACCAACUUGAAAGCAAUUAUUAGAGAUAUCAAUUCAAUCUGAAUUCAAUAUGCAUACAUAUAUAUUACUUUUUUUUUAUUUUAUAUUAAAUAAUAAAUAAUGUUUAGGAAAUAAAAAUCUAAAUGGAUCGAUGAAUAUAAUAUUAGUUUCUAAAUGAUACAACAUAGCUAGAAGAAACUGGAGGUUAUGAUUGGUUAGAAGGGACCUGAUAUAGCUAAAUGAGGGUCAAACCACCAACAAAUUACGUAGAUGACUUAACAUUUACUUUUAUGGUUUAAUAAAAUAGGAAUAGGUUCAAGAAAAGAUAUAUUCAUGUCAAACUAAUAAAGUAUCUAAAACAAGUCAUAGCUUUUUAUCCGACCAUUAGAUAAAUCUCAAAUUUUUACUUAGAUUCCCUAAGCCCAUCUCUAUGGAGGAGCUCUUUGGCAAUCCAUCCUCUAAAUGGAUUUCCUCAAAUUAAAAUGAGAAGAUCCGGCUCAAGCCAAUUUUGUUGUUGUUUUUUUUUUUCUUCAAAAUUUUAUGUUUUAUUUCGGAUUUUCCAUUAUUUUUCAAAUUAAAGAAACCGAGAUAAAAUACCCUGAAUCUUCUUUCAUAAUUUGCUUCCGAUAAGGUGUAGUGUUUUUGCUACUUUUACUUUUGGACCUGACUUGUUUCCUGACCGGUAGAAAUAGCAUUGGUCCAAAAGCACUAGUCCAAAAGCAGGGAAGCUUUUGUUUUCUUUAAUCACAUGAUCCGAUAUUCUCAUUUAUGCCCAACACAAAUUCAUAGAUGUGGCUCUAAUGAUUGGCUGACAACAGUUGUUAAUGAGCAGUGUUUGCGUCCCUUAUUUUUCAGUUUACUAAGUAUUUAGAACAUUCAAUUCCAAUCCAAAGUCGAUAAUAAUAAACUCUUGGUGAUCGGUUUUGUCAUCGAUGGUGAUCGGACGACAAAAAAACAUCCCGGUUUUGUCAUCAAUUAUCGGUUUCCAAUCCAAAGUCGGUUUUUUAUAAAGUUUUCUUAUAUAAAAAGUUUAUUAAGCAUUGAAAACAUCCAAAUCUAACAGUAAAAUUAAUAAACUUUUGAUGAUAAUCUUUUUUUCAUUUUGUGAUGCUUUUAUCGUCAGUAGUGAUAAGAUGAAGAAAAGCUAUUGAUUUUUCUCUCUGCAAUGGUUACUUUUAUCGUACACAAAUGUUGGGUGCUUUUAUUUACAAAAAGGAUCACUGCCUAACAAUAUUCAUUUCACAGCUGUUGUCAACCAAACCUUCCCGAUCUAUAUAAAGGUUGGCUUGGCCUCACACAUAUUAGCCAAGCAAGUAAACCAGCUCGACCUAUAUACAGCUACUUGUCUUGUGUAUUGACUGACAAAUUGUAGUUAACAUGGCACGUCAGGCAGACCGUCUUGCUAAGAUUGGGCUAGAGGGCUUUGCAGCCAUAGAUGAGCACUUCGGCCGGGCCAAGAGGCGGCCACCAGUGCUGAAGGUUCCCUAUGCUCAUCCGACAUAUUACUAUGCAAACCAAAUUCCUGCAACAGAAGUUAUCGACAACAACGAGGCAGCUCAACGCUACAAGGGGAGGGUUUAUCUCAAUUAUCCUAAGGGGAAACCAGUUCCGUUUUAAAGACCUAGUGAUUAAUCACUUAGCUUUCUUGUAUGCAUAACCUCCUCUAGUUGUGUUACCUUUAGUCCUGUACGAUAUUCUCCCUCUGCUAAACGUAGACGAGGAGAGGUUGCUAGAACUCGAGUCCGGAGCUUCUUCUUGCUUCAUCAAAUAAAAUUUCUGUGAUUUAUAUAUUAUAAUUUUCUAUUUGGCUGGUCAAGUAUGCAUUGUCAUAAAUAUCACUCUGCUUCCCUGAUUAUUACCUUAUUCACCUAUUACUUAG